rnacentral:lncRNA from 1 species
CAGGGAAAGAUAUGUUAGUGUAAUUGCUCACCAGGACUAGAUCAGCAGCAGGUAGGAACUCUACUUGAUGAGUAACAUAUAUCACUGUUUUGGAUCUUAAAAGGCCCAACAAAACUUCCUGCCAAACAAAUAGUUUACAAAUAUAAGUCUAAAAUUUUCACAGUUAUCCUAACAAGAACCCAACCUCAUGAGUAAUAGCACUAGAGAGGGGAAUAGAUUUCACCUUAAAGAGAUGAGAUCCAGUAUGAGCAUCUACAGCACUAAAAGGAUCAUCAAACAGAUAGAUAUCAGCAUCUUGGUACAGAGCGCGGGCAAUCUGUAUUCUUUGCUUCUGUCCUCCACUCAAAUUGAUUCCCCUCUCACCUAUCACUGUCUGAUCACCAAAAGGGAGUAUUUCCAGAUCCUUAUUCAGGGUGCAUGCUUCAAGCACUCGGUCAUACUUUUCUCUGUCCAUCUGCUUACCGAACAAUAUGUUAUCUUCAAUAUUGCCACUCUGUAUCCAAGGUGACUGAGCAACAUAGGCCUUUGUACCGCACAACUUCAGUGCACCGGAUAUCUUGGGUACUUCUCCCAAAAUACAAGAAAGUAAGCUUGAUUUCCCAGAGCCAACAGUACCACAAAGUGCAACCCUCAUGCCAUGAAACACUUUCAAAUUAAUGUCUUUCAAUGUUGGAACAUUGGACGAAAUAUCCCAGGCAAAAUUCCCAUCAACUAUCUCAAUUGCUGUUUCAGAACUACCACUGGGAUGCAUCUCUACAACAUCAGACUGCAGGUCAUCAAGACAUAGGAAAGAAGCAAUUCUGUUAAGGGAAACCUUAGUCUGAAUUAUCAUUGAAAUUGUUUCAGGAAGAUUAUUUAUAGCCUGUUGAAGAAUCCGGAAUGUCGCAAGGGCAGAUAAGAUCUUCCCUGACUCUAGUGGGAUUCCCAAAAGCACACAAGCACCGAAGGUGGCAGCAGACACAAAAAUGGGGGCACUCCGAAUGACAAAACCAGUCACUGACCCAGUGUAAAGAAACUUUUUUAGCCAUUCAGCCUCAAUCUUUCUGAGAUCAAUAAUCUUCGAAAAAAACUUCAUUUCCCAGCCCUGGAGCUUGAGGAUUCUCAUGUUCCUUAAAAUCUCAGAAGUUGCCUUCAUUCUUUUACCUUUUGAUUUCAUCAACUUGUCCUGAAAUUUCACUUGCAAUCUACCCAAAGGAAAGUUCACUAGCAUAACUAACACCGUAGCAGAAAAUGUCGCAAUUGAUGCUAGCCCAAGACUUUUAUGCAAGAUCAACAUGGCCAAAGAAACUUGCAAGAGGACCAACCAUGAAUCAUGCAUACGCCAACUGAAGUCACCAACCCUCUGAGCAUCAAUGGUCAUGAAAUUAAUGACUUCCCCACUAGUGUGGCUCUGCUUCGCUUGACAUGAAAGGGUCAAACACUUAUUGUAGACCAUUGUAACAAGCACUGAGCGCAUCUUAAUUCCGGCCACCUGCAGCCGAAAUAUCCACUGUGUGAAGGAGACGCUCCCCACUAGCUUUGCCGCAAAAAAGGUAGAAACCAUAACAUAUCCCUUUUGUUUGAAUUCCUGCUCACCAUUCAGGUAUUUAACGAACGAAUCAAUUAGAUAUGGGCCAACAUAUUUGGCCAAUGUGUAUAUGAGAGCUAGUACUGCUGUAAAGACAAUCUCCUUCCAAGCAGUGAAGAACAAUGCCUUCACCAGCUUGAGUGUAGUCACUCUAUUCCCCACAACAGUAUCUGCCGCAAGCACAUUCCUAAACUUUGGAAAGCCCUGCAUUACACUAUCACCACUAUCUAAUUGAGGAACGUCCUCAAGGUCUAAAAUUUUCUUAUUUCCAACAGCAAUUAGAGAACCCAUCCAAGAGAAAGUGACAAUACUAAACAGACCAGCAUUUGAAUAAGGAGUUACAAUAUUAGCCUUUUCGGACUUGAUUGAUGACACUUCGACAUUAUUUAUACUAGAAUCAACAUCCAAAAGGGGUUCUUGCAGGAGGAGGGUAUCUUCACCUUCAAUUUUCUUCAAAAACCCCGUAUAACAGAAAAACAAUCCACUAAUAACCGAGACAACAUCAGACACUACAUAAUCAACUGGUAAAGACACAUGCAUUGUACAAAGAAAAAUGUCAAUGACAAGACAAUAACAAGAAAAACAAGAAUAAAAUCCCCACCAAAGUCUCAAUAAAAAUGGGAACUUCUGUUCACCAGAAUUAGAGAACUGGGUCUGCAAAUAAACCCAAAUUGCUCCCCAUCCAACUGUCCUGAGCACUAAGUCAGCAAAAGCAACUAGUUUAUCUUCGGACAGUCCAUUUUUAAACCAAAAAGAGUAGUUCAACAGACUCAACACAAGAUUGAACGCUGAAACACCUAAACAACAAAACAGAAUCAGCUUAUACCCCGAACAGUUGUUCCUCAAACUCUCUUUGGACCCUUCACAUACACUAACGCCAACUUUCAGCUUUUUCCAAACCCAUGAGACAAGCAACCCAACUAUCAAAACUAAGUGCCAAGAACUAGAAAUACCACGAAGGAAAGCUGGUUUAAGAAGAAAAUCAGUAGCUGAAUACAUAACGGAAGAUGAGUUUGCAAAGAUAGUUAGCAAUAGUUCCAUUGCAGUAUCAAAAGGUUCCAAGUUUUGAGGAGCUUGUGUUUAAAAAAUGAAUGUGCUUUUGAAGUGUGGAAGUUAUAUAUGUCAAGUUAAAGGGAACUUGUUCUUGCACACACACAUAUAUAGAUACAUGAAGUCACAAAAUGAGAAAGACAAAGGUACAUUUGUUGGGGAAGAGUUGACGUGGAGACCAAGACUGAAUUGGCAAAAGUUGAAAACAUACAAGGCCGCGGCUAAGUUCCAUGAAUCUGUAACUAACAGACAUGCAUUUUGAUUGGUUGGAUUUAAAGAAUGAAAUUGGACGAUUGGGAUUAACGGCUAGAAUAGAAAUCAAUUGUGGGCAACUGGUCUUUAACAUUUAGAAGAGUUUAUUUCCGUCUACACCCCCAAAUGUUCUGACAAAUGCCAGUAGCCACGCAUUUGUUUUUUGUGUAUACACACCCAACCUACUACUUUUCUAAUAUUAGAAUUAAAAGACCAUGAUGCCUCUCAAUUGAAUUAAUUUGAUUAGGUAAAAGACCUCUUAUAAAUUUGUAAAAUAAAAAAAUACGAAUAUUUUAAAAUCAAAUAUAAUUUUUUAUUUAGCAAGCAGACCUUAUUCUUUUUUUUUUAACAAAAGAAUUCUAAAACCAAAUUUAAGUUGUAUACUAACCAACUAGUUUAUUUUAUAUUAAAUCAUUUUUUUACUAAAAUAUCUCUUAAUAGAAUUACUUAUAGAGACGUGUCAGUAUUAAAAUUACUUCAUAUUUCAACGUCUAUCUAUUUAAUCUAGUGUGAACUUUUUAGUUUGUAUUAAAAUAAUAAACUUGGUUAGAGAAAUCAAAUUCAAAUUUACAGAUAAAAUAAUUUAUUGAGCUUACAUGCAUUGUAUAUCAAAAUAAUUUUUUUAUGGUUUUAAUGAAAAGCUUGUGUGACAAGAUGGAACUACCUCUUGAUUUUUUUUCGUAGAGUUUAUGUAAAAUUAAAAAAAAAAACACUUGUUGAUCCUUUGCAACCUUUUGAAGUGAUGUUUAAGAAUAUGCAAGUUCUUCUUGUCCUUUAGAAAAAAAAUAUUUAGCACAAAUCACAACCAAGAAAACCGAUUUGAUGGUUCAAAAAGGAUUUAAUUGAGGAUGGUUAAUUAAAAUUUAUCUUUGCAUGAUGCAAAUAUUCUUCAAUUUAAUUAACAAAGUUAAGUCUCUUCGUUAAAUCAAAUCAAGAACAAUUAGAAAAAUAUUAAUGUAAAUAAAUUCUAUUGAGGUUUAUUUUUGGAAUUCUCACAGUUAUAGAGAAUAAAUAAAUAAAUUUUAAAUUUUAGUUAUAAGUUUAUCUAGAAACAGAUUUAGAGAGGAAUCUAAGGGGUUCAAACAGUCCAUCCUUCUUUUAAUUAUUGGGUGUUUGAAAUAUAUGUAGAGUAGCGAUACAAUUACAAACUCUUUUCUACAAACUAUGUUAUAUAAAUUAAUGUGGCAUCACAUGAAAUAUUGAAAGAAGACAUCACUUAGCCCACAUGAUAUAAUCUUUAUUAUUUUAUAUUUUCAUUCAACCAAUCAUAUUAUAUCAUAUAGUAAUUUUCAUAUAAUGUAAUAUUUUUAUUAUUUAACAUAUUCCUUCAACGAAUCAUAUAGUUUGUACAAGAGUUUAUAAAUAUAACAUUACUCAUAUAGUAAUUGCGUAAAUGGACAUGUUAUUCUCUUGCAAAAUCAAUCUAAUAAAAAAAAUCACCAAAGGUUAUAUUUGUCCUUUUAUCAAUAUUUAGCAUAUACAAUUAUCGAUCAAUAAUUAUUGACAGUUUAAGGUAACUAAAAAACUAAUUGUGUGGAGGUGAAGUAAUAGAUUUUUGAAUUAUUAGGAGUUGAAUAAUAGUAGAUUUAUUUGGGUAUAGAGUGAAAUUUUUCCUGAUAUUCACAUAAAGUAAAAUUCAUUUUUUUUCAUUAAUUACACUGUUAAUUUAGCCCAGUUUUAGUCUUUUUCAAGAAUGAAUUUCUAUCUAUUUACGCUAAAUCUUAGAUUUAUUGACAAACAGAUUUAUUUAUUUACUUAAAUUGACCUAACAUUUAAUUCAGGGCAAUAAUGUCUCUGCGUUGGUCAACAAUGUUCAGCAGUUGAGCUUAACCAUACAGAGCAAGAAUUUUGGGGUGGGUUGAUGAACUUACAUUAAAUUUUGGGGUACUGAUGAUUAAUAACAAUGAUGGAGGUUAUAUGAAAUUGACCCCUAUAAGUCUGCUGGUUUACUUAGGUUUCUUUGUAGUAUUUGUUUGUGGGACGGAGAAGUUUCCGUCCAUGUCAAAAGGGAUCUUUGUCUAGAAUUAAUAAGAGCCGGUGCCACACAUCUGUAUACGUGGCAGUACCUUAUUUGUUACUUGUCAAUUCAGUUUCUGUUAAUUCACAGCGUGACAAAGAGAGAGGUCACUUACUGCAGCUUUAGUCAAUGACAAAUAUUUUCUUUAUUUUUAUGGUGCGUUUGGUGGUUUCCUUUCCACUUCCGAAUGCCCCCACCAAUGAAUAAAACAAAAUUGGUGACAUGCUGAUUGCCCACGUUUGGGUUUCACGUGUGUGAUGAGCAAGCAGUCAAUAGACAUUAUAUUAAUAUUGUCUUUCUCUCUCUCUCUCUCUCUCUCUCUCUCUCUCUCUCUCUCUUUUUUUUCCGUUUCUUGGGAGCCAAGCAAGGAAAAAAGUUGUGGCCCUACGGUCCCGCCAAUUAAUCCGUGCAUAUAAUUAAAAAAAUCAACCCUAUGAGAACUGCAGUUAUAAGAGAAUGUUUUGUCAUUUUUCUUCAAUUCUUGAAUUUAUCAAUAAACAACUUUGACUUUGAUUAUAUUUAUGAUUUUUUUAUUUUUAGUUAUUUCCAACAUUUAAUGUUAAGAGCUAUAAUUUUAAUGAGUUAAACUUAUUUUUUCUUGUUUUUGCAAAAGUAUUUUUUAAAUUUUGCAGUAACAAUUAAUUUAAGAUAAGUUUAAUGUAUAAAAUAUAUUAGUUACUAACCACUCUUAUUCCAAUCCAAUCCGAUGACAUACCAAACACAAUACAAUGAUAUAUCUAAUCUAAUUCAAUUAUAUCUUAAUCUAUUAUAUCUUAUUCUAUCACAUCUUUUACCAAACAAACCUGGAUUUAGGUUCAUGCUCCAUGUGAGGAAUGUCUCUUGUGUUGACUUAUUGUUAUAUUUUUAUUUUUGUCACUCAAUUUUUUUUUUUAAUUUUUCCAGAUGAUCAGAAAUUUAAUAUUUGUUUCCAUAAUAUACUUAUCAAGUUGAUAUGCAAAGUUUUGUGUUUUAAUUAUGGCUGAUGAUAUAGUAUUAUCCCGUAAAAUCAUGUGAUUAUUAGUUAUUGAGUCUUAUCAUUUUUUAUUUAAGAAAUGAAUUUAUAUGGUGCUGUGUCAUUCAGAUACAAAAAGUGUAUUGUAUUCUAAAAUAAGAAAAAAAUUAAAGUAACCUCCAACGGUUUUUCAGAUUUACAACUUAUCUACUGCAAUUAUUAUAAUACUCCGUUAAAUGGUGAAAAAUAGGGGUCGAGUGAAAUGGCGUGUGGGGAAAGAAGAAGAAAAAGAAAAAGCUGUAAUCAAAUGAUUAAAGACACCAAUCACUUGAGUCUGUGGUUGUUAAAAAAGAAAAAGAAAAAAUCAGUUAUGGUAGUUAGAAGGGUAUCCUGAUGGGUCCCACUUGAAGGCUGUUAAAUUAAUUAUGUUAACAGUAACAGUUUCUGGAAAUGCAGGGGGAAUAUGUAAGCUGGGAUUUCGGGGACUCUAGAGACAUGAUUUUCUCUUUCCUGAGUGAGAAUUAGAGAAGGUCACCAGGGGGAUUUUUUCUCUCCGUCGUUAGUGAAAGGUAGCUGGAAAGGAACGCCAUGCGGCGCGACUCGAAAUUGUUACAGUGUUAUUAUGAAAUAGAAAUAUCUACAGCACUUCCAUGGACUCUGCAAGAGAAAAAGGAAACAAGAUUACAAAAGGAUCGAUCAAAAAGGUCCUGGGCAUUAUUGCAGACUUGGCGCAUAGGUCUGACGGCUUUUUCUUCGGACGACUUAGCUUCCGAUGCAAUGCCUGCAAAUCUGACAGAAUAUAUGGACAAUUUCAUUUGCGGAAAAUUCGUAAAAAGAAAAUAUAAAAAGAAAACCCAAUAAAAUCAAGAUUGUCAAGGGAUUUUAGUUUCUUAUAUUUAUGUACUAUUAGAAGAAAAAAUGAGGGAAAAGUUUUUAUGGACUAAGAAUGUUGCAUCCCAAAUAAUAUCAAUAGUUUUUUUUUUUAAAUAAAAAAUAAAGGGUAGAUUAAACUCAAAUAAUUUUUAUUUUCUCUUUACUUCCUCCAAGACUCGAACCCAGGGAUCAGCUGCUAUAAGCUUCGUGCUGUUACCAACCCGACUGCGCAAUAAUUUACUUUUGAAUCAUUCAUUCAAGGAAAGGCAGCUAUGCAAGGGGUUUUUAAUUAAAUACCCUUUAAUAGUUUUAAAAUUAUUUAAAUACCCCCUCCCUUUUUGGUUUUCAUGGAUACCCUAACAAAUGUGAGCAAAGUCGGAAAUACCCUUAAUGAAUGCAUCAAAUGCACUCAAUGAAUUGUCUUCAUAUUUCUUUCCUCAUUUCUUUCACUUAAAUCUAUUUUUGCUGCCGAUUCUUUCAAAAUCUCUUAGAAUCUCUCAAAAUCUCUCAUAACUUCUUACACAAAUACAAUUAUGUAUUCAUUUCUUUAACACCCACUCGUUCUUUAAAGGUGCAUUGCUUAUUAAACAACCCAAUAAGGUAUGUUAAUGUUGUUGGGUUUUAAAUUUUUUAAUUUUUAGGAAAAUUUAGAAAUUUUCCUCACAUUACAAUAUUUUAUUUUCACCAUUUUUUCUUAUACGUAGAAAUAUAUGCAACGUAGGUUGUUUAAUUAUAUUUUUCAGCAAUAUAACUUAUUUAUGGCGAAAAUAUUUCGAGUCGUGCAUUCUUUUGAUACCGUGUACGUCAUAUAGUUAGUCGUGUAAGUCGUGUAAGUAAUAUAGUCGUGUAAGUCGUGUAGGUCAUGUAAGAAAUAUAGUCGUGUAAGUCGUGUAAGUAAUAUAGUCGUGUAGGUCAUGUAGGUCGUGUAGUUACUUGUAUAUGAAAUUUAAUAUUAUUGUUUUUAUUGUAUUAUCAAAUAUGGUUUUGGUACGCGUGUCUAUUCUCUUCAAUGGUGAAUGGAUUAAACAAAAUGACGAGUAUAAGUUCAAAAGUUCAAAGGCUAAAGGGAUAAUGAUACCACGAUCGACAACAUAUGCCGCAUUGGUGGAGAAGAUAGCUGAAGUUAUUGAUAUAGAUACUUCGGAAUUCAAAAUCACAACGAAGUUCAAACUUAAGACAUCUGAUCCUAUGCCACCAGUUACAAUUCAAACCAAUGAUAAUGUGGAAUUUUUUUAAAUUCCAAUUUAAUUUCACUUCUUUUUUUAAUAAUUUUCAUUGACAUUUUCUGCAUAGCAGCAAAUAUAAAUUCUUAGCACAAAUUAAGUCUUUAAAGAACUAAAUUAAUCUAAUGAUUAAUGGAAAAUUCGUGUAAUUUUAAAGUCCUCAAUUAAACAUAUUACAGCCAUUUAAAAAGUUUUUUUCUUUUUUUUUUUUAUCUUCAAAGUGCUUUCUUCCUCUGGCCAAGCAUACAAGCAUACAUGAGGAAUGCUUGCAUAUAAUUAAUCCAUGAAAUCAAUUAAGAAAAAAAAUAUCAGCUAUAGGAAAUUAAUGUAAUGUUAUACACAUAAAAACACCAUUCGCAGUGAUAAAAUAUUUUCACUCAUAACUAGACAUAUCAUGACUUACCAUGACUUAUAAUUGGAAAUUAAGAAUCUCUCUAACUAAUGACAUUUCACAAGGUAAAGGUAUAUGUACAAUUCCAAUUUAUUGUGAGCCUAAUUAAACUAAAUGUAAUAUGCAGAUUCUAUUGACAAGAAACAAAAUGUGGAAUUGAAGGUCGUGUAAUUGUGUAAUACAAGAAGAUCGUAUAAUUGUAUAAUACAUGAAGGUCGUAUAAACAUGCAAUACAUGAAGGUCGUGUAAACGUGUAAUACAUGAAGGUCGUGUAAUCGUGCAAUACAUGAAGGUCGUGUAAUCGUGCAAUACAUGAAGGUCGUGUAAAACACAACCUUGAAUCUUACAUAACCUUACACGACCAAAUCUUGUAUUACAUAACAAAAUUAUAAUCAGCACAAUCCAUUAAUUUUUCACAAUUUGCAUGCAGCAAAACAACUAGAAAUUUGUUUUCGAACAUGUUAUGAGAGACCCACAACUAAUUAAUCUAUUUUUUCAAUAUAAAACCCUAACUUUUUAUUUUUUUUCCCUUGAAUAGUAACAAGAAAACUAAUUACAUGGAAUUACUUGUCUCAACUAGUUACAUUCUGACAAUUUUGCAGUAAAUGAUCAACUCUCUCCGGCGAUUAUGUAGUGACGAACUAUGCUUCACUUUCUCAGUUGUGGCAGCUUCUCCUUCUCAGGCUUAGUUUGCUCGUGUUGAAGUUCGAUUUACCAUAUAUGGAGAAUGAAUGUUUGUUUCAGUAGAGGUGAUGCCAGUGAGGGAAUUGCAGUGUUUGUUUGUUUGAGUUUGAUAAUUGAGGGAAUUGCAGCAGAUGAGUGUUUGUUUGCUUCAGUAGAGAAGGGAGAGGUGCUGUCCGUUGAGUUGAAAUGUUUUAAAAUGAGGAUAACUUAGUAAUUUCCUAUCCGUUUUUAAAGGGUAUCGAUGAAAAUUUCGGCAAAAAUAGAUUUUAGGGUAUUGAGAUAAUUUUUGAAGUAUGGAGGUGUACCGGGCGCAAUUGGCUCGCUAUGCAAUCCUCUAUACAAAGAACAGUUACUUCAACAUUCAGAUUCAUUUACAACUCUUCAACAAUGCAAAAUACACGAAACACCGCAACCAUCAAUGCACACUGUUCAUUCUUUCUAAAACUGAAAAUCAACAUAUAGAAACUAUUUUUUCACAGGAAACAGAUAAACUUUUAUUACCUCAAGCAAAGAAAAAUACAUAAUUUUAUUACAAGUACUGCAUUUGAAUCACUUAGCCACGAAAAUUUCACUACCAGUUUGUAGCGUGACAUGGUCAAAGUCUUCCGGAAAAACUCAAUUUUCAUCAUCAUCAAGAAACUAAGCAAAAUUGUGUUUUGCAACGGUAUGGCUUCAAUCUCUGCCCGCUACUCUAAACUGGAGCUGGACCUCUGUGUGUACUCUGCAACAAGUUGUGCAAAAGAUGAUGACUUGUUCUCUAGCAACUUUGUUGGAGAAUCGUAUUCCUCGAUAAUCCCUAGACCAAAAUAUUCAAAAAUUUUUUAAAAAAAAGGCCAAGGAAUUUAUUUGGAACAUAUCAUAGAUUACAUAACAAUCCUAACCAUGACUCAGAAGCAGAACCAUGUCACUAUCAAUAACAGAAGUUAUCCGAUGUGCGAUGGUUAUGACCGUGCAGUCAGAAAAGUGUUGUCGAAGAGUUUGCUGAAUCAGAUUAUCGGUAGCUGUGUCAACAGAUGCUGUAGCUUCAUCAAGCACCAAUACUUUACUUUUCUUGAGUAGCACACGCCCAAGACAAACCAGCUGCCUCUGGCCCAUACUCCAGUUCUCUCCAUUUUCGGUAACUGCAUCAUCCAUUUGAAUAUAGACAACUAAAUUUCUACCAUAACUAAGUAUAAAAAUUUUACUUGGGAAAAUUCAAGUGAAGAGAAGAAAAGACAGACCUCUUGAAUCUAGCUUUCCUUCUUUGUUUCUAACUUCAUCCCCAAGUUGGCACUUAUCCAAAGCCUAGAAAGAAAAAUUUAUAGUUAUUUUAGCAAUUAGCAAAUGCAUCCCAAUCUUCAACAAUUGAGUCUAAAAACACAGCAUGAUAGAUUUAGGAAUAAACAUGGUUAUCAUAGCUUCUUUCUGAAAUCAAAUUAAUAUGAACCCACCUCCCAAAUUUCCUCAUCUUUGUAUUCUUCAAGAGGGUCCAGAUUGUUACGUACUGUCCCUUCAAACAUGGUUGGAUCCUGAGGAAUGAUGCUCAGUCUUGAUCGCAAAUCAUGCAGUCCAAUUGAUGAGAUAUUGAUGCCAUCUAUCACAAUUUCACCAGCUGUAGGUUCAACAAUCCGGAACAAUGUCUGAAUGAGAGUUGAUUUACCACUGCCAGUUCUCCCUACAAUGCCAGUUUUCAUCCCUCCUGGGAAAGUGCAUGUGAGACCUCGCAACACAAGUGGCAAGUGUGGAGCAUAACGGACCUAUGGCACAACCAUAAUCAUUGAUUAUGAAAGCAUCAUAAAAGGAUAAGAGAUGUAAUCAUAUAGAACAAGCAAAUAUACCUGUAGAUUAAGAAUGUCAACUUCUCCAUGUGUUGGCCAGGAACAGUCAGGCUGACUCUCUUCUAUCACAAGCGGGGGCUCACUCGAAAUGCACGUAUACUGAAGUAUUCUCUCAACCGAUAUAAUCUUGUUCUCUAAAUUGCAAAGGUUCCAUAUUACCCAAGCUUGUAACAUAUUUAGGUUGAGUCCAUAUGUGACAGCCAAACCCGCAAUUGCUAGAGGGUAAAAAGACCACAACUUUUAACUCUCUUUCAUUAUUCACUCUCAAUAGCAAUAAGGAAUAGUAAGUGGUUAACCACGUACCUGGUUCAAUUACUCCCUUUGGGAUAGAGAUUAAUAAAACCAAAGAGAAGGCAAAUGUGAGAGAAGACAACAUAUCCAGGCGGAAGCAAAGCCAUUCCAUUGCACCAGCAAUAUGGAAUUUGGGCCGAGAAUAUCCAUCUACCAGCUUCAUAUUUGUGUCUCGAAACCUUGAUUCUUGAUCAAAGCUCCUGAUAGUUGUUGAACCCGAAAUUGUUUCAGAAAAAUGUUGUAUCACUGGUGCUUUGCAUACUCCAACCAACCGUGAAAGUUCUCGUGCUGAAGGUAUGUAAUAUUGCUGGAUAAUUGUAAAAACAUGAGAAAUCUUCUUUCCAGGAAAAGGAAACUAAAAUCAAGAUAUUGAAUAUUGGAAUGAGUGGGGGACAGAAUAUAAUACAUCAAUUAACAUUUCCUUGCUAAGUUCGAUGAGAAAACACAAUUUAUAACCAGAUACGCAAUCCCCCAAUAGGUGCAAAACAAAGACAGCAAUUCUAAUUCUUGACUGCUAUAUACUUUAAAAUCUUUAUUUAGAUAUGCUAUGAAUACUGCUGCAGUCCUAUGGUAAAAGCUAUUGUUGGAGAGAGAAUUUCAGAAUUCAUUUAUGCUGAUAUGUCAGAGUCAUUCACUGCUUAAGGGCCAUCAUACUUAGUUAUCCAAAAUAUGCAACAUUAUAGCAUCACCAAAAGGCUCUUCCAAUGAAAGUUUACUUAUUAUUUGAAAAGCCACAGAAGCAAAAAGCAUUUCAAAAGGCUCUCCAAAUAAGAUUCUUUCAAUGAGAUUAUUCUUCUCUCUCUUCAAUAUGCAACAUUAGAGCAUCACCAAAAAUCUCUUCAAAUGAGAUUUUACUUAUUAUUUGAAGAGUAGCAUAAGCAAAAAGUAUUUCAAAAGGCUUUCAAAUAAAAGUCUUCAAAUAAGAUUGUCCUUCUCUCUUCAAUACUGAAGAGAGAAAAAGACAAUCUCAUUUGAAGAAUCUCAUUUGGAGAGCCUUUUGGAGCCUUCAAUUUAGUAUUAUAUUAUUUUUUAUCUUCUCAUUCUUGAAAGGAGAGAUGUGUUAUAAUUGUUAUUAUUUUGGUGGAAAAAAAUUUGAUCAAAUAAAAUGAACAUAUUUUUAUUUGAAGAGCCUUUUGGGAGAUGGCUAAUUUUUUCACGCUUCUAUCUACCACAUGGGUAAGCAAAUAAGUAUUUGAAGAGCUAAAUUAGAAGAGUCUUUCAGUGAUUCUCUUAGACUGUGAAAGCAUGUUUAAUAGAAGCCUUAGGUGAUUUGGAUAACAUAAGAAUGGGCCAAUAAAGGUACAUUCUUAAUCAAGAGACCCAUUUCACAUUGAUAGACUUAAAAAAAAAAAAAAUCUCAUGGCCCAAUUAUUAUCACAGCAUUCUCUACCAUAGAAUUCAGCCUUCGGGGCCAACCAGAUGGCUUCUUUGAGGAAGCAGCGCAAAGGAGCUCAAGGGCUUGUUAAGAAAGGCGGCAAGGGCCGACAAAGGGGGGGAAAUAAAAAGUGUUGUCUGGUUCCACCUGAGCAAUGGCUUAAUAAAGGUACAUUCUUAAUCAAGAGAUCAAUCUCACAUUGAUAGACUUAAAAAACCAUCUUGUAGAGGACAAUAAUCAGCACAAUUUUUAUGAAAUAUGCAGUAAGCUCACUGGCAACGCAAAAAAGUUUAGGUUUUCCAACUACUUGUCAUCUUGAGCAAUCAGCAUUUGAUGCACAACCUAGAACAUCUAACGCUUGCAAAAGUUGAAAAUAAAAAUUAGAAAAACGAAGAGAUAAGAGUUGAAAGAUUACCUGAUACCAGAUGCUGACAGCAAUCACAGGGAUGAAAACUAUAAAAACCUGCCAUGCAGCCUGAGACAUCACCGCGAUGAUUCCCAGAAGCUGGAUCAUUGAGAAGGCAAAAGCCCCAACUUGAGAUGCAAUGUUCAAGUCAACGGCACUUUGGUCAGUAGAAGCCUAUGAAAGAAAGCAGAUUAAAUAAGCAAUUACUUUUACUUGCCUUAUUUUGGUUCUCAGAAAAACUAAUCGACAAAAAUGAAGUGCACUAGAUUUGAACAGACGCUAACUUACCCUGUUUAGAAGUCGUCCACUAGGUGUUGCAUCAAAGAAGGACAUAGGAGCACGGAAUAAACAAAAGUGCAUUUUAUUAAAGAGCAGAGUAGCUGUUUUGAAUCCAGCAGUUGCAAGAAGUGUAGAUCUUGCAAGGAUGCAAAAAGAACUUCCAAGGGCCAAAGCUACAUAGACAAUUAUCAGUGUGGAGCUCCCGACCGCGGGUUUUACAUCCUCUGACACUGGGGUUGCCCAAGCCAUCCAAUAAUUGCUGCCAAUUUGAAGGAUCUGAAAGAGAAUCUGAGCCAACAAUAUAAAGGGUACAAGCGCUCCUCUAUAUGCUGUUGUAAUAUAUUGCCAGUACACUGAGAAACCAACUCUCCCCUUCUCCCUCUCUUCUUCCUGAACAAGCUGCCCUUUUGGUCCUGCUACUUCGUCUACUUUAUCAGUCUGAAUAUCUUCAUUUCCUUCUUUCAUGGUAACCCCAUUAGUAGUAUCCAUACCACCAUUUUCUUUAUUCAUACUUAUCCUUUCAGAAACAGGUCCUCCCUCAAUGGAAUCAAGUGCUGAUAAAGCUUGCUGAUGUGCGCCCACAAGAACCAUAAAGUCAGUACCUGAGUUUAGGAUGUCAUUGUACUUUCCAGCUUGCGUAAUCUUUCCAUCUUUCAUAACCUAAAAACAAGGUUUUGUUUAUUGUUAAGGGAUGUAUAAACAAGGGAUAUGCAAUCCAACAGAUAAAGAAAUGCAAUGUAAUUGCUCACCAAGAUAAGGUCCGCAGCAGGCAAGAACUCCACUUGAUGAGUAACAUAAAUCACCGUCUUGGAUCUUAAGAGGCCCAACAAAACUUCCUACCAAACAAAUAUUAUGAAAAAAUAAGUCACAAAUUCUAAGUUUUCAUUAGGAAGAAGAUGAUAACAUCGGAGUGAGUAGUGGUACUUGAAUACAAGAGUCCACCCUCAUGAGUGGCAUACCUCCAGUUCCAAAUAUACCAGGAAAAGAAAAAGCAGGAAGUCCAAAAGUAAAAGCACAAGAGAGAGGAAUAGAUUUCACCUUAAAGAGGUGAGACCCAGUAUGCGCAUCAACAGCACUAAAAGGAUCGUCAAACAGAUAGAUAUCAGCAUCUUGGUAGAGAGCGCGAGCAAUCUGUAUUCUUUGCUUCUGUCCUCCACUUAAAUUAAUUCCCCUCUCGCCUAUAACUGUCUGAUCACCAAAUGACAGGAUUUCCAGAUCCUUUUUCAGGGAACAUGCUUCAAGCACUCUGUCAUACUUUUCUCUGUCCAUCGGCUUACCGAACAAAAUGUUAUCUUCAAUAUUGCCACUCUGUAUCCAAGGUGACUGAGCAACAUAGGCCUUUGUACCGCACAACUUCAGGGCACCGGAUAUCUUGGGUACUUCUCCCAAAAUACAAGAAAGUAAGCUUGAUUUCCCAGAGCCAACAGUACCACAAACUGCAACCCUCAUGCCGUGAAACACUUUCAAGUUUAUGUCUCUCAAUGUUGGAUUAUUGGAAGAAAUAUCCCAGGCAAAAUUCCCAUCAACUAUCUCAAUAGCUGUUUCAGAGCUACCUCUGGGAUGCUUCUCUACAACAUCAGACUGCAAGUCAUCAAGACAUAGGAAAGAUGCAAUUCUGUCAAGGGAAACCUUGGUCUGAAUUAUCAUUGAAAUUGUGUCAGGAAGAUUAUAUAUAGGCUCUUGAAGAAUCCUGAAUGUUGCAAGAGCGGAUAAGAUCUUCCCUGACUCAAGGGGGAUUCCCAAAAGCAUACAAGCACCAAAGGUGGCAACAGACACAAAAGUGGGGGCACCCCAAAAGACAAAACUGGUCAUCGCCCCAGUGUAAAGAAAUUUUUUCAACCAUCCAGCCUCAAUCUUUCUGAGCUCAAUAAUCUUGGACAAAAACUUCAUUUCCCAGCCCUGAAGCUUGAGGAUUCUCAUGUUCCUUAAAAUCUCGGAAGUGACCUUCAUUCUUUUAUCUUUUGAUCCCAUCAACUUAUCUUGAAAAUUCUCUUGCAGUCUACCCAAAGGAAAGUUCGUUAACAUAAUUAAUACUGUAGCAAAAAGUGCCGCAAUUGAUGCUAGCCCAAGAUUUUUAUACAAGAUCAAAAGGGCUAAGGAAACCUGCAAGAUGACCAACCACGGAUCAUGCAUAUACCAACCAAAGUCACCAAUCCUUUCAGCAUCAACGGUCAUGAAAUUAAUGAUUUCCCCACUAGUGUAGCUCUGCUUCGCUUGGCAUGAAAGGGUCAAACCCUUAUUGUAGACCAUUGAAACAAGUACCGAGCGCAUCUUAAUUCCAGCCACCUGCAGCCGAAACAUCCAGUGUCUCUGGGCAAGGCACUCCACAAUCUUUGCUACAAAGAAGGUGGAUACCAGAACAUAUCCCUCAUUUUUGAACUCUCGUUCCCCAUUGAGAUAUUGAACGAAUGUGUCAAUUAGAUAUGGACCAACAUAGUUGGCCAAUGUGUAUAAAAGCGCUAAGAUUGCGGUAAAUACAAUCUCUUUCCAAGCAGAGAAGAACAAUGCCUUCGUCAACUUGAAUGCAGUCACUUUAUUCCCCUCAACCCUAUUUGCCUCAAGCUUAUUCCUAAAAAUUGGAAAGCACCCAACUACACUAUCGCCACUAUCUAGUUGAGGAACAUCCUCAAGGUCCAAAGUUUUCUUAUUCCCAAGGGAAAUCAGAGAACCCAUCCAAGAGAAAGUAAGAACACUAAAUAAACUAGCAUUUGAAUAAGGAGUGACGUUAUCAGUCCCUCUGGACUUGAUUGAUGACACUUCACCAUUACCUAUACUAGAAUCACCAUCCAAAAGGGUUUCUUGAAGAAGAAGGGUAUCUUCACCCUUGUCUCUCUUCAAAAAUCCCACAUAACAGAAAACGAAUCCACUAAUAACGGAGACUACAUCAGAUACUAAAUAAUGAACUGAUAAAGACACAUGCUGUGCGUACAGAACAAUAUCACUGACAAGACAGUAACAAGAAAGACAUAAAUAAAAACCCCACCAAAGUCUCAAUAAAAGUGGGAAUCUCUGUUGACCUGAAUUAAAGAACUGGGAAUGCAAAUAAACACAAAUUGCUCCCCAACCAAGUGUUCUAAGCACUAAAUCAGCUAAAGUAACCAGUUUAUCACCAGACCAGUCAUUUCCAAACCAAGAAAAGUAAUCUAACAAACACAAAACAAGGUUGAACACUGAAACAGCAAAACAACAAAACAGAAUCAGCUUAUGCCUCAAAACCGAUUUCUUCUUAAACCUCUCCUUAUACCCUUCACUAUCACUAACCCCAACUCUCAACUUUUUCCAAACCCAGGAGACAAACAACCCAAGUAACAAAACUAAGUGCAAGGAACCAGAAAUCCCGCGAAGGAAAGCUGGUUUAAGAAGAAAUUCAGUACCUGGAUACAUUUUUGGAGGGCUUAUUCAAGUAGUCCAGUGUAUGCACGGGGAGUUAGUGGCACUUGGUUUUGUGUGUGCGGGUGCAUAUAUAUAUAUAUAUAUAUAUAUAUAAGAAUAGAAGGCAGAAUGAUGAAUGAGAAAGAAUAAAAGGAAAAUGACAAAUGAGAAAAAACAAAGAUUGAUUUCUUGGGGAAGAGUUAACGUGGAGGGUAAGAAUGGAGAGGCGGAGAGAACAAAGGACACGUUUCUUGAGCCAAAUACAGAAAAAACAAGGAAAUGAUAGGCUGUAUCUCUGAGAAAACCUGAUUGAAUGGACACAGAAGAUUUCAAUCUACUGAAAUUAUAUUUAUUUAUUUUCACGAGUAUAUUCCCCGAUCAAUAAACACCAACAAUAAAUGAUUUAUUUUCACAAGUAUAUUCCCGAUCAAUAAACACCAACAAUAAAUUAGUUUAAUGGGAGUUGUCAAGUCAAUGAGGUCUCCGCCCCACACCCCAAUUCAAGGGGCUCCCCGACUUGGUCGAGCAAUUAUUUAGUCUUUUUUUUGAAUUGAUCAUAUGUGUUUAUAUUCUGGUCGGACUGUAUUCUAUAUAUAUAUAUAUUCAAACUCUUAAUUAUGUUUAAACAGAUUUUAAAAAUCAAUGAUCUUUUUUUAAUUGGUUUAAUUGUAAGCUCCAUGGAAUCUAGAGAUGGUAAAAUUUUAUGUAUGAGUCAUCAAAUUUAACACGAUUAUUAAAUAGAUUGGGUCCGAAUUAACAUAAUUUUUUUUUCUAUGUUGAGUUAGGAUUAAAGUUCUUGACCCAUUUACUAAAUCAAUGAAACAAUUAUAUUUUUUAUUCUAAAUUAAUUUGUAAGUUUUUGUUAUCAAAAUUAAAAAAUUAGACAUGAUUCUCUAUUUUUUUUUAAGGAUUAACAUAUAUACAAUAUUUCAUUUAUAAAAUUUUAUUUAGAUUUAGAACUCCAAUAGUAUAAAUAUGUAAAAUGUUAGUAGACAUAUAUAUUUUAUAAUAUUGAUAUAUAAUAUUAUUUAUAUAUAUAUAAUUAAAACUUCAAUAAUAUAAAAUGUGUAAUAUUUUAGUAGAUAUAUAUAUAUAUAUAAUAUUUAAAUUUUGUUAAACUUGUAGAUAUUAAAUGGGUUAUUAGGUAAUUUGUUUAUUCUUAGUAUUGGAUUUAGGUCUCAAAAUUUUAACAAAAUUAUUAAAUGGAUCAUGUUUGUAUCGGCCUAAAUUUGAUAUAAUACGAAAUUGACACGAUAUAAAUACAACCGGAUGAUCCAUUUUGUUAACUUUAAUGAAAUCACCCUUGAGAUAAUUUUUUUUUUUUAAAUUGGAGCCAUACUAUACUAUAAAAGAAAAAGUAAAAGCAUUAAAAAUUUGUUUUUUGGAUAAUUACAGUACAAAGUACGAAGACUUUUUGUUUCCCAAAAUGCGCUUCCCGUCAUUCAUUAAAAAAAAAAAAAAAUGAGCUUUUUAUAAAGUGGAAAAGAGGAAACAGAAGCCAGUCAACAUUACGAGGCAAACAACCCCCCAAAGUCCAACUUUUAUAUCUUUAUUAUGUAAUUUGGCGGGUCUUGCUGAGUUCAGAAAUUGUACGUCACAGAAACUGAAGUGACAAGUUAGCAAAUAAGGCAUGCCACGUAUUAUCGGGGUGUAAAGAAAAACAACAGAGUUUGGGCGUUAAUUUCAAAUAAACCCCCAUUAUUAUCAUUAAUCAUCAGUAUCCCGAACUUUAACACAAGUUCAUCAAUCCACCGCCAAAUUCUUGUCCGAUACGGUUAAGUUAAACUGCUGACCAUUGUUGACCAACGCAAAGACACUAUUGCCCUUAAUUAAAUAUUAGGUCAAUGUAAGAAAAUAACAAAUUUAUUUUUCAAGAAAACAAAGAUUUGAAGUAAAUAGAUAGAAAUUCAUUCUUGAAAAAAAAAACUAAAAUUUAUGCAAAUUAAUAGUAUAAUUAAGAAAAAGUUAUAUUUUAUUUUACGAAAAAAUGAUAAUAAAUUUCACUGCAUACUCAAAUAAAUCGACUACUAUUCAACUCCCAGUAAUUCAAAAGUUCAUUACUUUACCUCCACGUAAUUAGUUUUUUAAUUACCUUAAAUUGUUAAUAAUAAUUGAUUGAUGAUUGUACAUAUAUGCCAUCAAUGUCAUUAAAAUAUCAAUAAAAAGACAAUAUAACCUUUAGUGAAUUUUUUUAUUAGAUUGAUUUUGCAAGAGAAUAACAUAUUUAUUUACACUAUUAUUACAUGAGUAAUAUUAUAUUUAUAAACUCUUGUACAUACUAAUAUGACAUUAUAUGAUUAGUUGAAUAAAAAUAUCAAAUAAUAAAAAUAUAUCUUGUUGGCUAAGUGAUGUUUUCUUUCAAUUAUUCGAGUGAUGCCAUAUUAGUUUAUAUAAGAUAGCUUGUAGAAAAGAGUUUGUAGCUGUGUCACUAUUCUAUAUAUAUUUCAAACACCAAAUAAUUAAAAGAAUGAUGGGGCUAUUUGAACCCCUCGGUUCCUCUCUAAAUCUAUUUUCUUGAUAAAUUCACAACUUAUUUGAACCCCUCAAGUUUCUCUCUAAAUUAGUUUAAAAUUAUUUAUUUAGUCUCUAUAACUUGAGAAUUCCAAAAAUAGAUCUUAAUAGAAUUUUUGUACAUUAAUAUUUUUCUAAUUGUUCUUGAUUUGAUUUAACGAAGAGACUUAACUUUUGUUAAAUUGAAGAAUGUUUGCAUCACGCAAAGAUAAAUUUCAAUUAACCAUAUUCAAUUAAAUCAUUUUUGAACCAUCAAAUCGGUUUUUUGGGUUGUGAUUUGUGCUAAAUAUUCUUCUUUUUUUUUUAGAAAGGAGAAGAAGAAACUUGUGUGUUCUUAAAUAUCUCUUCAAAAGGUUGCAAAGGAUCAACAAGUGUUUCUUUUUAUUUUACAUAAACUCUACGAGAUAAAAAAUUAAGAGGUAAUUCCAUCUUGUAUUAUUGAUAUACCAUGCAUGUAGAGCCAAGAAAAUAUAUUUACCUAUAAACUUGAAUUUGAUUGCUCUAACCAACUUUUAUAUUUUAAUACAAACUAAAAAGUUCACACUAUGAAGCAAUAUUAAUACUAGCAUGUCUCUAUAAGUAAUUCUAUCAAAAGAUAUUUUAGUUAAAAAAAAAGUUUGAAUAUAAAAUAAACUAGUUGGUCAGUAUACAACCUAAAUUUAUUUUUGAUUUUUUAAAAAAAAAGGGUCUGGUUGCUAAAUUUUUAAAAUAUUCGUAUAUUUUAUUGUAAAGAUUUAUAAGAGCUAUUUUGCGUAAUCAAAUUAAUUUAAUUGUGAGGCAUCAUGGUCUUUUAAUUCUAAUAGUAGAAAAGCUGGUCGGUUGGCUGUGUAUACAUCAAAAACGAAUGGGUGGGUACUGACAUUUGUCAGAACAUUUGGGGGAGUCGAUGGAAAUGAACCCUCCUUUGUGUUAAAGACCAGUUGCCCACAAUUGAUUUCUGUUCCGGCCGUUAAUCCCAACCGUCCAGUUUCAGUCUUUAAAUCCAACGAAUCAAAAUGCAUGUCUAUUGGUCACAGAUUAAUGGAACUUAGCCGCGGCUAUAAUUUGGUUCCCCAUCAAUCAAUAAAAACAAAAAAACUGCCGACGUGUCGGUUGCCACGUUUGACUUGAGUUCGAUAUGUGUGCGGGGCAAGGAAAAUGAGGAAGCUUUAAUUUAUUGGGCGUUUUCCCGGAAGCCAAACAAGGAAAAUAACUUUUAUGGGAUCCUGAGGAUUCCCAGUUUUCCACUUCAAGAUUUUAUUUGGAAUUUUCCGAGAAAAUUUGUCGCCGUGAUUAGUGAGUGCCUAAGGUCCACAGAGUGAAAGCUUGAGGCACACGCAAUGAGGUUUUUGCAAGUGUUACUGGCAUGAAAUGGACUCAUUUUGAUGUUAAUUAUUUCCCCUAAUACAAUUGAUGCAGUUUUCCGAACACGUGUUUGACCAAUUUGGCGAAAGUGUUACCUCAUUUCCAUCCGAACGUGUUUAACAACCAUUCAUUGACUUCUAGUUUCUAAGAACAAUUCACAUGAGGCAAAUGAAUGGUUGUUAUAAGUCACUAACAGUGAUGAAGUGAUUUUGUCUUUCAAAUAAAUACGUUCACAAGAAACAUUUUUUUUUUCUCUUUUCUCUUUUAAAUAAUUAAAUAUAUAGUUAACAGAUAAAAAUAACAAAAUAUAAAAUUUUAUAUAAAUUGACUUAACGUAUAUAAAUUGUCACAUGUCUUUAAUUCUUUUAAGUUUUAUUUCUUUUGCAAAUUACACGUGUAACGUGAUAAUGGUAUGACAUUUUUCAAAAGAAAAAUACUAAAAAAAAAAAAGAUGAGAGAAAGUGUGUCGAAAAUAGAAAGAAAUAGUGGAUUGGGUAGAAUGAGAGUAAAAUUCUCUCAUCUUUAUCUCUCUUUAUCAUUACUCUUUUGAUUAUCUCUCUUUAUGAUUACUCUUUUGAUUUUUGAUCUAAAUGAUUGGUUCAUUUUUUCCAAAUUUUAUUACUUUCAUGCAUUUGCUGCUUUUUCCAUUGUCCACUUGCUUUUAGUUUUUCUUCUUCCUGUUCUUUUCCCCACCUGUUAUGAUUUAUCUUUAUUUUUCGAAUAAGGGGCAAAAAAUAAACCGAAGGCAUUUUGUUUUAUUAUGAUUUAAUCAUUUUGAUUUUUGAUCUAAAUGAUUGAUUCAUUUUUUCCAAACUUUAUACUUUCAUGCAUUUGCUUUUCCAUUGUCCACCUGCUUUUAGUUUUUUGUUCCUUUCCUUCUUCCCACACUUGGUAUGAUUUAUCUUUCUUUUUCAAAUGAUAAAAAGAAAAAAGAAAGAAAGAUUAAAACAUUUUAUUUCAUUAUGAUUUAAUUUUUUAAAUAUUGAUUCAAUAUAAGGGUUUCAUGACCUCUCAUGUAUUUCAAGUACCAUCAUUCUCUUUUAUGUUGAGUAACCACUUUCAAGUUAUAGUAAGUUAAGUGCCUCAAUAUAAACUAACGUAAAUUGGGUUUCAUGAAUUUCAUUUUCUAAGAAACUUACAACUACCAAAGACAAUUUUGGGAAUCAAUUUGAAAUUCUAGAAUCUCUUCAUAAUGCAGAUGUGAGACGUCACGGCCCUAAAUUACCAAACAAAAAAAGGCGAUCGCACCCAAGUAAAAAUUAUUAUUGAAAUCUGAUUUAAUUAAUUUAAGGUAAUUUCAGCUGUUACUUAUAAAAUUAGUCCUAAAUAUCUGAAGAGUUUGCACGACACAUUGAAAUUUUAAUUACAUAUUCGAUUUAUGAAUCUCCCUAAAUUACAUGCAUGUAACUUAACAUUAGCCUCGAUUUAUUUAUAUCGAACUUUCUUGAGCAACAUUUAUCGGGAAAAAGAAAUAUGGAAAGGAGGAAAUCAGAACUCUUCUUGGAAUGUGCAAUGCUUUUGUCGGAGAAUACAAUAUUUUGUUCAACCGUAGCAUCUAUUUCUACUGCAAAUUUUGGAAUUUCUUGGAAUCCAAACAAGAUUUAUUGAGCGAUGAGCCUGCGAUUGGCAUUGCCUCCCACGUUACGAAUUCUGAACAGUGAAGUCAUUCAUUAAGAUUUAAGAGACAGAGCAGCUAUUGCGGGUGUGGAUUUUGAAAUAUUCAAAAAGAUAAGAGAUAUGAAAUAUUAUUUACGAUUAGCACCUCGAUAAUGAAUAAUUAAUCUUCAUAUAUGAUAAUGAAUGCUAAACGGCACAUCAUUUCAAUAUAUAUAUAUAUUCCGGCUUCACAUGUAGAGUAUUAUUGAAAAUGUAAAAGGCUAAUCAUUUAUUUUUUAAAGUAAUUUAUUAAUUUUUUUUUAAACAUGAUAAACAAUCCCUUGGAUAUUAGGAUAGAGUGAUGCUAAACUUUUCAACGAAUAUUUUAACUUUUACAAUCUUAAAUAAAGUGACAUUUGUUUAUUGGCUGAAGGGAUUAAGCACUAAAUAGCUCUAAACUUGCAAUACUUUUGCGGAUGUUACCGGAAACUGCAAUACGGUGGAAGGCAAAUCUGUUCCUGUCUUAAGAAUGAACAAGGCAGGAGGGGCAGAGAGCCUCCGAACAAAAAUUUAUUGUCUUGGAUUUUCAGAGCCUCUUUCGGUGACCACUGGUGAAUGAAAUGCUUCUCCUAUUGUAAACAUUUGAUCUGCAGUUGGAAUAUAACGUCAGAGUCAGAAAUCAAGCAGUGCACACAAUCUGUAAUGACACAUGCCUAGAAAGCAAUGACAAUAUCAAAGUCAAAACGAGCCUGAAACUCAAGUUUCUUAGUCGUCAAGCAACUUAACUCGGCUCAAUUUCGUUUGUUAAGCUAUGGCCUUCAAUUCCCAGCUAAACUGGAACUGGACCUCUGGGUGUACUCUGCAACAAGUUGUGAGAAAGAGGAUGACUUGUUCUCUAGCAACUUUCUUGGGGAAUCAUAUUCCUCGAUGAGUCCUACAAGAAUAUAUUUUUAAAAUGUUAUUUAUAUUCGAUGAUAAGCAGGCUAUAAAAGGAAUUGGACAUACUGACCAUGACUGAGAAGCAGAACCAUAUCACUGUCAAUAACAGACGUUAUCCGAUGAGCAAUGGUUAUGACUGUGCAGUCAGAGAAGUGCUGCCGGAGACUUUGUUGGAUCAGAUUAUCAGUAGCAGUGUCAACAGAUGCUGUAGCUUCAUCAAGCAUCAAGAUUUUUCUUCUUUUCAGUAGCACACGGCCAAGACAUACCAGCUGUCUCUGGCCCAUGCUCCAGUUCUCUCCAUUCUCAGUAACUGCAGCAUCCACAAGACCAUAUAUAAAGGAAAUUCUGAGUCGCAACUAAAAUUUGGAAAACUUCACUACAGCUCAUACAAUAGAAUAGGAAAAAACACAGACCUUUUGAAUCUAGUUUCCCUUCCUUCUUCCUAACUUCAUCUCCAAGUUGGCAUUUAUCCAGAGCCUAAACCAUUUCAAGAAAUAUUAGCAUAAUCUAUCUUCCAUCAUCAAUUGCAAGCCUGAAAACACUGCAAAAGCUUAUUCCUACCUCCCAUAUUUGCUCAUCCGUAUAUUCUUCAAGAGGGUCUACAUUGCUUCGCACAGUCCCUUCAAACAUGACAGGAUCCUGGGGAAUAAUGCUUAGUCUUGUCCGCAAAUCAUGUAGUCCAAUCAAUGAGAUAUCGAUGCCAUCUAUAAGAAUCUGACCAGCAGCAGGUUCAACAAUCCGGAACAGUGUUUGAAUGAGAGUUGAUUUACCACUGCCCGUCCUCCCUACAAUACCAGUUUUCUUUCCCCCUGGGAAAGUACACGAGAUACCUCGCAACACAAAGGGCAUGUGUGGUGCAUAGCGAACCUACAUCAUAACAGCAAUCGUUGUUAACUCUAAGGGUAUUUGGGAUUUAGAUCUUGGGCUUUUAUUCCAUAACUGUUUCAGAAUGGAGAACUCAUUAUCAGUGGGUAGAUUUUAAACAUCACUAACAGCCAACUAAAAGUGGGUGUUUACCAAAUACAUUAGUUUGCGUGCUUUGAAAAAUAAGCAAAAGCACAACAGAAACAAAAACAUUCACAAAAGUUGUUAAGCAAGUAAAAUGACCUGAAGAUCACGCAGGUCAAUCUUCCCAUGUGAUGGCCAAGAAUGGUUGGGCCGACUUUCUUCUAUUUCGAGCGGGGGCUCACUAGGAAUACAAGUAUACUGAAAAAUUCUCUCAACUGAUAUAAUCUUGUUCUCCAUUUGGCAAGCAAGCCAUAUUAACAUAGCUUGUAAGUUAUUUAGGGUGAGUCCAUAUGUCACAGCUAGGCCAGCAAUUGCUUCAGAAAAGGAAAUGAGAAAAAAAAAAAGCUGUUUCAUGCUCCUUUACUAAUUAUUUUUAGUUGCAAGAAGGAUUAUCAAUGACACCAUAUGUGAACUACUAACCUGGAUCAAUAAAUCCCUUCGGAAUGGAGAUUAAGAAAACCAAAGAGAAGGCAAAUGUGAUGUUAGACAACAUAUCCAGGCGCAAGCCUAGCCAUUCCAUGGCAGCAGCAACAUGGAAUGUUGGUCGAGAAUAUCCAUCCAUCAGUUCCAUGUUUGUGUCUAUAAACCUUGAUUCUUGAUCAAAGCUCCUGAUAGUGGUUGACCCGGAAACAGUUUCUGCAAAAUGCUGUAUUAAUGGAGCUUUGCAUACUCCAACCAGCCGAGAAAGCUCCCGUGCUGAAGAUAUGUAAUAUUGCUGCAUAAACUUGAAAAAGUAAGAAAACUUCUACCCCAAAAUUGGUCUCUUAUUCAAUGAGAAUGAGACUAAAUGAAGAAAAUAUUUCGAAGAGGGACAGGUGGUUAGUGAGAACACAAUGUAUUGACACUUGCUUCUUUGAAAGUUCUAUAACUUAAAGAAAGGCAGUACAGUGAGGACCAAGAAGAUAUCAAAGCUCGAAGUAACUCCAUUUGACUGUCAACUAACAAAUGUUGGUCUUAAAAGUGCAAAAGUUGAUGUAAGAAACAUCUAUUAUUCACAUGGAAAACGAUUAAACCUAUGGAAUAGAAUACAAAAAGGCAUCAAGUGAUAAUAGAUAUUAAAUAUUUAACCAGAAUUUUGAUGUGCCAAUGUCAUAAUGUGGGCACAGCUUAUAAAGAGUUGCCAAGAGCACAAGGAUUACCUGAUACCAGAUGCAGGUAGCAAUCACAGGGAUAAAAACAAUAAAAACCUGCCAUGCAACCAGAGACAUCACUCCAAUCACUCCUAGAACCCGAAUGAUUGAGAAUGCAAAGGACCCAAUGAGAGCAGGAAUGCUCAAAUCAACAGCACUUUGGUCGGUAGAUGCCUUGAAGAACAAAAGCAAAUUGGUUAAGCAAAUACUUCUAGGUAUGGUUUUGGUUUUCACAAAACUUUUAAGACAUUCCAAUGUUGAUUCCCUAAUAAAGUUUAUUAGACAAGAACGUACUCUGUUUAUAAUUCGACCACUGGGGGUUGCAUCAAAGAAGGACAUGGGGGCACGGAAGAUGCAAUAAUGCAUUUUAUUAAAGAGCAGAGUGGCUGUUUUGUAUCCAGCCGUUGCAAGAAGUGUGGAUCUGGCAAGGAUGCAAAAAGAACUUCCAAAAGCCAAAGCUACAAAAACAAUUAAUAGCAUAGAGCCUGUAACUCUAGGUUUUAUGUCCUUUGAAGCUGGAGUUGCCCAAGCGAUCCAAUAAUUGCUGGCAAUUUGAAGGAUUUGAAAGAGCGUCUGUGCCAGCAAUAUGAAGGGCACAAGAACUCCUCCGUAAGCUGCAGUGAUAUAUUUCCAGUACACUGAAAACUCAACUUUACCUUUCUCCCUCUCUUCUUCUUGAACAAGCUGCCUUUGCGGCUCUGCAACUUUAUCUUCUCUAUCAUUCUGAACUUCUUUGUUUUCUACUUCCUUGACAACCCCAUCAGUAGCACUUGUACCAUCAUUUUCUCCAUUGGCAGAUCCUUUUUCAGAAAGAGGCCUCCCCUCAAUGGAAUCAAGCGUUGAUAAAGCUUGCUUAUGUGCAUCCACAAGUUCCAUAAAAUCAGUUCCAGAGUUUAUAACAUCAGUGUACUUUCCAGCUUGUGUAAUCUUUCCAUCUUUAAUUACCUAAAAUAUAAGAUAUAAGGAGAGUUAUGGGUUAAUGAAGUGGGGAAACACAUUCCAACAUAAAAAGAGAUGAUACUUAUAUUGCUUACCAAGACUAGAUCAGCAGCAGGUAAGAACUCCACUUGAUGAGUAACAUAUAAUACAGUCUUUGAAUUCAAAAGGCCCAACAAAACUUCCUGCAAAAUUAUUGUACAAAGGUUACCAAUGGUAUUACAUGGAUGACUUAUUACAACAAUUAAAAACGAAGGACUCAUACUCAUGAAUGACAUAGCAAACUUUAAACAUUCUACAGGGUAAAACUUCCAAGAAAAUUGAUAGCAUUAGAAACAGAAUAGAUUAUACUUUAAAGAGGUGAGAUCCUGUAUGAGCAUCCACAGCACUAAACGGAUCAUCAAACAGAUAGAUAUCAGCAUCUUGGUAAAGAGCACGUGCAAUCUGUAUUCUUUGUUUCUGUCCUCCACUCAAAUUGAUCCCUCUCUCGCCUACAACUGUCUGAUCACCAAAUGACAGGAUUUCCAAGUCCUUCUCCAGGGAACACGCAUCAAGCACUGCGUUGUACCUUUCCCUGUCCAUCUCCUUUCCAAAUAAAAUGUUAUCUUCAAUCUUGCCACUCUGUAUCCAAGGCGACUGUGCCACAUAGGCCUUUGUACCACACAACUUCAGGGUACCAGAUAUCUUGGGUACUUCUCCCAAAAUACAAGAAAGCAAGCUUGAUUUGCCAGAGCCAACAGUACCACAAACUGCAACCCUCAUGCCGUGAAACACUUUCAAGUUUAUGUCUUUCAAUGUUGGAUUAUGUGAAGAAAUAUCCCAUGAAAAAUUCCCAUCAGCUAUCUCAAUUGCUGUUUCAGAACUACCUCUUGGUUGCUUCUCAACAAGAUCAGGCUGCAACUCAUCAAGACAAAAGAAAGAGGCAAUUCUUUGAAGUGAAACCUUUGUCUGAAUUGUCAUUGAAAUUAUGGCAGGCAGCUUAUAAAUUAGUAUUUGAAGAAGCCUGAAUGUUGCAAUUGCAGAUAAUACCUUUCCUGACUCAAGUGGGACUUUCAGAAGUAUACAAGUUCCAAAUGUGAUCACAGACACAAAAGUGGGAGCACACCAAAAGACAAAGGAUGUUAUGGAGGAAGUGUAAAGACAUCUUUUCAGCCAUCCACUCUCGCUCUUUCUGAGAUCAAUAGUCUUAGACAGAAACUUCAAUUCCCAUCCCUGAAGCUUGAGAAUCCUCAUGUUUCUUAAAAUCUCCGAAGUUGCCUUCAUUCUUUCAUCUUUUGAUUUCAUCAACUCGUUCUGAAAUUUCUCUUGCACUCUACUCAAAGGAACAUUCACCAGCAUAAAAAUUACUGUUCCAAAAAAUGCUGCAACCGAUGCUAUCCCAAGACUCUUGUACAAGAUUAAAAAGGACAAAGCAACUUCCAAGAGAAAUAACCACGGAUCAUGAAUAUACCAACUUAAUUCAGCAACCCUCUCAGCAUCGACAGUCAUGAAAUUUAUGAUUUCCCCGCUAGUAUUGCCUUGCUUAGCCUGAGAUGAAAGUUUCAGACUUUUAUUGUAGAUCAUUGCAAUAAGAGCUGCCCGCAACCUAAUUCCAAGCUGCUCCAACCGGAAAACAAAGAAUCUCUGGCAGAGGCACUCCACAAGCUUAGCAACGCAAAAAGCAGAAACCAAAGCAUACCCCUCAUUUUCAAAAUCCCGCUUCCCAGAGAGAUAUUGAACUAAAGUAUCAAUGAGAUAAGGGCCAACAUAAGUGGCCAAUGUGCACACAACGGCCACUAAAGCUGUAAGAAGAAAAUCUUUCCAAACGGAGCGGAACAUUGCUUUGAUCAGCUUUAGUGAGGUGAGUCCACUUCCCAAUCCAGCUUCAGUCUCAAGCUUAUUCUUAAAAGUUGCAAAGACCCCAACCACACUAUUACCACUAUCUAAUUGAGGCACAUCCUCAAGGUCUAAAGUUUUCUUAUUGCCAAGAGCAAUUAGAGAAUUUAUCCAGGUGUAAGUAAGAACACUGAAUAGACCAGCAUUUGAAUAAGGAGUCACAGUAUCAGCUCCUCUGGACUUGAUUGAUGCUACCGUCCCUUCACUUUCACCAGAAUCUACUUUCAAAAGGGGUUCUUGAAGGAUAAGGGUAUCUUCGCCCUCGUUUUUACUCAUAAAACCCACAAAACAUGGAAGCAAUCCAGUGAUAACAGAUACAACAUCAGAUAGUAGAAACUGAAUUGGUAAGUUUACUUGCUUUUGGUACAGGACAAUGUCAACAAUCAGACAGUAACAAGAAAUAAAAACAUAAAAGCCCCACCAAAUUUUCAACAAUAUCGGGAGCUUUGGUUGCCUUAAAUUAAGAAACACUGUACGCAAAUAAACACAAAUUGCACCCCAACCAAGUGUUCUAACCCCAAAAUCGAAAAGGAUCACAAGUUGAUCAUAAGACCUGCCAUUUCCAUACCAAUAAAAGUAACUCAACAGACACAACACAAGACUAGACAGUGAAACAACAAAGCAACAAACCAAAGUCAGCUUAUACCACAAAGCUUUCUUGUUCUUGAACCUCUCCUUGGACCCUCCACUAUGAUCACCUUCACCAACUUUCAGCUUCUUCCAAACCCACAAUCCAAACAACCCAAGCAGCAAAAAUAAGUGCAAAGAACCAGAAACCCCACGAAGGAAAGCUUGCUUAAGAAGAAAAUCAGUCCCUGAAUACAUUUUUGAAGAUGAAAAAUGAGUGUGCUCUGAGGUUUUAUAGGUAACACAUUUAUGAAGUUAAUGGUACUUUUUUUUUUUUUUUUAACGUUAUAUAUGAGAGGAUUGAAGGCACAAAUGAGAGAGAAAGAGAUGGAUUUCCAGGGGAAGAGUUGACGUGGAGACUUGGAAUGGAGAGGCCGAGAGAACAGAGGAUAUUAACAUGUGAGCGAGCAAUACUGUUGUUUCCAUGAGCCAAAUACAGAUAAAACAAGAAAACACUGCAUCCGUCUUAACGCUUACUGUCAGAAAGCCAUAGGGAGAGUACACAGAAGCUUCAGUUUACCAUAAAUGUGUCUCUACUUUAUUUGUAUGAAUGAGUGUGACAUCGUGUAAAAUUGUAAGGACACAUUUGAUUGGAUUUGCAUUACAUUUAAGUCCUUAUUUGAUGACAUAUUGAUUGUCUCGUUUCAGUAUGACUUUCUAUUGGAAUUUGCGAGGUAAAAUUGUCGUAAGUGAAUGCUAGCUAGCCGUUGGCCACAACCCAAUAAUUGCCAUGAAAUGAGUUCAUUUUAAUCAAUUGAUGAAAUUUUUCCAAACCCGUGUUUGACCAACUUUGAGAAAGUGGCACCUCAUUUCAUCCCAAUUUUCAUUGGGACUUUUCAAUAGAUUAUUAUAUGUUAUGGUAUUUAUAUAUUUAUGUGCAAUUUUCAUUGGAAUUUUGUCAAAUUAUAUUAAUAUUACAAAAUCUCUAACCAUAUAAAAAUUUCAACAAUGAUUUUAAAAAUGCUAAUUAAAAUGUCCUUCCCUCAUUUUUAUGAUGCUUUAUUCAAAAUUUAAACUAAGUAUGAUUCAUUUUGUUCAAUAUAUUUGAAAAAUCGAUACCCCAUAAAUUUGGUGGAACUUAUUGCUUUUUUUUUUUUCUUUGACAAAGUUCAUGAUCAUUUGUGUUAUCUUGAAUGAUUGAUUGUUUCUAACAGUAAUGAAAUAAUUUUGUCUUAGAUCCUAAAACAAAAUAUUCGCAAGAUAAACAAAUAAUUCUGUCUUAAAAUUGCUAUUAGUUGGAUGUAAAAAAUUCUCCAGCCAUUGUUUGAGUAGAUUGCCACUGAUAAAUGUAAAGGAAUAGAGUAAUGCAGACAUUUUGAUCUAAAAGAUUGGUACAAAUUUUCCAAUUUCAUAAUUGACCUAAAUGGGAAGCUGAUGCCUCAAAUCAAUUCUAUAAUCAUUAUCCUUAGACUUUUCUUGCAUUUGAUUUUCCACCGUCCACUUGCUUUCUAUGUCUCUCCUUUUAUUUAUUUAUUUUCCUUCCAUUUCUAUUUCCUGUCUUUUGUAAAAUUUCUUACAUUUCUAUUUCCUGUCUUUUCAAAUGAGAAAAAUAUUAAAAUAUUCAUUUCAUUAUGGUUAUAUAUAUACACAAAAUAUUGAAAGCUCAGACUUAUUUAAUCGGGAGGUGCUAGUUUCAGUUGUUGAACAAAAGCUAUAAUUAUAAGGAAAAGUUUAUAUUGGUCAUUAUUAUUAUGUAAGACUUUUUAUAAAAAAAAUUUGUUUAAGAAUAAAUGAAAUUGAAAAUUAAAAAAAAAAAUACUGCUCCUACAAUCCGAUUUAAUGGAGUUCUUUUAAGAAACUUAUAACCAAGGCAAAUUUUUCAAAUCAAUUUGAAAUUCUCAAGUCUUUCCGCAUUGCGAAUGUGUGCAUUUUAUAAUAUAUUUGUAUUUUAUUGUUAUGAAGAUCUUAAAUAAAUAUUUGGGUCACAAUAUUAACAAAGCAUAUGUCGAAUAUUAAUAAUAUUAAAAUUAUUUUAUAAAAUAUUGAUAUUAUAUAUAUAUAUAUAUAUAUAUAUAUAUAUUUACUUAAUGUUAUAUUUUUAUUUAUUAUAAAAUAUUAAAAUUAAUUUUUUUUAUUAUAAAGAAUAUAAUAAUCAAAAGGCCUCUUAUUAUCCUCUAUUGAAAACUUGAGGAGUUCAUAACUAUUUUUAUUUUUUUUCAAAAUUUAGGGGUGUAACUAUCGUUUUUGCUGAAAAAUAUGUGUUAGAAACAAAUUGGAGCUCUUUAAUAAAAAUAAGGAAAUCUGCAAUGUUUUCUCAUAGAAGAGUUGUGCAAUAUUUUGUUCGACCAUGAGCAAUUAAUUAGGAUAUAGCUUUUCAACCUCUGCGAUAAUACUCCUGCAUGCUCGACGACGUAAUUGUUUUGCAGUGGUUAAAGACCAUGACCUUUUUCUGUAAUGAUGCUUUGACUUUGUGGGAUAUUCACCACUUUACACUCAUAAGAAUUUAUAUGAGGGCUCUUGGAAUUGGUCCAAAUAUUUGGUUCUCUUAGCUAUGAAUGAUCAUCUCUUGUGACUAUUUUACUUUUUGAUUGAUAAAGUUUUUAUAAAAGUUUGCUAGGGUAAAUUUUUAUAAUGUAGGUUGAGUGGUUUGAUAUAUAUAUAUAUAUAUAUAUACACCUCAAUUUCGGUAUCAUUACCUUGAGACUUUCAUUUUAUAAUUGGUCACGGCUUGCUUUCUUUUCUUUUCUUUUCUUUUUCUCUCUCUAUAUAUACAAUUAUCUUUUGUUUUUAAGUGAGAAUAAAUAUUCUCUAGUAAAUGCUUUGAAAUCUAGAAUCGCUCUGUUAUGCAGACAUUUGUAUUUAUAAAAUUAUGAACUUUAAGGAGUUGUUAAUAACUAGUUAAUAACGAUGAGCAUCACAAUAUCCUAAUAAUUUUUUUUUUAAAAAAAAGUGCUUGAAAUUGCCAAAAUUAAAACUUAACUUCAUGUAAUUCUAAAUCCUAAUGGAGAAACAUGAAGCUAUGAUAAUUAUGAUUACAAAACAUAUAUGGAUGAUUCUCUAUCUUCGCAUUGGUUGCUACAGGGUCCAAGCAAAAAAUGUCAAUGAGAUUAACCAGACCCGGUUCCUUCAUUCGAAUACAUUCUCUCGAUCAACUUUGACAGUUCUUCUACCUUGUUUGAUCCCAAUGAUUGCAUUCUUUGUGGUACUCAACAGCUCCUAACUUGCAAAAUAUUCGCAGAUGUUUCAGAUAAAUGCCACUUGGUGCAAAGUCAAUCAUUUACGAUGAUACGAUGAGUCAGGUAGGAGGAGGAGAGAGCAUACAAGCAAAAAAUAAUGUCAUGAUUUUUGGAACCUCUUUUAGAAAUCUCUGGACUCUGGGGAAGAAACUAUUUUUGCCAUUAUGAACAUUUGAUUCUGCUGGAGGAAUGCAAUAUCAGAAUCGGAAGUCUAAGUCAAGUAGUACACACAAACUGAAUCCAUAAAUACAUUAACAAUAAUGUCAAAAUGAACCUGUAACUUAAAGUUACUUAGUCAUCAAGUAACUUACCUCACUUAAUUGUGCAAUGGUAUAAGGUAUGGCCUUCAAUUCCCAGCUAAAUUCUCAAAACUGGAACUCGACCUGAGAGUGUACUCUGCAACAAGUUGUGAAAAAGACGAUGAUUUGUUCUCUAGCAAAUUUGCUGGGUUAUCAAACUCCACGAUAAGCCCUGCAACAAGGGCUCGAAAUGUUACUUACAUCUGAUGAUGAGCAUGCUACAAAAGAAAGCAUAUAUGAAUUAAUUGGACACACUAACCAUGAUUUAGAAGCAGAACCAAAUCACUGUCAAUAACAGAAGUUAUCCGAUGGGCAAUGGUUAGGACUGUGCAGUCAGAAAAGUGCUGCCGAAGAGUUUGCUGGAUCAGAUUAUCAGUAGCAGUGUCAACGGAUGCAGUUGCUUCAUCAAGCAUCAAGAUUUUACUUCGCUUGAGUAGCACACGGCCAAGACAGACCAGUUGCCUCUGGCCCAUACUCCAGUUCUCUCCAUUCUCAGUAACUGCAGCAUUCAAAUGAAAAAAGAUAAUGGAAACUCUAGCCACAAAAAUAUUUGCAAAAAAUCACUACAUAUAACAGACUAGGGAGAAAGACGGACCUUUUGAAUCUAGCUUCCCCUCCUUCUUCCUAACUUCAUCUCCAAGUUGGCAUUUAUCCAGAGCCUAAAACCAUUUAAAGAAAUUUUAGCACAAUCCAACUUCCAUCACCAAUUGCAAGCCUGAAAACACUGCAUAAGCUUCUGCCUACCUCCCAAAUUUGCUCAUCCGUAGACUCUUCAAGAGGGUCUAGAUUGCUUCGAACAGUCCCUUCAAACAUGACAGGAUCCUGGGGAAUAAUGCUUAGUCUUGAUCGCAAAUCAUGUAGUCCAAUUAAUGAGAUAUCAAUGCCAUCGAUCAGAAUCUGACCAGCAGCAGGUUCAACAAUCCGGAACAGUGUUUGAAUGAGAGUUGAUUUACCACUUCCUGUUCUCCCUACAAUGCCAGUUUUCUCCCCUCCGGGGAAAGUGCAUGAGAUACCUUGCAAAACAAGGGGCAUUUGUGGUGCAUAGCGGACCUACAUCACAACCGCGAUAAUUGAUAUGUAAAAAUGAUAAAGGCUAAGGGAGUGUUGGGGAUGAAGAUGCCAUGGCAUUUUACUCCAUAACUGUUGUAGAAUGGAGUUACUCGUGGUCAAAGCUAUAUGCUUUGUGGGUAGUUUGUAUGACCAGUAGAGUGGAUGUUUUCCAAACAGUUUAGUUGAUGUGCAUUGAAACUGAAGCAGAAGUACAACAAGGCCAAACAUACCGAAAACUCAUUAAGCAAGUAAACUUACCUGGAGAUCAAGCAGGUCAAUCUUUCCAUGUGAUGGCCAAGAAUCAUUCGGGCGACUUUCUUCGAUUGCAAGAGGGGGCUCACUAGGAAUACAUGUAUACUGAAAAAUUCUCUCGACUGAUAUAAUCUUAUUCUCCAGAUCGCAAGCAAACCAUAUUAAUGUAGCUAGUAAAGUAUUUAGGGUGAGCCCAUAUGUCACAGCUAAGCCAGCAAUUGCUUCAGAAAAGGAAAAGAAAAAAUAAGCUUGUUUCUUGCUUAACUAUUACUUCAAAUUGCAAGAAGAAUAAUCAAUGAUACCAUAUGUGAACAACUAACCAGGAUCAAUAAAUCCCUUUGGAAUAGAGAUUAAGAAGACCAAAGUGAAGGCGAAUGUGAUGGAAGACAACAUAUCCAAGCGCAAGCCUAGCCAUUCCAUGGCAGCAGCAAUAUGAAAUGUUGGCCGGGAAUAUUCAUCCAUCAGUUUCAUAUUUCUGUCUCUAAACCUUGACUCUUGGUCAAAGCUCCUGAUAGUUGUUGACCCUGAAACAGUUUCUGCAAAAUGUUGUAUCACUGGAGCUUUGCAUACUCCAACCAACCGUGAAAGUUCUCGCGCUGAAGAUAUGUAAUAUUGCUGCAUAUACCCGAAAUAGUUAGAAAACUUCUGUUCCAAAAUUGGUACACUAUGUUAUUCAAUGAGUGCAAGACUAAAUGUAGUCACAGUGUAUUAACACAAAAAGCAAUAAAAAAAGGACCAAGAACAUGAUAAAAAUUAGGAGCAACACUAGUUUACAUUCAAUAAGAGAAAAUAUGGUCCUUUAAUUGCAAGUAACAUAAGAUGUCUCAUAAAAAAAUAUAAUAUUAAAAUGGAAAUAAUUAAAACAAUAAAAUAGAAUACAAAAAGCAGCAGGUGGUAUCAAAUAUUUGGCCUGAAAUUUUGAUGUCCCAAGGUUAUGAUGCGCACAUAGCUUAUAAAGAGUUGCAAAGAGGACAAUGAUUACCUGAUACCAGAUGCAGCUACCAACUGCUGGGACAAAAACAAUAAAAACCUGCCACGCAACCUGAGACAUUACUGCAAUGGUUCCAAGAAUUCGGAUUAUUGAGAAGGCAUAGGCCCCAACAAGAGAAGGAAUGCCCAAAUCAGCAGCACUUUGGUCAGUAGAAGCCUAGAAGGGAAAAGCAAAAUUGAUUAAGCAAACACUUAUUGAUAUUAUCUUGUUUUUUCAAAAAAAAUUAAGAGAUGCCAAUGUUGAUUUACCAAUUGAAGUUCAAUGGCUAAGAACUCACUCUAUUUAUAAUUCUUCCACUUGGGGUUGCAUCAAAGAAUGACAUUGGGGCACGGAAAAUGCAAAAAUGCAUUUCAUUAAAGAGCAGUGUGGCUGUUUUGUACCCAGCUGUUGCAAGAAGUGUGGAUCUAGCAAGGACGCAAAAAGAACUUCCAACAGCCAAAGCUACAUAAACAAUUAAUAGUGUAGAGCCUGCAACUACAGGUUUUACAUCCUUUGUACCUGGAGUUGCCCAAACAAUCCAAUAAUUGCUGGCAAUUUGAAGGAUCUGAAAAAGCGUCUGUGCUAGCAAUAUGAAGGGCACAAGAGCUCCUCCAAAUGCUGUGGUGAUAUAUUUCCAGUAUACUGAAAACCCGACUUUACCUUUCUCUCUCUCUUCUUCUUGUACAAGCUGACCUUUUGACACUGCUACUUCAUCAGCUUUAUCAUUCUGCCCUUUGUUAUUUUCUACUUCCUUGACAAUCCUAUUAGCAAUAACUGUACCGCCAUUCUCUCCACUUGCUCUUUCAGAAGCAGGCCUUCCCUCAAUGGAACCAAGUGCCAAUAAAGCUUGCUCAUGUGCACCCACAAGUUCCAUGAAAUCAGUUCCUGAGUUUAUUAGAUCGUUAUACUUUCCAGCUUGUGUGAUCUUUCCAUCUUUCAUUACCUAAACAUAAGGUAUGAGGACAGUUAUGGGAUAUUACAGGAAAUGGAUGCCAAUAGGAAAAGAAAUCAUAUUUAAUAUUUCUUACCAAGAUCAGAUCGGCAGCAGGUAAGAAUUCCACUUGAUGAGUAACAUAUAAUACAGUUUUAGAACUCAAAAGGCCCAACAAAACUUCCUGAAAAAAAUAUUACACAAAAGGUAAGUGAGGUGCCAUUAAAACUAAGGACUUAUGAAGAGCAUGGCAGACUAUACUACGAAGAGAAACUUUCACAAUUGUUAAUAUUAUUGGAUUCAGAAUAGAUUUACCUGAAAGAGGUGAGAUCCUGUAUGAGCAUCCACAGCACUAAAAGGAUCAUCAAACAGAUAGAUAUCAGAAUCUUGAUAAAGAGCACGUGCAAUUUGUAUUCUUUGUUUCUGUCCUCCACUCAAGUUGAUUCCUCUCUCUCCUAUAACUGUCUGAUCACCAAAUGACAGGAUUUCCAAGUCCUUCUUCAGGGAACACGCAUCAAGCACUGCGUUGUACCUUUCCCUGUCCAUCUCCUUUCCAAAUAAAAUGUUAUCUUCAAUCUUGCCACUCUGUAUCCAAGGCGACUGUGCCACAUAGGCCUUUGUACCACACAACUUCAGGGUACCAGAUAUCUUGGGUACUUCUCCCAAAAUACAAGAAAGCAAGCUUGAUUUGCCAGAGCCAACAGUACCACAAACUGCAACCCUCAUGCCGUGAAACACUUUCAAGUUUAUAUGUUUCAACGUUGGAUUAUGUGAAGAAAUAUCCCAGGAAAAAUUCCCAUCAACUAUCUCAAUUGCUGUUUCAGAACUACCACUUGGUUGCUUCUCAACAAGAUCAGGCUGCAAAUCAUCAAGACAAAAGAAAGAGGCAAUUCUUUGGAGUGAAACCUUUGUCUGAAUUAUCAUUGAAAUUACGUCGGGAAGAUUAUAUAUUGGUACUUGAAGAAGCCUGAAUGUUGCAAUUGCAGAUAGCAUCUUUCCAGACUCAAGUGGGACAUUUAAAAGGAUACAUGUUCCAAAUGUGGCCACUGACACAAAAGUGGGAGCACCCCAAAAAACAAAUGAACCUAUGGCUGAAGUGUAAACAUACUUUUUCAGCCAUCCAGUCUCUCUCUUUCUGAGAUUAAUAAUCUUAGAAAGAAACUUCAUUUCCCAUCCCUGAAGCUUGAGAAUUCUCAUGUUCCUUAAAAUCUCCGAAGUUGCCUUCAUUCUUUCAUCUUUUGAUUUCAUCAACUUGUCUUGAAAGUUCUCUUGCACUCUACCCAAAGGAAUAUUUACCAGCAUAACAAUUACCGUUCCGAAAAGAGCUGCCAAUGAUGCUAUCCCAAGGUUCUUGUACAAGAUUAAAAUGGACAAAGCAACUUCAAAGAGGACUAACCAAGGAUCAUGAAUAUACCAACUGAAGUCAGCAACCCUCUCAGCAUCAACAGUCAUGAAAUUAAUGAUUUCCCCACUACUUUGGCCUUGCUUUGCUUGAGAUGAAAGUGUUAAACCUUUAUUGUAUAUCAUUGCAAUAAGUGCUGCUCGCAUCCUAAUUCCAAGCUGUUGCAACCGGAAAACCCGGAACCUCUGGCAGAGGCACUCCACAAGCUUAGCAACACAAAAGGCAGAAACUAAAACAUACCCCUCAUUUUCAAAAUCCCGCCUUCCAUUGAGAUAUUGAACGAAAGUGUCAAUGAGAUAAGGGCCAACAUACGAGGCCAAAGUGUACAGAACAGUUAAAAAACCUGUAACAAGAACAUCUUUCCAAACUGAGCAGAACAUUGCUUUGAUCAGCUUCACUGUUGUGAGUCCACUCCCCACACCACCUUCAGUCUCAAGCUUAUUUUUAAAAUUAGCAAAGGCCCCACUCACGCUAUCACCACUAUCUAACUGAGGAACAUCCUCGAGGUCUAAGGUUUUCUUAUUGCCAAGAGCAAUUAGAGAAUUUAUCCAUGAGUAAGUAAUAACACUAAGUACACCAGCUCUUGAAUAAGGUGUCAAUUUAUCAGCCCCUUCGGACUUGAUUGAUGGCACUGUACCAUCAAUUUCAUUAGAAUCAGCUUUCAAUAGGGGUUCUCGAAGGAGAAGGGCAUCUUCACCCUCAAUUUUACUCAAAAUUCCCACAAAACAUAGAAACAAUCCAGUCAUAGCGGAUGCAACAUCUGAUAUUAAGUACUGAAUUUGCAAAGAUACUUGUUUUUCGCAUAGAACAAUGUCAACAAUUAGACAGUAGCAUGAGAUAAACACAUAAAAGGCCCACCAAAGUUUCAACAAAAUUGGUAACUUUGGUUGCCUUGAAUUAAGAAAUACGGUAUGCAAACAAACACAAAUUGCACUCCAGCCAAGUGUUUUAACCCCAAAAUCCAAAAGGGUCACCAGUUGAUAAUCAGACCAGCCGUUUUCAUACCAAUAAAAGUAACUCAGCAAAGAGAACACAAUAUUAAACAAUGAAACACCAAAACAACAAGCCAAAGUCAGCUUGUACCACAAAGCCUUCUUGUUCUUGAACAUCUCCCUCGAACCUCCAUUAUGAUCACCUUCACCAGUUUUUAUUUUGUUCCAACCCCACGAGACAAGCAGCCCAACUAGCAAAACUAAAUGCAAUGAACAGGAAAACCAACGUAGGAAAAUUGGUUUAAGAAGAAAAUCAGCACCUAAAAGCAUUAUUAGUGAAGAUGAUGAGAAUGUGAAGAAAGUUGACAAAACAUGCUUUGAUGAAUCAAAAAGCUCCAUGAUUCUGGCUGAUGUCUGAGAAGUAAAAGAUCCUUUUUCUGUUAUUUGCAAUUAUAUAUAUAUAUAUAUAUAUAUAUAUAACAGAGAGGGAGUCAAAGACGCCAAGAAGGGAUUGCUGGCCGGGACCGGAGUUUCGGACGACAGCUAAAGGGGCGCAAAUUAAUACAAUGGCGUCUUUCCAGGGAAGGCGUGGACUGUGAGAGACACGUACAAGAAGGAGCUUUGCUUAGGUGCCGCAGACAUGAUUUUGCCACGAAUAUGUCUAUAUAUAGCUAUGUUUGCCGCGUCUAUAUCUACCAUAUUUGUUUACAUAAAUAUAAGUUUUUUUGAUGACUAUGUUUAUCUUUCCUAAGCUUGUUCAGUUAAGAAAGUUGAUAUGAUAAUUUUGACAAUUUUCUUCAAGUUAAGAAAAUCGAGAAGGGUUAUUUAUGAUUGGCAGAAAUAAUAAUGAUUAAAUUUUUUUCCUAAAUUCACAAUAUUUUCACACGAAAUUUUCUCUACCUCUAAUAUAUUUAGAUUUUUUUUAAAUCUAUUAUUUGUGAUUAUUUAUAGUUUAUCUUAUAGUUAGAAAUGGGUGGCACCUCCUCUCUUCAUCCUUGAAGCUGUGAAGGAUUUGAGUCUUCCAGUAUAAUUGUGAGAAUUUAUUAUUAUAUUACUUUUAAGUUUCUAUUGACCUUUAUAUGUUCGGCUUUAUACCUUAAAUGUAACUUAUUUAUGUGGGGUGACAUCGAAAGCCCCUCUUUUGAUAUACAAAUUUUGACAUAAAAUUGUACUGUUAAUCUCAAUAAUUUUAAUGGCUAAGAUUAUUUUUUAUAGGGAUUAAUUUUUGAAUAAACAAAGUCAGUUAAUAAUGUAUCCCACAACUAUUAUUAACACUCAUAUUUUCUCUCCUAUUGACACUUAACGGAUCUUCAUAUAUUCACUCUCUCUUCUUCCAGCCAUGCUGUCUCCUUUUGUUAUUUUUAUAUAUCAGAAAAUUAAAUAACAAGGUAAAAAAAAUUAUCCUUUUUCUUUCCCUAUUUUUCACCCAAAGGAUCAGGACCAAAGCUUCAUAUUUCCGCAACUAUCCUUAACUAUUUUGUCGAAAGGUACUUCGUCAAAUAUUGUUAUAAUCGUUGAAAAAGUAAUUUUUAUAUUCAAUUUUGUUUCCUGAAUGUUCAUGCUCAAUAUUGCACUCGGCUAGGCCUGGUUUCAGAAUUCAUAACAAUGGCUAGCUAAUAUGUUUCAAGCAAGGGCAUGCCGAAAUUGUUUUACCAAAUGCCUCAAACUUUAAUGAUCAACAGCUCACAAGUUCUAUAGUAUCACCUACUAAAUAAUUUUGAGAAUACCCCGUCGUUACUACCCUAUUUCAAUGAGAACAAAACAGUAUAUUCGGUUUAAGAACCACAGUAAGCUGCGUUUACAAGAUAAAAUUUUACAGUGGUAAUACGAGGAUCGAUAGGAAGAUUGUUGUGUCCAUUAGUUGACUCUAUUUCUUUAUAAAAUAAUCCUUAUCGGUGAUAAUUUUCGCCAUCAAAAUUAUUGUGAUUUAACGAGUAACAUCUUGUGUCAAAAUUUGUGUAUAGAAGUGGGGCUCCCCAUUCUACGUUCUCCUAUUUCUAUUAAAUUAUAUACUUAUUAAUUGUACAUUAUAUAUAAUAUUAAUUAAAAGAACAAAGAAUAGUGGUAAUUGACCAACUCAAUUUCUCUUAUAAGUACCCACUUUCUAAUUGAUAUUAGUUAUUUCUACAAUUAUCCUUGUUUAACAAUAAAAAAUAAUUAAAAAACAAAUAAAAUUUUAGAAUGCUAUCAAGAUAUUAAUAUCUACCACAACCAUCUUUUACUACCACUUUCACUACUUCAAGCCACCAUACCACUAGCCCAUAGUUGUCGAUUGAUAAAUUUCCUAAUAGUUGUAAACCAAAGCCCCUCGCUUAUUUAAAUUGAUUUUAGGGAGAUUGAUAUAAUAGUAUCAAAAUCAAAAUAAUAUCAAAUGAAAAAAGGAAAAAAAUAAUUUUAGUAUACGAAUCAAGAAAUUAUAGAUUAAUUGAAAUGGGUUAGUAAUAAAGCGAUUGAGAUUGGAAUGAAUGAUAAUGAAUAGUGGCUUGAGGUGAUGACAAUGAUGGUGGAAGGUGGCUAGGGUACUUGGAAUUAUUUUCUUUUUAAUUAAUUUUUAUUUUAAAUAAGAAUAAUUUGUUAAUUGAAUAGUGGAGAUUGGUGAGAGAAAUUGAGGGGUCAAAUAUCACCAUUAAAAAAAAAGGGUGCUCUUCUUUACUGUUUUUAUAAUUUCUCGUUGUUCUAUUUAAAAAAAAAACUAAUGUUUUGUGGUUGAGAAUUGGGGUGUCUUUUUUAAUAAAAGUUUUAACAUCAACGCCUAACUUAUUAUAAAAUUUGCAGAAGAGUAAGUGGUAAACACUAAAAACUCUAUAAGGAAUGUGACAAUCUCCCUUAUUUAGAGAAAUUAAAUGUGAUUUGGAUUAUUUACCAAACUCAUAAUUUUAUAGACUAUAACAUAUAUAUGUAAUAUAAACUUAAGUUUAUGGGUAGCUACUAUGGUCUAUGUAUUUGACAAUUUAUGUGUAUAUACGUAAUUAAUUAUUUUUAGGUAUGAACACCCAUAUUUUUUAAUAUAUAAAUUUGGGGUUUCACAAUGGUGUCAAAUAUUCUUGCACCGCCGUAAGUUACUGAAAAAUCAUUUUAUAAUGAUAUAAAAGCAUUUGAUACUAUUGUGAUCAAAUCAACAUUUUAAAAAUUACAAGUUUCUGUGCUAGAGAAGUACUUUAUAUGUAAUAUAAACUUUUAAAUAAAUAACUAAGUAGGGGUGGGUAUUGAUAUUUUAGUUCCAGGCUACUAAAAGAACAUCUACUUUACAAGUACACAGAGGAAUUCAUUUAUUAAUUCGUAAGCAAGUACUAGACCUCUUGAUGAUGGUCUUAUUCAACAAUAUUGGAGAAAUUAAAAGGACGAUUAUCAAUGAGGCACCGGAAUCAACAGGAGGUCAUUUUUCCUUCUUAUAGUGAGACCAAAGACCUCACUCAUGUCUAAAUGGUCUUGCUUCAUUCCAUUUGGAAGUUUCCAAUCAAAAUGAAACAACAGUUGCGCCAAUGGUAGCUCAAUAUUUGGUAUCGCAAAUGUUAUGCCUGGACAUAUCCUUCUUCCAGCACCAAACGGAAUGUAUUCAAAAUCUUUGCCCCUAUAAUCAAUGGAGCUAUUCAGAAAUCUUUCAGGAUAAAGUGCCUCAGCUUCACUCCAAUAACUCGGAUCUCUUCCAAUCGCCCAUGCAUUAACUAUGAUUCUAGUAUUUUCAGGAAUUGCGUAUCCAUUAAUCUCGCAACUCUCUCUGCUUUCUCUCGGAAGUAAAAGAGGAGCUGGAGGAUGUAGCCUUAACGUUUCUUUGACUACUAAUUUCAAGAACUUUAAUUCAUGAAUGGCAGCUUCAUUAACAUUUUCUUUUCCCUUAAAGACUCUUCUUACCUCAGCUUGUGCUUCUUUCAGAAUCCUGGGGUUCUUGAGCAUUUCUGCCAUUGCCCAUUCUACACUAGUGGAUGAUGUGUCACUCCCAGCUACAAAGAUAUCCUGAAAAACAGUUAAUCCCCAUCAUUUUUAGUCAUUUUUAUCUUUUUAUCUUUUUUUUUUUACAUUUUUUUUGGAAAGUAAUAAAUGUUGGUGGUAAAUUUUGUGGGGAAUGACAAAUGUAGAGAAAUACAACAAUAAUGGUGGAACUUUAUUAUGUAAAAUAAUGUGUUUACAACUAACUCUAUAUGUAGGAAGAAACUGCAGAAAUUUUGUGUGCUUCAAGGCACGUUACAAAUGUCGCUUUCCUUAAGACGUUAUUUGCCCCCACCAAUUGAGUGAUGCACAUGGGUUAAGCAAAUACGCCUCCAGGAUACAAUGAAGCACUUGUUUGUUUGCUUGCGUUGUGCAUCGACGAAAGCAAACUAGAAUACUCUUGAAUGUUGCAAGCCUACCAAGAAACAAUAUAUUGUUCCUGCAGAAAACAAUAUAUUGGAAUGUGAAUGCACAAAAGAAAUGGGUGUUUUGUGUUGUGAUUCGUACUAGAAAUGAAUGCUAAGAAAAGAGUGGUGUAGGAUCAUUCAUUUCAUGUCUAAAUGGCUUAAACAUGACCCCUAUUUAUAGAUAUACUUGUGUCCCCUCAUUUGGGUUAUCAUCUUUCAUGAUACCCCUUCAUUCAUGGCCAUUGGAUCUAGAUUUGAUUUUAAUCAAUGGUCUAAAUUGAACCAUCACCAUUUCAAAUGAAAUGUCACCAUGAAAUGAUGCAUCUCUAAGUGAAAUGUUGCCAUGAAAAGUUAUAUCAUUUAGUAAAAGGAUACCUUUUCUACAAGACACAAUUAAAUGGACAUGUCCUUACAACAAGACAUCAUUUAAUUAGACAAGUCUUUAGUGAAAGGUACCUUUUCUAUAAGGCACAAUUAAUAGGACAUGUCUUUACCAUAAGACACAAUUAUUUUGAAAAUUUCCAACAAUAAACAUACUAACCCAGAUGACUGCUUUAAUGUUGUUGUCAGUUAGGGGGAAUUCGAGGUCACCGUUUUGCUGAAGGUUCAUAAAAACAUCAAUUGGAUCUUCCUCUGCUUCUGCUUGCGCUGUUUUUGUUCUUUUCUCCUUAUGCUCAUCAAGGAUUUCUCCGAAUAUUCUGUCGCUCUCGAGAUGCAGCUUCUUAAGUUUCCGCCUCACUCCACUUAUCUCCUGGAGCAAUUUGAUAGAAGGGUACAGAUCAGAAAUAGAAAAACCUGACAUUAUCUUUAUGAAUUCCUUGACAACGGAUAUGAACACUUCUUGAUCUUUGCAUUUCUUGCCAAAGGCCGCCCUAGCUGUUAUCCCAAAUGUCAUUGUAAAAAUUUUCUCCCUGAGAUUGAUCACCGAUCCUUCAUUUGAACGUACUGUUUUGAUGAGAUUUGACACUUCCUCUUCCCUAAUUGAUCGAAAUGAUUGGACACGUUUUGUACUUAAGAGCUCCACGGUGCAAAUUCUUCGUAGCUGUCUCCAAUAACUGCCAUAUGGGGCCAGGCCAAUAUUUGUAUAAUCAUAAGAGGUGAACUUGGCGGAAACAAGCAAAGGCCUUUGAGCAAAGACGAGAUCAUGUGUUUUCAGAACCUCUUUGGCAAUCUCCUGUGAAGAAACUACGAUGGUUGAAACUUCUCCAAGCUUUAGGUGCAUCAAAGGUCCAUGUUUUUGGGUCAAGUCUCUUAGGCUGUGAUGAGGGAGAGAAGCAACCAGCUGGUGCAAAUUUCCUAUAAGGGGCAGUCUCCAUGGCCCCGGGGGCAGCUUUUGGCUUGUACUUUUGGUGGCUAGUGAUUGUUGUAAUAUCUUGGCAACCUUGAACAAGAAAAGAAGCAAACUAGAGAUGAGGAUGAAAGAUGGAAAUUGAAGCUCCAUGAGGAUGUAGAAAUUGAAAAUUUAGGUGACAGCUAAUGUUGUGGGAAGGUAAUGUUAAAAGAAUCAAUAAUGACGAUGAUUAUUAGUUGCUAUUGUCAUUUACUGUCAUAGUUAUUCUUGUUAUUAUCAUUAUUAUUGUUGUUUGUAGUUAUUAUCUUCAUUGCUCUUGUUGUUGACUUGUUAUUGUUAUUAUUAUUCUUACAGUUCAUGAGCACAAGCAGCACCAAAAAUUGUUGCAACUCAAAACUACCUUUGCUUUACAAACAUAUCAUAUGAUAUGAUGUGAUAAUUUUUUAACAACAUUGAGAUUUUGUAAUCAUGCCUGUUACUCUAUUAGUAUAUUUACCAAUUUUGAAGUAUGCGUGUUUUUUUCCAGAGUGCCAUCAUCUGAAUGACAGUGUUUGUAUUGGAAUGUGCCAUACGGAAGGUCCAGAUUGCCAAUAUCUAAAUGGCAACAUUUUCAUGGGCCGGCUCUAGUUUGUAAAUCAAAGCAAAGCCUUAAACGUCAUCGUCUUCAGCUUUGAUACUUUGCAAUUUAAUCAAACAAGUCCAGCUCGGUUUUGUGUUAAGCGAUAUUAAGUCCUCACGCGUGCGGAUCACGUGAGUCACUUAUUCUGACCAAGUCAAAUUUCUGUUAAGACAGUUAGAAAGCGUGGGAAAGAGCUGAUAUCUCUUUCUGUAGGCUAACAAUCACUGUAAGUUUUCUCUCUCGCCUUUUUUUUCCCCUCAAUGUUAAAUAUAUAAUGAUUCUACACUCGUCUAGUGAAUAUUUAAGAUAUAAAAUUUUGGUUUGGACAUGGAGACAAAGCAAUUUAAUUUCAGGACAACAUAUGCAACAACUAUUGCUCACAUGACAUGAAACUAAAACUGCUACACUUCUUUCCCUUGGGCUUGUGCUUCAGGUGAUGGAUGAUAAGGAAUGGGAAUCAUGCACAAGUCAUCUUUUCUUCUGAUUGCCACACCAAAUGCCUCGCUCAUGUUCAUAUCUUCAGGUUUCUUUCCAUUGGGUAGUUUCCAGUCAAAAUGGUACAACAACAUUGCGAGUGGGAGCUCCACGUUGGCCAUACCAAACGUAAUUCCAGGGCAAAUCCACCUUCCAGCACCAAAAGGGAUGUAUUCAAAAUUAGUUCCCUUAUAAUCUAUAAAAGAAUCAAGGAACCUUUCUGGAAUGAAGCUCUCAGGUUCUGUCCAAUAUUCUGGAUCUCUUCCAAUUGCCCAUGCAUUAACAAUGAGUGUGGCCUUAGUAGGUAUCUCGAAUCCAUUAAUCUCGCAUUUCUCCCUGCAUUCUCUAGGAAGUAGCAUAGGGACAGGAGGAUGUAAUCGUAGCGUCUCUCUUAUAACAAGCUUCAAGAAUUUCAUUUCUUCAAUGCCCGAUUCAUCGACCUUUCCUUUUCUAUUAAAGACUUCCCUAACCUCCAUCUGUGCCUUUUUCAUCAGUUUUGGAUUUUUCAUCAUUUCGCACAUUGCCCAAUCUAUAGUUGUUGCAGAUGUCUCACUGCCAGCAGUAAAGAUGUCCUGAAAAACGAUUUCUGAAAAAUCUUAUCUCAGCCAUUCAACGAAUCUACUCUAAGUAUUGAUUUGUCUAGAAUUUUUCAGCUCACACCCCGAAAGAGAAAUGAAUUUACUGAACUCUUAAGGAUGAACAGAGACAUCAUACAAGAAGUUAAAUUACUAACCAGGAUUACAGCUUUGAUGCAAUUGGUGGUAAAGGGAAAUUCAAGAUCACCUUGCUCUUGAACUUUCAAAAGCACAUCAAGCAGAUCCGCAUAUACUCUUGCUCUUCUUGUGUUCAUUGAUAAUAUUUUCUAAUAUCAUGUCAGUCUAUUGAUGCAGCCUCUCUAGCCCUAGAUUUGAGUCCGGUGAUGCUUUGAAGCAGUUCUAUGGAGGGAAAAAGAUCUGCAAUAUGUAAUUCUGCCGCUGAGGUUAUAGCUUUUCUUGCAGCAGAAAUGAAUAAGUCUUGGUCUUUGCAUUUCUUGCCGAAUGCUGCCCUUGUAGUAAUACCGUAUAUCAAUGAGUAAGUUUUAUUGGUAAGGUUAACUGGUGAUCCAGCUUUUGAAGCAAUCCGAUUAAUAAAAUCAAACACAUCUUCUUCUCUUAUUGAUCGGUAAGAUAGGACUCGCUUGGGGCUUAAAAGCUCUGAUAUGCAAAUUUUUCGAAGUUGUUUCCGAUAAUCUCCAUAUGGUGAGAAGGCUAUGUCAUUAGAAUCAUAAGAUAUGAUUCUUGUUGUUAGAUUGUGAGGCCUAGAUACAAAGACAAUGUCGUGGCUCUUCAUCACUUCUCUGGCAAAUUUUGGAGAAGAAACAACAACAGUUGAUAGCUCUCCAAGUUGCAGGUGCAUUAGGCGUCCAUACUUCUUGGCCAAAUCUCUUAGCCCAUGAUGAGGUAGACAGCCAACAAGGUUGUGGAAGUUCCCAAUAAUAGGCAAUUUUAAUGGCGCUGGAGGGAGAUUUGAAGUACUGCCGUUGGUCUUGAUUCUCUUCUCUCUUUUCAGCACCAUGGAGAUUAAUAGAAGAAAGGUGAUCAGAAGAAUUGAGAAGGGAGGCAGUUCAAGAUCCAUGGGACGUGAAGUUUAGAGUAGAAUUAGCUUGUUUGUUAACAAAAAUGUAUUACAUUAGUACCUUAUAAAUAUCCCUGUGGCCGGCCUUGAAGUUUUCGUUCAAAGUUCGUGCCUUUUCUCUUAGGUUUUGUUGCCUAUCUGCAGAAUGUAUCGAAGCAGACAAGAAAUUUGGUAAGGUUGAUACCAUUUCCAGAUUCUUUCACUAUAUAUCUAGAGGUUGUUGUUGAUGCGAGAUUCUGGUUAUCCUCUUGACUAUGACCAGGAUCUUUGCUCGAUCAACUCGACCACGAUCAGAAUCUCUCCUCGUAUGACUCCUUCCCCAAAAAUCCCUGCAUACACAGAAACAAGUCAGAGUACGCCGGUUGUUUUCCCGGCGUAAACCCUCAAACGCUCAAGUCAGAUAUGAAGGUUUUGUCUUCCUGGGAACCUUAGCCACUAAUCUUAAGGCUUGUUUUUAGUAUCGAUUAUUCAAUGCUCUCUUUUUCUUAGUUUCAAUCUCAAAAAAUCUAACACUUUUACCUUCGUUGGCCACCCUUUUAUAGGCUUCUCCUGAGUUUAGACCUUCCCUCAAUCCACGCCCAUUACUUUCCCAUCUCUCGGAAGUGGAUGCUCCGUUUCCGUAAUUGUGGGUGGUCGCGUGGUCUUCGUGCCUUGAUUCUCAUGUUGGAGUGCACGUCUCGCCAACUGCCGUUGACCGGGUCUCCUCGCCUCAACCAUAGCAGGAGGCUCAACCAUUAGUAGGAGGCCAGCCUCGCUGAUGGCGCAUUCGUGGACGAGCAGAAUAUUCUUUCUCCUGUUCUCCUGCUACCAGACUUCUGCAAGAUAUACCUGUUUGUGGGAACCCUGCUAAUAGCUAUCUGCUCAUCACGGCUGGUCUCGUCAAAGUACAUCCCCCAAACAGUUGUGAAAUGAAAAUUAGACCAGCAAGUAUCUGUAAUGGCUGAUUCUAUUUCAUAAAAUUCCAAACCAUUAAGUUCUAUUUUUGAGGGAUAAGCGAAUAAGACAAGUCAUGGUUGACAAAAAGAAUUAAUAGUAGUUAGCAAACGGGAUUAAUUUUUUCUGAGUUGAAAAAAAAAAAUUGAGUUCUACGCUAACUAAUGAUUGAAUAGAGUGUGAUUUCUUUACCAAUAACUAAACAAUAGUUUAGUUACUGGAAUAAUUUUAUUUGUGGUGUAUCUGUCAGCCGGAAGUUCUUCAUCAUUGAUAUGUUAUCUAUUCAUAACACGGUAAACGCUCCUCGUAAAUCUUGUACUGGAAUUCACUUUCAAAAUACAAUUCUUUGAGAUGGAAUUAUUAGCAUUCAGUAAAGUGCAUCACAAGGUACCUAAAGUAAAAUAUACCACCAGGAAAUUGCACAUAAACGAGAAAGCUAUAAGCUGAAGGCUUAAAACGAGGCUCUCUGGGGAGCGAAUGCGAUGAUUUUGCGUUUGUUAUAUCAGUGGACAUUUGUUUUUCUAAGUUGAGGUGAAAAAAUAUAUAUAUAUAUAAAAUAACACAGCGCAAUUGAGGUAAGCAAUUGCAGAAGAUGCAUUGAAAAACCUUGCAUGAAAUAGAAUAUGAAGAUUACAGCACUUAUUCAUGUUGGACAAGAAUUGCCACGACUUUUCAUUUUUGGCCUAUGCAACAGAUGAAUGAUGGUAUGGAGUAGGAAUCAUGCACAGAUCUUGUUUUCUUCUAACUGUCACUCCAAAAGUCUCAGUCAUCUCCAAAUCUUCAUGGUUCAUUCCGUUUGGGAGUUUCCAGUCAAAGUGGUACAAUAACAUCGCGAGUGGAAACUCAACAUUUGCCAGACCGUACAACAUUCCAGGGCAUAUCCUCCUACCAGCACCAAACGGGAUGUACUCAAAAUUAGACCCCUUGAAGUCAACAGAAUGGUCAAUGAAUCUUUCGGGAAUAAAGCUCUCGGGCUGGGUCCAAUACAUGGGAUCUCUUCCAGUUGCCCAUGAAUUAACAAUGAUUCUGGCUUUCACAGGAAUGUUGAAUCCGUUAAUCUCACAACUCUCUCCACAUUCUCUUGGAAUUAAAGGUGCAGAAGGACGUAAUCUCAGAGUCUCUUUAACAACUAGCUUCAAAUAUUUCAUUUCACUGAUGCCCGUUUCAUCGAUCUUUCCUUUUCUAUUAAACACUUCUCUCACCUCAGCUUGUGCUUUUUUCAUCACUCCAGGAUUUUUCAUCAUUUCACACAUUGCCCAGUCCACAGUUGUAGCAGAUGUCUCACUGCCAGCACCAAAGAUGUCCUGAAAAGGGGGUUCAUGUACGUGAGAUUAAACUAUUAUACAACACUGAUAUAAGUUCUAUCGGGUAUGCAAUGGAAAGAAGAUGUUCAAAAACUUGGCAUAAGAUUUUGUUACUUACAGAAAUUACUGCUUUGAUGUUGUGUGUGCUUAAGGGCAAUUCAAGAUUACCAUCUUCUUGAAUUUUCAAGAGAACAUCAACCAGAUCUCGAUCGCUUUCAUUCUUAGUCUCGCACUUCUUGUGAUCAUUGAUAAUGCUUUCAACUAUUCUGUCAGCUUGUUGAUGCAGCUUCUCUGCAUGAGACCUGAAUCCAGUGACCCAUUGAAGCAAUUCAAAGGAAGGAAACAGAUCUGCAAUAUUAAAACCCGAGAUCACUUUUGUUGUUUCCUCCAUAACUGAGACAAAUGCUUCUUGUUCACUGGAUUUAUUGCCAAAGGCUGCCCGGGAAGUGAUACCGUACAUCAAUGAGAAAACUUUCUCAGUUAAGUUAAUCACUGAUCCUUCAUUAGAAGAAAUCCAAUUAAUAAGAUUACACACCUCUGCUUCUCUUAUUGAUCUGAAUGAUUGCACUCUUUUGGCACUUAAAAGCUCAGAUACACAGAUUUUCCGUAGUUGUCUCCAGCAGUCACCAUACGGUGAAAAGAUUAUACCACUAUUGUCAUAAGACAUGAUUUUUGCUGCUAGGACAGGAGGCCUUAGUGCAAAUGUAACAUCAUGGGUUUUCAUCAGUUGUUUGGCGAAUUCUGGAGACGAUACUACAAUGGUGGAAACUUCUCCAAGUUGUAAGUGCAUAAGAGGUCCAUACUUUUUGGCCAAGUCUUUUAAGCCAUGAUGGGGUAGAGAGCCGACCAGCUGGUGCAAAUUUCCAAUGACUGGUAACUUCCUUGGGCCUGGAGGGAGAUUUGAAGUUGUGUUAUUGGUUUUGGAUGUCUUUUCUAGUUUCAGCAAGAUAAAGACAAAGACAAGAAAAGCAAGAAAGAUUUGGAAGGUGGGAAAUUCGAGCUCCAUGAUUAGAUCAAUACAGCGAACAAAUUUCUUGCUUACAGCUCUCCCUUCUUUAAUUGUUAGUUAUAAAGAGAAUUCGUAUCAUUAUUAUUUAGCCCAACGACAACUUGAUUCUGUAACUAAUGUGAAUGGCUGGGGUUCCAAACCAACUUCUUGUCUUAGAGAAUUAAAUUAAAGAUAAAAUGUACAGACCCACGAGGUCGGGCUGUCGGCAAAAUUUUGGAUAAUGAUAUAGUAUUCAAUUGAGUCAACCAUAGCGUCUGAAAUCAAUUAUUACAACUCAAAAUACUAUUCUGUAGUCCACUAGCAACAUGCAAGUGGAUCUGCUAUCCAAUUACCACAUGGCUAGUCCCUCCUACCGGAACAGAGGAGAAAGCAGGGGGCAGAUUCAAUGGACAGAUUAACCCAAGAUUAUUCAAUGAAAUAUCUUAUAAAAUAUCCACCUAUGGUAUUGUCCUUCAGUAUUACUAGAGUUUGAUAUUGUUUAAUAUUGAUUAUAUGUAUCAAUUUUACUUUUUAUAAAUGAUGAUGAGGAAAUCGGAUCUAGUGCAAAAUCAUCUUUUCUCCGGACUAUCAUAUCAUAGGACUCGGUGAAUUUCAAUUAAAUUCUCAAGGCUCCCAUUCAAAAUGGUACAAGAACAUUGCAAGUAGAAGCUAGACAGCGGCAAGAUCAAAUACCAAUCCAGGGCUGCAUAUCCUCUCACUAGCACCAAAUGGGAUGUGUUCAAAUUUAGUCUCCUGGUUCAUUGCAUUAAUCUUAAUUGAAAAUCUUGUCCCAACCGCACAAAACAGAGGACAUUUUACACAAGCAGCAAUAUUUUGUUAUUCUUUCUUCCCAAGUAAAAAACUCCUUAUAUUUUUCGGGGAAAUUAAUCAUGCCGCGGAAACAUUUUUGUUUACGGAAACCUUGCUUUAUGUCGAUAUAAUGAUGCAUAAAAGUUGCAGACGGAGAACAAUUCAAUAAAAGAUUUUUCAUCAACGGUUUAGGAGUUUUUAUAAUCAGAACCUUUGAGGACAAUUACAAGGAUUUUUCCAACUUCAUUUGCUGGUAUGCUAACGUAGGAAUGUCAUUAUUCACUUACGAUUCAUGUAAAUUUAGAAUUCACCGAGAAAAGAAGAAUAUUUCACUAUAAAAAUGAAGAAUACAAGUAUUAGAAUAUUUAUCUCACAAUCCAAAGUUCUAAUACACUCAAACUCUCAAAUCACUCAUAUAACACUUUAGCUCUCUCAAAUGCUAAAUAACUAUUUAUCAAGACACUCAAAUUUCUCAAAUUGCUAGAGAACCUCACUCACAUUCCGAUGCCUAGCUUCCAGACCUCUCUCUAUUAAUUGGCAAAGUAAGCUUUCAAUUAUCAAAUAAUUCGGGAUCAAUUCAGCUGAAAUAGCCUCCAUUUAAGCUUGAUAAUCUUGACUUUUAUAAGCCACCAAAUGAACAUGAUGAUUGUCAACGUGAUGAAAAAUGAAGCCGAAUUUUUCUUGUAUGUCAUCAUGCAUGAAAUGAAAGCAAUAAGUCAAGCUUCCAUUUAUGGCAAAUGGUUGACAAGUAACCGGCCAUUUUAUAGCAAGCUCUCUUUACCACUUUCUUCACAUUUUUCGAAUAGCCAUUUUGCCAACAUUUGAAAGCAAUAAGUCAAGCUUCCAUAAAUGCUCCUUGAUUUCAUUUCAUGCAUGAUGACAUGCAAGAAAAAUUCGGCUUCAUUUUUCAUCACGUUGACGAUCAUCAUGUUCAUUUGGUGGCUUAUAAAAGUCUAAGGUUAUCGAGCUUAAAUGGAGGCUAUUUCAGCGGAUUUGGUCCCGAAUUAUUUGAUAAUUGAAAGCUUACUUUGCCAAUAAAUAGAGAGGGGUCUGGAAGCUAGGCAUCGGAAUGUGAGUGAGGUUCUCUAACAAUUUGAGAAAUUUGAGUGUCUUGACAAAUAGUUCCUUAGCAUUUGAGAGAGCUAAAUCUAGCGUUCUCGAGUGAUUUGAGAGUUUGAGUGUAUUAGUACUUUGGGUUGUGAGAUAAAUAUUCUAAUGCUUGUAUUCUUUAUUUUUAUAGUGAAAUAUUCUUCUUGACGUAGACUAAAAAACCGAACCAAGUAUAUUGUUGUAUAUUUUGUAUGAUUAUUUCUAUUUUUCACUAUCACCACAUUAAUACUUAAUUAAUUGUCAUAUAAUCUAGGUCUGUCAAAAUACUGAUCUACAUACUACUUCCUGCAGGAAGUUGCAUAAAGAAUUAUUUUAUUUUUACUAUUACGUUUGCUGAAAGUUGACAAAAUAAAAGAACUAACAAAGAGCAGAAUAGGCCCAAGCUUUGACAAUUACAAUGACGGAAGAUGAUUUUAGGGAUGAGCUUUCAACCUUAUAUAGAUUAGUCUUUGCUGAAACUUUAGCCAUAAUCUUAAAUAAUAACUCUCCGCAAUAAAUGAUAGAAAAUAAAAUACUUUUCUAUGGUUCUGCUCAUGUAGCCACUCUGAAGCACUCCUCUUUUACAAAAAAUAUUCUUUAGUUUCUUAUGCAAUAGAUGAAGGAUGGUGUGAGUUGAAGAUUGAAAAAGAUGUUUGGUUACUUAGAAAAUAAGAGAAAGUGAAAAGAAUUAAGAAAUAGAUCUGAGAAACUUCUGAUGCUUUAUUAAUCAAAUACACACAUAAUGUGUGGUGAAUUAUUUCUUAUAUACAAGUGCUGAAGCUCAGCUUGAUUACUGUUAUUAGUCACUAAACUAUUAACAAACUAUAUUAAGCUGAAUAUAACAACUUUAACUAAUCAAUCACGUGUACACAUAAUUUCAUAAUCACCAGGCAUGACGUGGCAUGCCACAUCAUCAAUGUGUAACUGAUUGAUCCUGCUACUAUCAUCCUCUGCUCUGCUGACUACACUACAAGUGUGAGCUUCCUUAACAGUGUGGAAUAGGAAUCAUGCACAGAUCUUGUUUUCUUCUUACUGUCGCGCCAAAGGCCUCUGUCAUGUCCAAAUCCUCAUGCUUCAUUCCAUUUGGUAGUUUCCAUUCGAAAUGGUAUAAUAACAUCGCGAGUGUAAGCUCCACGCUGGCCAGACCAAAUGACAUUCCAGGGCAUAUCCUCCUACCAGCACCAAAUGGGAUGUACUCAAAAUUAGUCCCCUUGUAGUCAACAGAAUGGUCAAUGAAUCUCUCGGGAAUAAAGCUCUCAGGUUCAGUCCAAUACAUGGGAUCUCUUCCAGUUGCCCAUGAAUUAACAAUGACUCUGGCUUUUGCAGGAAUGUUGAAUCCGUUAAUCUCACAACUGUCUCCACAUUCUCUUAGAAUUAAAGGUGCAGAAGGAUGUAAUCUCAGGGUCUCUUUGACAACCAGCUUCAAGUAUUUCAUUUCAUUGAUGCCCGUUUCAUCGACCUUUCCUUUUCUAUUAAACACUUCUCUCACCUCAGCUUGUGCUUUCUUCAUCACUCUAGGAUUUUUCAUCAUUUCAUACAUUGCCCAGUCCACAGUCGUAGCAGAUGUCUCACUGCCAGCACCAAAAAUGUCCUGAAACGGGGUUUAUGCAAAUGAGUUUUUGUAGAUAGUUAUAUGGUCUCAUUCAUCUUAUCAAAAAACACUAGGUUAACAUUAAAAGAAACAACAUAAUGAAAAGACAAAUGGAAUUGAUGAUAUUAAAUGUAUAGUUACUUACAAAGAUUACUGCUUUGAUGUUGUCUGUAGUCAAGGAAGAAUCAAGAUCUCCGUGCCCUUGAAUUUUCAACAGAACAUCAACCAGAUCUUCAUCAUCACCAGUUUUGCAAUUCUUCAAUGUUGCCUUGCGCUUUUUAUGAUCAUUGAUAAUGUUUUCAACUAUUCUGUCAGCUUCUUGAAGCAGCUUCUCCACCUGAGACUUGUUUCCAGUAAGCCGCUGAAGCAAUCCAAUGGAAGGAAACAUAUCUGCAAUAUUAAAACCUGAGAUCACUUUCGUUGUUUCCUCUAUAACUGAGACAAAUGUUUCUUGGUCUCUGGAUCUGUUUCCAAAGGCUGCCCUUGAAGUGAUACCAUACAUUAAUGAGUAAACCUUCUCCGUUAAGUUAAUAACUAAUCCAGCUUUUGAAGAAAUCCAAUUAAUGAGAUCAGACACCUCUGCUUCUCUUAUUGAUUGGAAAGAUUGGACUCUUUUGGUGCUCAAAAGCUCAGACACACAGAUUUUUCGCAGUUGUUUCCAACAAUCACCAUAUGCUGAAAAGAUUAUACCACGAUAAUUAUAAGACAUGAUUUGUGCUGCAGGAAAAUGAGGCCUGGAUGCAAAGACAACAUCAUGGGUUUUCAUAACGUCUUUGGCAACUUCUGGGGAAGAUACAAUAAUGGUUGGAACUUGCCCGAGUUGUAGGAGCAUGAGAGGUCCGAAUUUCUUGGUCAAGUCUCUUAGCCGAUGAUGAGGGAGAGAGCCAGCCAGCUGGUGCAAAUUUCCUAUUAAAGGUAAUUUCCAAGGUCCUGGUGGUAGAUUUGAGAUUCUGUUAUUGGUUUCUGAUUUCUUCUCUGGUUUCAGCAAAGCGAAGGCAGAGAGAAGAAUAGCUAGAAGGAUGAGCAAGGACGAAGACAACCCUAGAAGCUCCAUGUGAAAUGAACAGGACAAUGGGGAUAGAAUUUUGAAAUAGUCUGUUGUUAUGUCUGUUGAAAAAUAAGAAAGCCACUUGCAUUUUGCUAACAAUUUGUCAAGGUUAGCCGAAAUGUUGAAUUCAAAUUUGGAGAAUUUGUCAAGCAUGUGGCAAUUUUUCAAAGAGCUACCAAACAUUUGAAGAAAAAAUAGAAAGUUGGCAAAUUUGUCAAAGGGGAUGUAUUGAAAAUAAUAAUAAUAAUUUAUUAUAUUUUCAAUUAUUUUAUUCUUUGCAUAGUGCCAACAAUUUUCCUAUAAAUAGAUGGCACUUCUUCCAUUCUAAAUAAUCCCAAAAUUGUUAAGCUUAUAAGUUUCUAAGCUUUUGAGAGAAGUGAGAGAAGUGUGUCUGGGGAAUUUAUCUUUCCUGCAGAGUGUGAGAGUACUGGGUAUAUUUGGGUUUCUGGGAAGUGAGAUUCGUUACUCAAAUAUUGUAUUCUAUUCAUUGUUUAAUAAACAAUUAUUCUUUCUUGCCUCCGUGGAUGUAGGUUUAAUUACCGAACCACGUAAAUUCUUGUGUCCUUUAUUUUUCAGUAAUUAUUUGGUGCGCUUGAUUCCGCAUUCCGCGCACAACAAGUGGUAUCAGAGCCGACGGUUCGUACUUGGGGGGAUACGGUACUGUUCACGUAUACGGUACUAUUCCCGUAUACGGUACUGUUCACAUACGGUACUGUUCACGGAUACGGUGGAGACGGCCAUUUGUACUUGGGAAAUAUUGGUAAUACGGGAAGCAGAAAUAAUUAAAUGAUAAGGGGGCUAAGAGAAAUAAGCCAUGGGAAUAAUGCUUUUGCUCGUAUUUCGGUGUGCCGAACAAUCACGCAAAUCGAGUGAUUAUUGCCCAUAUAUACACUGAUGAGAACAUUGUGGUGAGUUUUUCUGGCGGUUGUAUCGGGUAAUUAGCAAAAUCUUCACAGCUCUUGCUGCACCCAAUCUUUUUUUUUUUUACAUCCUGAUACAUCGUAGGCCAGAAAUAGCCCUAUCCUAAAACUUUGAAGGCCAAAGAUCUUGCUUCAAAGUGGUUUCCACAUAUUCCUUCACGUACCUCCCUCAACACGUAGUUUGCUUCAUACUCAUCUAAACAUCUUAGAAAGGGCAACGUAUAUCCUCGUCGAUAUAAUACUCCGUCAAUCAAUAUAUAUUUGGCUGCUUAGCACUUGAGUUUCCUUACUUGUUUUUUAUCUGCUGGCAAUGUUCCUUCUCAGAUAUACAAGACAAUAGGAUCCAUCCAUGAUCUCUUUACAUCAAUAUUCAUUACUUUGGCUUCUUGCUCGAUGCUUGGCGAAGUUUUGACCUCCAUUGGAACAUACUUAGGCAUUUGGUGUGUAAAUUCUAAUGCUAUGAGUGUUAAUAUAUAAGUGUACACAAUAAAUAAUAUAAUGAUAAAUAUUCAAGAUUGUCUCCACAGGUAUUGAUGUUAUCAGAUUUGCAACAACAAUUCUGACAGUGCAGUUUAGAUUAAAUUAAAAUAAAAUAAUUAAAGAAACUAAUAAACCAACUAAAUUAAAAAUGCAAUAAGAGAAAUUUUAAAUCAAACACGAAGAUGCAAUUAAUAAGAAAAGAGUAGUUGAGUGAUUAAACCCACUUAAUGGUUUUGACUAUUUUUCUAAUUAAAAACCUGUUGCUACAUCAUUUAUUACAGUACUGGACAUAAUCUCUCAUGCAUACUCAGCUGUCGCCUGUUGGAUAUCUUAUAUCUAUAUGUAACAUAACAGUGAUAAGUUGUUAUGCUAACAUUAGAUAUAUCAUUAUGCAUUCUAGGUUCUAAUUACCCUACAAGGUGAAUCUCUAUGUUUAGUUCUUCACUAAUUUUAGAUCAAAUAUGACCCUAUUCAAAUCGAGAUUAACUCAAGUUGGUAAACCUAAUCUAUAGCCAAGUAUUGUCUUAAUUUGUUCCACUAAGUCAUACCUUUUUUAGGCUCCUUUUUAGCUAGUAUCCAUUAAAUGAGUGAUCAACCGAAAUAGGGAAGUAAAAUAAAUACAAUUAAGACAAACUACUGCAGCAAACACAGAGCAACAUGCAUAUGUCAGUCAAACAUCCAUUAAGAUCGUUUAUCAAUUAACCACAAUCAAAUUCAAUUCAUGAUUUGCGAAAGAAAAAUAAAUAAAAGAAUUUUAACCAUUAAAUACAUCCCCAUGAAUAAAUAGAAAACAAGAAAAGAACAAGAAAGACCGAUUUUUAAUGGAUCUCUGUGUUUUCUCCUCUGGUGCAGCCCUCAAUCUUUCUCUUGAAUUUUUUUUUUCAGUUUUUCUCUUUUGAUGACAGCUCUCAUCUUUUCUUUGUGUGUGUGCUCCUUUUAUAGGUUAGAAUUAGGGCAACCAGAAGUCUAGGUCGCGUAUCUUCCAUUUUAAGAAACUCCAGAUUGCAAUCUUCUAAGUAUCUUUCGCAAAAUCUUCUCUGUUAAUGCUACAGAAUUGCUACAGCAAUGAUGCUACAACAAUAAUGCUACAAUAAUGCUACAACGUGAAAUCUUAUCAUUUAUUAUCUAAGUAACAUUGAUUUAAGUCUAAACGUACCAUGAUAACUCUCAUUUCAUAAAGUUAUCAGCAUCUUUGCGUCUGACAUUGUGGCCAUCCUUGCCAGGAUAUCAGCUCGAAAAUUUUCUAUCCGUGGUAUAAGCUUUACCUUUACAACCUAAAACUUCGUCAUCAAUUGCUUACCCUUUUUUUAAGUACAACUCCAUCCCUUCACCUUUUCCCUGGAAACUUUCAUUGACAUGGUUGGCUACGAGUUGGGAUUAUGUUUGAACUUUAACCUUAUCUGCUUGCAUUGCCAGGGCCAACUUCAAUCUUGCGAUAAAGACUUCAUAUUUUGCCUAGUUGUUGGUUGCUUUGAACUCAAACCUUUAGUGCAUAAGAGAACUCAAACCCUCUGGGCUAACCAAAAUCACCCAUGUUCCCAAUCCUUGUUUUCUACAAGAUCCAUCCACUAUUACCAUCCACACUCUAGUAGUGUUCUCUUCCCUCGCUCUCUGAUUAGAACCAGCUUCUUUGCCUAACUUUGUGCAUUAAGCAAUGAAAUCGGCUAAUCCUUAAUUGUUGCUCGGGGUUUGUAACUUAUAUCAAAAUCAUUCAACUCCACCAACCACUUCACCAAGUGACUAGAAGCCUUUGGUUUGUGCAACGCCCGUCGCAGUGAUUGAUUUGUCAUUACAACUACUGAAAGUGCCUGAAAUUAAGGCUUUAACUUACAAAUAGCUGUGACUAAAGCCAAGGCUCCAUUUUUCCAUCAUCAGAUAUCUAGUCUCAGUAUCCAGCAGUACCCUGCUAGUAAAGUACACCGGAUGUUGGGUUUAUGCCUCUUCUUUCACCAGAAUUGAGCUCUUGGUCCACUGAAAUACUGCGAGAUAUAAGCUCAAAGUAUCACAUUCUCAUGGUGUGGACAACAGUACAACCCUGAGCAGGUAUUCCUUCAGUUACUGAUGCCUGUUCGCACUCCUGUGUCCACCAGUCUUUUUUUCUUUCUUUAUAACCCAGAAGAAAAUGUGACAUUUAUCUGUUGCCUUUGAUAUGAACCAGUUUAGGGCUAUUAGCUUUCUUGACAAGCUUUAGAUCUCUUUUAAUAUGCAAGGAAAUUUCAUCUAAAGAGUAGCCCAGAUCUUUUCUUGUUUGCUUCUAUUCCCCUAUGGCUCACCAUGAGCCAAAAAAAUUUCCCAAGGAUACGCCGAGCAAAUAUUUUUCUAGGUUGAGUUUCAUCUGGUAUUUCCUGAGUAGCUUGAAAGUCUCCUUCAAGUGCAUCACAUGCUUGAUCGGGUCUUUAGACUUGGUUAUCAUGUCAUCUACAUACACUUCUAUCGUACGCUUGAUCAGCGGCUUGAAUAUCUUAUUUACCAGCCUCUAAUAUGUAACGCCUAUAUUUUUUAGGCUGAAGGGCAUAACCCUAUAAAAAAAAAACCUUAAUUAGUGAUAAAAGCAGUGUGUUCUUCAUCUUACUCGAGCAUGGGUAUUUGAUUGUAAUCCGAAAGUGCAUCCAUGAAACUAAGCAGGCCAUGGUCUGCUGUAGAAUCGACCGAUUGAUCAAUCUUGGGUAGUGGGAAACUAUUAUUUGGACAUGCUUUAUUAAGGUUGGUGAAAUCCAAUGCACAUUCUCCACUUUUUAUUGGCCUUCUUCACCAGAAUCACAUUGGAAAUCCAUUUGGGGUAGUUAACUUCCCUGAUAAACCCUGCUCGCAACAGCUUUUCUACUUCAUUGUUUAUAACGUCAUAUCUCUUUUGGUUAAAACAUCUCCUCUUCUAUUUUACUGCUCUUGUAUCCUUACUUAUGGCCAACUUAUGACAUGCAAUCCUUAGAUCAAUCCCCGACAUGUCCUCGUGUGACCAAGCAAACACAUUGGAAUGUGUUUGCACGCAAUUUACUAGGUUUUUCUUUAACUCUUGCCCAAGGUUUAAGCCAAUCUUCAUAAUUUUAUUAAGAUCGUUUUGCUUUAUUCUUAUGUCUUAUAAAUCCUCAACCGGCUCCUGCCUUUCUUUCUACGAGUUUCCUCAUGUGUCUAAUGAGGUUAUUUGCAUAGCCUCAUUGGCUGCUGUCGUGUAACAUUUCCUAUCAAUUCUCUAGUUACCUUUUACCAUACCUUCAGCUCUAUUCACUUAAUACUUGAGCGCCAUAUAAUGAUUGGACAUCACACAUUUACUAAUCCUCAUGAAUGGUCUCCCAAAGAUCAUAUAGUAAGGGUUAUCUUCCUCGACUACCAUAAAAUCCAACAUAAUAGUUAUCUCAAACAGUUUCAUGCCUAUAUUCACCAGCAUCAAGACUACUCCGAGAGGUCUUAAUUUUCAACCACCGAACCAUUUUAGGGAUGUGCUAGUGUGCUCCAUCUUUAAAUAUGCAAUUCUUAUUUCAUCUAAGGUGUUUUUGAAGAGGAAGUCCACUGAACUACUUGAGUCCACCAGAAUCCUAUUGAGCUUGCUUACCUGCCACAUUGGCCUUUAUUGCCAAAGCAUCUUCUUGUGGGUAAAGAAUAUUGCAUCUUCUUGUGGGUAAAGAAUCUUUUCCUCAUAAUCCUCAAUCCACAUGAUGGGUACUUGUCUGUUCUCACCCUCUUUACUACUGGUACGUUGAAGAGAACCUUUUGACUUGUCAUCGCAUAUCUUCCAUAGUUUUUCUAGGCUCUAUUAGAAUCUUUCGCUCCUUACAAUGACCUUGGUCACAGGCUCUUCUUGAAUUACCUUACUCGUGUUCUCCUGCUCGAAUUGUUGAUCUACUACUGGACAUGCUCCAAUAAUAUACUCAUCGAUAUAGCGGUUUCUCACCAGAUCCUCCACUUGGUUCUUCAGAUCACAACAUUGUGAUGUAGUGUGGCCAUGGGUAUUGUGAAACUCAUAAACCUAUUUCUAUCUCGUUUGUUGGGAGCUUUUGAGAUGGGUGUUAAUGGAUACAAAAGACCUCGAUCCCUAAUCACCUGAAAUAGUUUUUUCAACAGAAUCUUCAACGGUGUAAAACGAGCAUAAGCAUUACUCUCCUUGGAUCAUUUGCAUCAUUCUAUCCCUUGAAAAAUCAUGAUGAACAGGGGCUGAGGGUAAUUGAUUUGGUCUAUUGAAUCGAGUAUUUUGUGUUUGGUUGUGUAUCCGGGUGUUGUGUCUUUGGUUGUUAUGCGACUGAUUAUGUUCUCUCGGGUGGUUUUCGUUUGGUGGGUGGUAGGAUAGGUUUCUGUCUUGGUGAACUGGCGGUGGUCUCAUGAAACGAGAAUAAGGGGCAACUCUCAUUAGUCCUCCUCUACUUGUUCCUACCUUGUCAUUGCUUCUAACAAGACCUGUAAUAUAUGUGAAAAAAAAGUGAGGCGGUUAAAAAAUAAAUAAAAGAAAAAGAAAAAGCUAGAAACAUGAGAACAUGUACACACGUGUGAGAGAGUUAGAGAAGCUGUAAACCGACUUAAAACCCAACCCCGUUUGACUUGAAAUCAACCCGGCCAUAUCUUGUGUUUCUGGCCACCCCACUGGCCAAGCUUGGUGGCAAUCUGAAGCUUGGGGACCGGCCAUCAUACUUCAAUUGUCCUCAUCAUCGGAAAACAGCUAUAACGUCAGUGAUUUAGCUUGAAAGAACUACGGCUCAACCCACCACCAUUGCUGUUAAUUCCAUCCGUUUUGGGUGACGUCAUUGCUUGGAUCUUGAUCCUCAGCUCACCCUCAUCAUUUUCUGACCAAUCUUGCCACCUGAAACCAUUGUUGCGACCUCCAGAAAGCUUGUUGCUUGGGAAGCUUGAUUCGUCGUUGUUGCCGCGCGUGGGAGCCUACCGCCGACACUAGGGGUGGGCAAAAUACCCGACCCGAUCCGACCCGACCCAAUCCGACCUGAAAAAGAUCGGGUUCGGGUCGGAUCGGGUUGUUAUGGCAACCCGAUCGGAUGAGGAAGUGCCAACCCGAUCGGGUUGUGAUCAGGUCAGUUUAAACCCGACCCGAUCCGAAUACCCGAUCGGGUCUUCCCAAAAAAAAAAUCACUCACCCAUUACACUUUACACUUUACAACACACACGCACACUGCACACCAGACGCAGACGGACCUCAUAGCUCACAACAAUUCACACACACUCACACACUGUGAAACACACAAACAACACAUAGAACAAAACCAAUCUGCUAUGAGUGCUGCCGAAACCAAAGGCCUGAAGUCUGACUCUGCCGAAACCAAAUCUGCUGCCGAAACCGACACCCAACAGGCGAUCUGCUGCCAUUUGCUGCCGCGAUCUGUGCCGCGAGCUGCUGCCAUCUGCUGCCGCGAUCUGCUGUCGUGAUCUGUACCGCGAGCUGCUGCCAUCUGCUGUCGCGAUCUGUGCCGCGAGCUGCUGCCAUCUGUUGUCGCGAUCUGUGCCGCGAGCUGCUGCCAUCUGCUGCCGCGAUCUGUGCCGUGAACUGUUGCCAUAUGCUGCCGCGAUCUACUACCGUGAGCUGCUGCCGUGAGCUGCUGCCAUCUGCUGCCGUGGCUGAAGCCCCUAACCCGACCCGACCCGAGCUUUCUCCUUUGUGACUUUGUGUUGUGGCUUUGUGACCCGAACUCAUUUUUGAGAUUUGAAGUUUCAUAAUUUCAAAUUCAAUAUUUCAUGGUAUAUAUAUAUAGUUUAAUAGUUAUUUAUGCUAAAUUAUUAGUUAUUUAAAUCUAACCCGAACUUAACCCGAAUUAGUGACCCGACCCGAUCCGACUCGAAUUAUAUUCGGGUCGGGUCACUAAUUCGGGUUAAGUUCAGAUUAAUUUUUGUCUAACCCGAAAAACCCAAAACCCAAUCGGGUUGACCCGAACCUGAUUUUGCCCACCCCUAGCCGACACUAUUAGACUCAGCGUGGUUGGAACUAUCAAACCGGAGCUUCUCGACCACCGUUGAACGAUGAGGGCAAUUCGAUAAUUUCACAUUUUGAGGACGAUUUUGUAAUUUCUGACCCUGUGGAGAUUUUAGUAUUUUUUAAAUUGAGGAUUGGGUGUAAUUACGAUUUCGAGGGUAAUCAGUGAUUUACGAUUUCAGAGUAUUUUAAUGAUUUACAGAUUCGAGGGUAUUUUGGUAAUUCUAUGGACAUUAGAGUUGUAAAUUAUGGAUAGAUGUUCGUUUCGAGUUUAUUGCAUAGAUUUAGUCCUAAUUCCGAUUUACAGAAAAUAAUUAUGUCGUUUCUUUAAUUUCGGAGGAUUUGCAAGCGAGAACCAGUCUGCGGACGUGGACAAUAACCAAGCGUGAAUAUCGUCACUGUGAGUGGAAUACAUAAAACACAUUUUCAUAGUUAAUUAUUAUAGUAAAGCAUAUUUGGGAAAUAAGUAUUUUAAAUGUUUUGAUUUAAUGAUUUUCUCGAAAUCGAUUUUAUUCAUGCAUUGAUAUUAUAUUAAAAUGUUUGGUUAAUGGUUUUUCGUAUCGACUUUGAAUAAAAUAUGAUAGUAUUUUUAAAGAAAAGAAAAGUGAAUUUAGAUGUGAUGAUGAAAAGAAGAGCAUGACUUAACUUAUGGUAAAAAUGUAUAUGAAUAUGUGUAUAGAUAUUGUUUUUUUUAAAUCAUUGGACAAUAUACCCUUUCCCUCCAGAUAUAGUGAUACAUAUGAGAUGAGAGGUCUUUAGGGCCCGUCUGAACACAGAUAAAGGCUUUGGGCUGUGUGUUUGGGUGCUUCUGCCUUUUAGGGGCAUAUGCAUGUGAUAUGAUGAUAACAAUAAUACAUAUACAGAUGAGAUACAAGCCUUUGAGCCUGUCUGAGACACACAGAGGCUUUGGGCCGUGUGCCUGGGCGCUCUUGUCCUUUGGGGACUAGAUUAUACUUGCAAAGAUAUGAUGAGAUAUGAGAUGAUAUUUUCCUGUCUAUCCGUAUAGCUCUGGGGCGUGACGGUACCUAGAUAGUACGUCAUUGCCCGUCCAUUGAGGUUCAGAUACGAUGAGAUUAUUCCCUUGGGUACUUGUUUAGUGAUGAUUUUCAUAUUUGUGUAUGCAAUAUGAUAUUGUGAUAUGAUUUCCAUGGUUAUUAGGUAUGAUAUUAUAUAUGCUUUUCAAGGUUAGUAAUGUGAUUUAAAUGUUAAAUGUUUUAUUAAUGGUUUCUUACAUAUGGCUUGAUGAAAUCGUGUUUGGAAAUGAUAUGAUUAUUUCUUUUAUAGUAAAAAUUUAUUUUAAAAAAUUACUAUCCACUCGCUGAGCUCACUGAGUUUUAUACUCAUCUCGUUUUUAUUAUAUUCCCCCCCCCCCCCAAUAGGAGGUUGCAGGUACACUAGAUUGACCCAGUGACUGUAAAUAUAUUUUGAAUCUUGGCCACGUGAUGGUGUUAGAAGAUAUAGAUGAUUUUUGUUAGGACAUCCUGAUCAUCUCAUUCUUUUGAGGAUUGUAUAAUUUUGUUAUAUUAUUUUUUUGGGAUUAAGAAUAAACUAAUGUCUAUUAAUAUUAGUUAUAAUAUAAUCCUUUGAUAUUUUGGAGAUAUCUUGAGUAAAAUUCAGCAUUUUCGUUGAGGAUGUUGAUCAUUGGAGUUGGUUGUAUAUUGAAUUAUUUUGUGAGUGCUUGAUUUACAUAUUUGUGGAUUGAGAGUGUUAUAUUUAAAGAGAAGACUUUGUCGAAUUUUUGGUAGAAUCCUUACUAAUUAGAUUAUUAUCAAGUCAGUUUUGAUAAGACUAGAUAGACUCACCCUGGUGGUUCAGGGUGGGUCGUUUCAAGACCUGUGUUUGUCUGCCCUCAUUUCUCGUUUCGCCUAAGCUCUCCAAUUGCUCGCUUCUAACCCUUGUUGCUUUUUCCUCUUCGAUUUCAAUGUCUCUCUUCGUCUGCUCAUAAUCAACAGAAUACGACUGUAUCACGGGACUUAUCAUAUUAUACCAUAAUUGCCCAAUCUUGAUUCAUUCUUUUAGUCUUUUCAAAGCUUGAGGAUGAUUGAAGGCUAUAAGAUCCAGAACUGCUCGGUGGUAUGUAACACAUGUUCCUUGUUUCUUUGUUUGUUUGUUUAUGCUUACCUAUUUAGUUAUUUGUCGUUGUUUGUGUUAAUCAAUUUUAAUUAGCACUAUUUGAGAUAAAGUAUAAUUCUUUUAUUUAUUUAUUUAUUUUUAAAAAUUAUCAUAGAAUAUCAUCUUAAUCAAAUAAUCACAUAAUAUAUUUUUAUAAAAGCAAGUAUUUUUAUAAAACUUAAACUCUUCCUAUCUUCUUACGAUUAAACCUCUUUAACCUAACAACCAUAUAAAAGCAAAAAAUUCUAGGGUUUUCUUUUAUGCCCGUUUGAAAUAAUUUUUGAGGUAAUUAUCCUUCUCUAAUACAUGUUCACUGAUCUUAUGUGUUUGAUGAGGAAUGCAUGCUUUGUUCUCUUUAUCAAGAAUGACUAGUUAGGCAUUAUGAGGCAUGAGUACUGUGAUUUAAUUAUUGUUUUCCUUUUAUUUUGAUUCAAUUCUUUCAUGAAAUCUUUCAAAAGAAUACAUCCUAAGGUUUUUCAUUGAUAUAUUUCGUGCAAAGAGAUUUCAAGUAAUCAAUUUGUUGUGAAUUUUCGAAGUUGGAACAGUGGUGGUGGAAAAUUUCGAUUUUCAGCAGCAUGUCUGAUUUUGCAAUUUUUCCGUCUACCCAAAUAAUCUCUGAAAAUUAUGUUGAUUUUUUUUUUUCUAAUCUUCAUUAUGUCUACUUACUGCAUGUUUAAUUUCAUAACUUUUGGAUGAGUAGAAAAAUUACUAAAAAACAUUAUGUUGGGCUGCUGUAGUUCUAGAAACUGCUUUCCAGAAUUGGAUUGUUGAUGGUGAAAUUAGUUUAGGCCAUUAAAAGGCUUUAGAAUGGCCUAUAAAAAUUAUAUUCGUAUAAAAUUAUGAAUUAUCAAGUGGUCUAAUUUUUAUGAGUUUUAUUAAAUAUUUUACAAAUUUUCUAAUUCAACUGUUUAUGUUUUUAUCACUACUGGACAGUGUGGACAUUUACAUGUAAAAUUCUUUUUACAAUAUGUUUAUGACCUUUAUUCAUUUUUUUGAAUUUUUAUGUGAAAUGUUACCCAUUUUUAUGGUUUCUUUUUGAAUUUUUACAAUUUUCCGACAUAUGAUUAGCUUAGUAAAAAUCAGCUUAUAUAGAAUGGUGAAGUUUAAACUAGCUUUGAUGGUUUAGUACUUAUGAUUAGGCUUCAAUAUGUUGGAUUUAUUUCAAGGUCAGAAUGAGCAAUAAUAUUGAUAAGAAUGUGUCUUGAUGUUUUAGGACAAGAGUGAACUUGUGGUUGAGGUUACCGUUCUUUUUAUUGCUGAAGAUCAAGGUAAGUAAAUUCAUGCAUGGUACAUGUAUUUCACUAUUAAAAUACUUUUAACUCAAGGUAUGUAUUAUGUUGAAUGAAAAGUAUAUGAAACUGAUUUGUUUAGUUUAUUUCAAUAUUUUGUUAAGUAAAAUUCAUUCUUUAAAAUUAUUUAUAGCAAAACUUUAUUUAUUAAAAACUUGUUUUAUAUAUUAUCUUAAAAAUGAAAACCUUUAUUAAAUUAUUUAAGUCAAAUACUUUGAAAUAAUUAUCAGUUAUUUAAGGGUGUGUUUGGUGUAUGGGAUUGUGUUAUAUUAUAAUACUGUCCACAUUAGUUUAUUACUAAAGAGAUGUUUGGCGAAAUUUGAGACCUCAUUAUUCUGCAUUAUAAUGCACCAUAAUGAGGCAUGGGGCCGCAUUGCGCAAACCCGAGGGAACCUUGGGUUUGCGUAAUGCGGUAGCUUUUUGCCUCAAUUGAGGUAAAUUUAUUUUCUUAAAAUAUUAUAAAAAUAAAGUAUUUUAUUAUUAAAUACUAAUAUAAUGAAUAAAAUAUAAAAAUAAAUUAUAUGAUAAUAUUAUUUAUUUAUUAAUGAUUCAUAUAAAAAUAAUAUAUUAAUAUUAUUUACAUUACUGUUAAUUUUAAAAUUAAUAUUAUUUAAAUUUAUACAAAUUUAAAUAUUUAUAAAUAUUUAUAUUAAAUUAUAAAUUUAUUAAUAUAUUAAAAUGUAAAAAUAAUAAUAUAUUAUAAAUUAAAAUAUAAUUUAAUAUUAUUGAAUAAUAAUUUACUAAUUUAUAUUAACAAUUAUAAUAUUAAUUAUAAUCUAAAUUUAUUAUUUACAUAUAAUAUUAAAUUUUAUAAAUUUUAUUUUAUUAUAAUUAUAAUACAAAUUUUAGAAAUUUAAUCAUUAAUUUUUAACAUUUACUAAAAAAAUUGUUAAAUUUCUACAAUUUAAGAUUUCUAUAUUUAUUGUUUUUCUAAGUAUUAAUAAAUAUUAUUUUUUUAGUUAUUUAAUUUAAUUAAUCACAAAAAAUUAAUACAAUACAAUGCAACACCAAAUAUAGUCUAAUUAAAAAUUAAUACAGUACAAUAUAACACCAAACAUUGUAUAGCAUUGUUAUAAUACAAUGUUAACACAAUACAACAUAAUACAAUACACCGGCAUUAAAAUAGUGCAAUACAGUAUAAUACAAUACAGAAUACCAAACGCACCCUAAAUGUAAUUGACGAAAGUUUUCAAAUGAUUAAAAGUUCAAGGAUGAUUUUAAAUGUUUUGGCUUAUUGUUCAUAGUUAUGUUAUAUUAUGUUAUGGAAGGCUAUCCGGAUUUUAUGUACAUAUGAUGUUAAUGUUAAUGAUUUCCACGGGUACAAUACCUUGAAUGAUGUUAUAUGGCCGGGUCACCGGGUCUACAAGUGAUACUAUGUGGCAUGAGUAAAUUAUAUUUUAUGUGUUUAAAAUGCUUUUGUUAUGUUUAAAGGAUUUCAAUGACUUUAUGAUGAUGUGAUUUAUUUUUCCUAAAUGAUGAUUUACAAAGGUAAUUUCUCUUAUUAUUAUGUAUAUCUAAAAUUUUUUAUUAAAUUAUAUUUUAAUGAUUUUUAGUAUUGUGCAUGAAUUUACUUAUCGAAUUGAUGGCUCACCCAUCAUUAUCAUAUUUUUGUAGAUAGAGUUAGAUGAUGUGAGCUCAUAGUCUUAGAAGGAAAAAUAAGAGCUCUAUUUCUUUUGGAGAUUAAUGUUAUGUUGAUAAUAUAAGAACAAUUUAGUUUCUUUUGGGAUGAUAUUUAUUUAAGGAUAUGUUAUUUUAAAAUUUAUUUAUAUUCUUUUAGAGGUUUAGAACAUUUAUUGUUGGUUAUUACUUUGAAAGUUUUAAAGAUGAGAAUAAUGAAAUGCAGUUACACUUCAAUUUCACCAUAUUACCUUGUUAGUGGAAUUGGGGUGUUACAUGGUAUCUUUUUACAAAUUCCCUGACGGGCUCAUCAUCUCCCUACUUAAUCCCCAUCUGGUCAAUCAUAUCAUCUUCUAAUGCAAUUGCUCCUUAAAUCUACUUUGCAAAUUCUAUACGCAUAUGCUUGAAACUCCUAAUACUCCCACGGGGCAACCAACGAUACCAUUCAUGUGCUCGCUCAUAAUGCUCUACAUCUUUGCACCUGUGUCAAGCCCUGUACCUUCGUCAUGUCAUUGAAAUGUUCAAUGUGUACCAGAGGAUUGCUUUUCCUGGAGAAUUUGAGAUUGGGAAAAUGGAAAUCUUUACGUAUCGUGGUGCUCAUAAUUUCUGCGGAGAGAAGGGACUUGUUGUUCAACAUGAUCCUCUAGCUUGGAGGCUUUCCCCGGCCUUGCGUCUCAUCGAUAAUCUGAGCUAGCCUUUGCACCUCUCCUUCUAAUUUUAUUGCUCGACCAGGAUUGCAUACAGCGACUCAUUCGCGCUCUCGUUCUACAUCAUGCAGAUGUUGUCUCAAUUUCUUUCCUUGAGAUUCUUUUCUUUGCCAGUAUUAUCCAGCUUUUGUUUUUCAUGGAACUAUUUCCUGCCUCGAGGUUCUGCUCAAUAUGAAAUUAACUCCCAACGCUAGGAUUUGGUUUAAAGUAAAGCUGACUUCUAAUUCCUGGAUUCCGUUCGCCUCGAUUUGCUCUAUUGUUGGGUUCUGGAACAUCUUGAUUAUCCCUAGACUUCCUCCACCAAGUCUUCUUUGCCCGUCCCUCAACUCAUGUAAAACAGCUAUGAGGGUCUCCAUUUGUCUCUCCAUCUAUUCCAUCCGUUCAUGGAUUGUUCUCUCCCUUGCUUCAUUCUCUAUUUCCCGCAAAGUGAUUGGCUUAUUUAUUCUAGACUCCACCCUUUAGGCAUUAUUUCCUCCCGUAUCCAUGUUCAUUCCCUUUCUCUUUCUUAAAUUGCUCCGUUGGUUGUAACUUUUUGUUCAUUUCCAAUAGACGGCGCCAAAAUGUUGAUGUUGAAAUCUAGUCGUUGUUGAUGCGACCAGGCGUCUACGUCAACACUUAAAUUUGUUUUAUCGCAGGGAUGGUUAACACUGUUGCUUUAUACUCGAGCAGAUAUGAUCGAUCACUAACUUGUCUUACUCAAUUACCUGAACUCAUAAAAAAUUAGGAAGACGGUGCCAUAUGCUUUUCCGACAAGAAAACUUCGACGCCUAAGUCAGUAAUUGGGCAUUUUGGGAAAAAGUUUUGCCACCUCUCACAUGCUUUAAUUUUGUUUGCUUUUCUAAUAAGAAAGUUUUUUUAGUUGAUCUCUAAAAAUUAAAAGAGAGAGAGUGGGGAUUUUCUAAAAAAAGAAAAGAAGAGAAACUUACUUACGUGGCUGGGGCUUUUAUAGGCAGCCAAAACCACUACACCCAAUAUUGAUGCGCGAUUGUUAAUGGGUAUACUACAUGAGUGUUAGUGGAUGCAUUACUCGACUGUUAGUGGAUUGGUUUCGUGCCCGGAUAUCUUGGGAGAAAUCGUGGGUAGGCCUUUAACCAAGUCUCAGUCGUGUCUUAGGGCAGGUUAUCUCAUCGCUUCAGUCCGGUCUCCCACCUGUGCUCGAUCUUUUUCUUUGCGAAGUCGAGGAAAAUUAUCCUCGAGUGAAUCUUCUCGCUUUAGACGAGGGAAGGAAGAUUCAUGCGAGCAAGCCUCUGGUCGUGCUCCGCUUUUAUCCCCCAAACAGUUUGGCGAAUUCCGGAGAAGAUACUAUAAUGGUGGAAACUUCUCCAAGUUGUAAGUGUAUAAGAGGUCUAUACUUUAUGGCCAAGUUUCUAAGACAUGAUGGGGUAGAGAGCCAACCAGCUGGUGCAAAUUUUCGAUUACUGGUAACUUCCAUGGGCUUGGAGGGAGAUUUGAAAUUGUGUUAUUGGUUUUGGAUAUCUUUUCUAGUUUCAGCAUUGUAAAGAUAAAGACUGUUAAGGAAGCUCAUGCUGCAGUCAAAGGAUCAGCUCAGUCAGCACGUGUGAGUCAAAGCAGAAAUUAGCAGAGUCUGUUAAGAAGCUUUGCCAGCUCAGCAAGUUUGUUGGAGCAUGCUUUUCAUUCUGUUUUGUAGUUAAGCUUACUUAAUAAGUUUAGCUCUCUGAUUAUAGUUUUGUAUAUAAGCUAAGAUUGAUUUACUUUGUUUGUAAUCGAAAAUUAUAUAAAAUAAAAACUUCAAAGUAUUCCUUUCAUUUUCUUAGUUCCCAAACACAUAUUACAGUUGCAAAUCUUAACUUUCAAACAUGGUAUCAGAGCCAAACAGAGCAAGCUCUAGUAAUCAACAAAUGAAUUCUAGAAAUAUAACAGCAGCAAAUAUAAGUCAGAUCAAUUUUUCAUUCAACACUCCGAUCAAGUUAGAUAGAUCCAAUUAUCUGCUUUGGCGAUCACAAGUGCUAGCAUCGAUCAGAGGAAAUCGAUUGGAAGGCUUCAUAGAUGGAACCAAACCAGCACCAGAAGAAAAGUUACUACUCGCUAGAGCUGAUGGAUCUGCUCAAGAAAUAGAUAAUCCAGAAUAUCAAAAUUGGAGGUCACAGGAUCAAACCUUACUUGGAUGGCUGUUAUCAGCAAUCAAUGAAGGUAAUCUUAGUCUUGUUAUUAAUUGUGUAAGCUCGUUUGAUGCAUGGAGAACCUUAGAGAAAAAGUUUGGAGUUCAAUCUGAAGCUAGAGUACUUCAGCUUAGAUAUGAGUUGAAUACAAUAAAGAAAGAGGCAUUAAGCAUUGAAGAUUACUGUAUUAAGAUGAAAUCUAUAGCUGAUAAACUCACUAGUGGUGGUAGUCCAAUAACAGAGAAAGAUCUGAUGUUAACAAUACUAAAUGGAUUAGGAUCAGGCUAUCGUGAUAUAGCAACUUUCAUAACUGGUUCUAAAAUGGAAUUUGAUGAUGCUUAUGCAUUGUUGUUAACACAUGAAACCAGACUUGAACAAGAACAGGAUGAUAAGAAUUUGUUUAAUGCAAACUAUGCCUAUACUAAUACAUGUUAUCCUAGAGCUUUUUAUGGUCAAGCUAGAGGUAAUUUCAGAAGAGGUGGAUAUUUUGGUGGUAGUCUUGGUAAUAUUAGUAAUAGAACUCAUGGAUUUGGAAGAGGAAAUUUUGGUCCACAAAGAGUGUUUAAUGGAAACUUCAGGAGUGGAAAUGGCAGAGGACAAUUUCCUGGUCAAAAUAGUGCUCAUAAUUUUUCUUCUCAAUCACCAAGAAAUAUGACUCCAUUAACUAGAAAUGGAUUUGUUGGAAUGAAUGGAUCAACAGGAUCUACUAGAGCUAUAGAAGAAACUACUUGUCAGAUCUGUUUUAAAGUUGGUCAUACAGCUGACAUCUGUUGGCAUAGAUUUAUAGAAGACUAUACUCCUACCCCAAGAAAUUUCAAUAAGGGAAAAGGGCCAAGAUCUGCAUACUUUGCUAAUUUUGAGAGUUUCAACUCACAUCCCAGCUGUGAAGAAUAUGAUUGUUUCAACUAUAUGUCACCAAAUUUUCAUCCUACUUCUGGAGCUUAUCCUUAUUCUGGAGGUGAUGCUUACAAUUCUGGAGCUGCAUAUAUGGCAAAUUUUGAAGGAGUUGCUGAUGAUGGCUGGUAUUUGGAUAGUGGAGCUACUCACCACUUAACAAACAAUAUGGAAAAUCUGCAGCUCAGAGAGGAGUAUAAAGGUAAUGAUCAGCUCAUAUGAUCAGCUCAUCAUUGGAAAUGGUAAAGGCUUAUUUAUCUCUCAUGUUGGACAUACUUUCUUAUCAUUUAGAGCUUCAAACUGUCACUCUUCACAUCUUGUUAUAGCACUUAAAGACAUGUUGUUUGUUCCUUCAAUAACUAAAAAUUUGUUAAGCAUCUCUAAACUCACCUCUGAAAAUUCUCUCUCUGUUGAAUUCUGUGGAAAUUUUUGUUUUGUAAAGGACAUGAAGGGACAGGUUCUUCUGCAGGGCUCUGCUGAGAAAGGUCUCUACAAGCUACUAUUGAAACCUAAGCCUCAGUCUUCCUCACCUACAUCUCAUCUGUCACAAUCUCAGAUAAAUAAGCCAGUUUUUAUGCUGUCAGUUUCAAAUGUUUCUUCUGUUCAUCAAAAUUGUAGUGCUUUUACUACAACUUGUAAUAACUCAUUUUCAAAUGAUUGUAAUCAAAAACCAGAUGAUCUGACCUUAUUACAUAGAAGGUUUGGUCAUCCAAAUUCAGCAAUAUUAAUGCAUUUGCUUUGUAAGCAAUUUAAAGUCUAUUCUAAAACUCUUUCAUCUUCUCUCUGUGAUGCUUGUCAAUUAGGAAAGACUCAUAAACAACAUUUUCCCAUUACUGAAACUAAAAGUACACAGGUUCUGGAACUGGUAUAUACUGACAUUUGGGGGCCUUUACCUACUAUUUCUAGGAAUGGAUACAAAUAUUAUAUCAGUUUUGUGGAUGACUACAGUAGGUACACUUGGAUUUAUCCACUCAAGCUUAAGUCAGAUGCUUUUGCAGUUUUUAAACUCUUUAAGAUCCAAGUAGAAAACCAGGUCAGUACUAAAGUCAAGAUGUUGCAAUCUGACUGGGGGGGGAGAAUAUAGAGUGUUCACUGAUUUCUUGAAUCAAAAUGGGAUCAUAUUUCGACAUUCAUGUCCAUAUACUCACCAUCAAAAUGGUUUGGUUGAGAGAAAGCAUAGACAUAUAGUAGAAUUGGGAUUGACAUUAUUAGCUCAAGCUGAUCUGCCCUUUAAGUUUUGGUGGGAUGCUAUUCACACUGCAGUUUAUCACAUAAAUAGAUUGCCUACUCCUGUGCUAAAGUUUGUGUCUCCUUAUGAGAAAUUAUUCAAACACAAACCAGAUUACAGCUUCCUAAAAUGUUUUGGUUGUCUUUGUUAUCUAUAUUUGAGGGAUUUUAACAAGCAUAAGUUUGAUUUUCAUACAAGAAAAUGCAUCUUUAUUGGAUACAGCCCAUCUUAUAAAGGUUACAAGUGUUUGACAAGUUCAGGAAAGGUUCAUAUACUUAGACAUGUGAUCUUUGAUGAAACUACAUUUCCUUACCUGACCAACAACAUCUUUUCUUCUGAAAACACAUCCUCAUCUGAAAUUCCUGUGUCAUCCUUUACUCAGCAACAAAUCUUUCAUCUAUCAACACUUUCUACCUCUGAUAGCAGCCUUGAAGAAAAUAUCUCAGCAGACUCAGCAAGAAGUGAACAGGUAUCUUCAUCAUCUUUACAUACAAAUAUUUUACAUCAUGAGAUACAUAAUCAUUCUUUAACAGAAUCUUCAUCACCUCACAUAGCUUCCCAACAACAAUUUGAGCCACAAAUUACUAUCCCUGAUGCCUUAAACACAAGCCAGACUCAGAAACCUUUUCACCAAAUGAUUACCAGAUCCAAAUCUGGUAUCUUCAAACUAAAAUUAUAUACAGCAGCUUUAGUCAAUAAAGAACCUGAUACAGUCCAAGAAGCUCUCAGUGAUAAGAACUGGCAUCAAGCCAUGAGUGAUGAGUAUGAGGCUUUAAUCAGGAAUAAGACUUGGUUAUUAGUUCCAUCUUCAGCUGAACACAAAGUUGUAGGCAAUAAGUGAGUGUUUAGAGUCAAACAAAACAGUGAUGGAAGCAUAGCUAAGUAUAAAGCUCGGUUAGUUGCAAAAGGUGUUCAACAAACAGAGGGUGUAGAUUACUUUGAAACAUUCAGCCCUGUUGUGAAAUCUUCUACAGUGAGAAUUAUGUUGAGUUUAGCUGCAAUGCAUAAAUGGACAAUUAGGCAAGUGGAUGUAAAUAAUGCAUUCUUAAAUGGGGAGCUGACAGAAGAUGUUUAUAUGUGUCAACCUGAGGGGUUUGUUGAUCUGCAGAAGCCUAGCUAUGUCUGCAAACUAAAGAAGGCUUUAUAUGGCUUAAAACAAGCUCCAAGAGCUUGGUAUGAUAAGUUGAGAGAUAUUCUAAUUACCAAGUGGAGAUUCAGAAAAUCAAGAGCUGAUACAUCCUUGUUCUGUAAAGGAAAACAGGACUCAAUAAUCUUUGUUUUGAUAUAUGUGGAUGAUAUACUGAUCACAGGUCCUAAUAGUGCUGAGCUGGAGCAAUUUAUUUUGGAACUCAGUCAAGUGUUUGCUCUGAAAGACUUGGGGAAACUGUCGUAUUUUCUUGGUAUAGAAGUCUCUUAUACUGCAGAUAAUAUUUACCUGUCUCAGAGAAAAUAUAUCAGGGAUCUGUUGAACAAAACUGAUAUGAUAGAGUGUGAAGGGUGUGACACUCCAAUGGUGACAGGAGUAAAGCUCCAGAAAGAAGCUAAGGGUCAUUUGGGUCAGUAUGUUGAAGAUCCUACUGGUUACAGAAGCCUUGUUGGAGGGUUGCAGUAUUUAGUGCUAACAAGACCAGAAAUAGCUUAUGCAGUAAACAAGCUAAGUCAGUAUGUGUCAGCACCUACACUUCAACAUAUCCUUGCAUGCAAAAGAGUUCUUAGAUAUCUAAAAGAGACUGAAGAUUUUGGUUUAAAGUUUUCCACAGAAGGAGAAAUGAAGCUCUCAGGUUACACUAAUGCAGAUUGGGCCUGUGACAUUGAUGACAGGAAAUCAACAGGUGUUUAUUGCAUUUAUUUGGGAAGUAACUUGAUAUCUUGGUCAUCCAUGAAACAGUCAGUGGUUGCUAGGUCCAGUGCAGAGAGUGAGUACAGAGCCCUUGCAGCUGCAAGUGCAGAAAUCUCAUGGAUUCAGUCACUGUUUGAUGAACUUGGUAUUGAAUGUUCAUCUCUUCCUAUGAUCUGGUGUGAUAAUGUCAGUGCAAUAGAACUAGCUAAGAAUCCUGUCUAUCAUUCAAGGACAAAACAUAUUGAAUUAGACAUGCACUUCAUUAGAGAUAAAGUCUUAGCCAAAGAACUGGAAAUCAGAUACAUUCCCAGUGAAGAGCAGAUUGCAGACCUCUUGACUAAGCCACUCACUUUUAUCCAUUUCAAUUAUUUUCGAGCCAAACUCAAUGUGCAAACAUGCCCCUUGAGUUUGAGGGGGGAUGUUAAGGAAGCUCAUGCUGCAGUCAAAGGAUCAGCUCAGUCAGCACGUGUGAGUCAAAGCAGAAAUCAGCAGAGUCAGUUAAGAAGCUUUGCCAGCUCAGCAAGUUUGUUGGAGCAUGCUUUUCAUUCUGUUUUGUAGUUAAGCUUACUUAAUAAGUUUAGCUCUCUGAUUAUAGUUUUGUAUAUAAGCUAAGAUUGAUUUACUUUGUUUGUAAUCGAGAAUUAUAUAAAAUAAAAACUUCAAAGUAUUCCUUUCAUUUUCUUAGUUCCCAAACACAUAUUACAGUUGCAAAUCUUAACUUUCAAACAAAGACAACAAAAGCAAGAAAGAUUUGGAAGGUGGGAAAUUCGAGGUCCAUGAUUAGAUUAAUUCAGAGAACAAAUCUCUUGCUUACAGCUCUCCCUACCUUAAUUGUUAGUUAUAAAGAGAAUUCUUAUUAUUCGUAUUAUUUAGCCCAACGACAACUUAAUUCUGUUACUAGUGUCAAUGGAUGGUGUUCGAAACCAAACCUCUUAUCUUAGAGAAUUAAAUUAAAGAUACGAUGUAGUGAUCCUCGAGGUCAGCCGUCAGCACUAUUUUAGAUAAUCUUAUACUAUUCAAUUGAGUUUGUCAACCAUGGCGUUUGAACAUGCAAGUGGACCUGCUAUAGUUACCACAUGGCUAGUCCCUCCUCCAGGAACAGAGGAGAAAGCAAAGGACAGAUUAACACAAGAUUAUUCAAUGAAAUAUCUUGUAAGAUAUCUUACCUGUGGUAUUGCCCUCCAGUAUUAUUAGAGUUUGAUAUUGUUUAAUAUUUGAUUAUAUGCAUCAAUUUUCCUUGUUAUAAAUGAUGACAAGGAAAUCGGAUUUAGUGCAGAUCAUCUUUUCUCCAGACUAUCAUAUCAAAGGACUCGUUGAAGUUCAAAUAAAUUGCUCAAGGUUCCAAGUCAAAAUGGUACAGCAGCAUUGCAGGUGGAAGCUCAACAGUGGCAAGAUCAGAUAACAUUCGGGGGCUGCAUAUCCUCUCACUAGCCCCAAAUGGGAUUUAUUCAAAUUUAGUCCCCUUAUCGGCAAUAGAACAGGUUCAUUUUGAAAAGCUUGUCCCAAGUGCACAAAACAGAGGACAUUUUAUGCAUGCAGCAAUACUUAGUUAUUCUUUCUUACCAAGUAAAAAAUUCCUUAUAUUUUUUGGGGAAAUUAAUCAUGCAGCGGAAGCUUUUUUGUUUACCGAAAACUUGUUUUAUGUCCAUACAAUGAUGCAUAAAAGUUGCAGACGGAGAACAAUUCAAUAAAAGACUUUUCAUCAACGGUUUAUGAGUUUUUUAUAUAUCAGAACCUUUGAAGACAAUUACAAGGAUUUUUCCAACUUCAUUUGCUGGUAUGCUAACAUAGGAAUGUCAUUAUUUACUUACGAUUCAUGUAAAUCUAGCUCAAAUUAGUCAGCUUUCAUCUUCCGAACCUUUGGUUUUGCUUUCUUGUUAAAAUGGCACUCCAGUACCACCAGUUACAGCUGGAUAUUGGGCGUUGGUAUUAAGACUAACACAUAUCAAUCUAAGACAUUUCAUAAAAAUAAUUAGUAUUCUGUUUCUCUGUAGCAUGAACAUAAAAGGAGGAUAUGAUUUCUAACAUUAAAAAAGAAUUAAAAAUGAACUUCAACUCAUUUUAUGUGCUACAUACUACUUGCUGCAGGAAGUUGCAUUAAGUAUUAUUUAAUUUCUGCUAUAGCUCUAGCAGAAUAAGCCCAAGCUUUGACAAAUAACAAUGACGGAAGAUGAUUUUAGGGAUAAGCUUUCAACCUUAUAUAGAUUAGUCUUUGCUGAAACCUGAGCCAUAAUCUCACAUAAUAACUCUCUGCAAUAAAUGAUUGAAAACAAAAUACCUUUCUAUGGUUCUGCUCAUGCAGCCACUCUGAAGCACUCCUCUUUUACAAAAGUUAUUCUUUAGUUUCUUAUGCAAUAGAUGAAGGAUGGUGUGGAAUAGGAAUCAUACACAAAUCUUGUUUUCUUCUUACUGUUGCGCCAAAGGCCUCAGUCAUGUCCAAAUCCUCAUGCUUCAUUCCAUUUGGUAGUUUCCAUUCGAAAUGGUAUAAUAACAUCGCGAGUGUAAGCUCCACGCUGGCCAGACCAAAUGACGUUCCAGGGCAGAUCCUCCUACCAGCACCAAAUGGGAUGUACGCAAAAUUAGUCCCUUUGUAGUCAACAGAAUAAUCGAGGAACCUCUCUGGAAUAAAGCUCUCAGGUUCGGUCCAGUACUUGGGAUCUCUUCCAAUCGACCAUGCAUUAACAAUGACUUUAGCUUUCACAGGUAUGUCAAAUCCAUUAAUCUUACAUCACUCUCCACAUUCUCUUGGCAAUAACAAAGGACCAGGAGGAUGUAGUCUCAAUGUCUCUUUAACAACUAGCUUCAUGUACAUCAUUUCUUUAAUGCCCGUUUCGUCGACUUUCCCCCUUCUAUUAAACACUUCCCUCGCCUCAGCUUCUGCUUUUUUUAUAACUCUUGGAUUUUUUAUCAUUUCACACAUUGCCCAAUCCACAGUGGUGGCAGAUGUUUCACUCCCAGCACCAAAAAUGUCCUGAAACGGUGUUUAUGUAAAUGAGUUUUCGCAGACAGUUAUAUGGUCUCAUUCAUCCUAUCACAUAACACUAGGCUAACAUUAAAAGAAACAACAUAACGGAAAAAAAAAUUGAAUUGAUGAUAUUAAAUGUAUGGUUACUCACAGAGAUUACUGCUUUGAUGUUGUCUGUAGUCAAGGAAGAACCAUAAUUUCCGAGCCCUUGAAUUUUCAACAGAACAUCAACCAGAUCUUCAUCAUCACCAAUCUUGCAAUUCUUCAAUGUUUCCUUGCGCUUCUUAUGUUCAUUGAUAAUGUUUUCAACUAUUCUGUCAGCUUCUUGAUGCAGUUUCUCCACCUGAGACUUGUUUCCAGUAAGCCACUGAACCAAUCCAAUGGAAGGAAAAAUAUCUGCAAUAUUAAAACCUGAGAUCACUUUUGUUGUUUCCUCUAUAACUGAGACAAAUGCUUCUUGGUCUCUGGAUCUGUAUCCAAAGGCCGCCCUUGAAGUGAUACCGUACAUUAAUGAGUAAACGUUCUCAGUUAAGUUAACAACGGAUCCAGCUUUUGAAGAAAUCCAAUUAAUGAGAUCAGAUACCUCUGCUUCUCUUACUGAUUGGAAAGAUUGGACUCUUUUGGCGCUCAAAAUCUCAUACACACAGAUUUUUCGCAGUUGUUUCCAAGAAUCACUAUAUGGUGAUAAAAUUAUAUCACAAUAAUUAUAAGACAUGAUUUGUGCUGCAGGAAAAUGAGGCCUGGAUGCAAAGAUAACAUCAUGGGUUUUCAUAACUUCAUUGGCAACUUCAGGGGAAGAUACAAUAACGGUUGGAACUUGCCCGAGUUGUAGAAGCAUAAGUGGUCCGUAUUUCUUGGACAGGUCCCUUAGUCCAUGAUGGGGGAGGGAGCCAGCCAGCUGGUGCAAAUUUCCUAUUACAGGUAAUUUCCAUGGUCCUGGUGGUAGAUUUGAGAUUCUGUUAUUGGUUUCUGAUUUCUUCUCUAGUUUCAGCAAAGUGAAGGCAGAGAGAAGAAUAGCUAGAAGGAUCAGCAAGGAGGAGGACAACCCUAGAAGCUCCAUGUGUAAUGAACAGGACAAUGGGGAUAGAAUUUUAACUAGUCCGUUGUUGUAUCCGCGUUGUGGAUCUUUUGUGGUACGUCUUUCAUCCAAAAUAUCUUCAAUUAGUGCACACAUUGAAAAUGUGAAGGAUGAUGAUUGGUUGCCUUACCUGUGUCCUACUUUGACAUUUCCACAAUAAUACGGCUAAAUAUUGGUAAUAUGGGAAGUACAAAUAAUUAAAUGAUAAACGGGCUAAGGUGUGCCGAACAGUCAUGCAAAUCAAGUGAUUAUUGCCCAAUAUAUACAGUGACGAGGACAUUGUGGCGAGCUUUUCUGGCGGCGCCGCCGAUGAUGCAAUAAUUAUUGAAAUACCCAAAGUGACUUCAAUUACAGACAAUUUCAUUUUGCUUUAUAUUAAAUUGAAUUUACAUUGUGGUGAGCUUUUUCUAUUUUGACAAUUCAAUAUAAAGCAAAGUGAAAUGUCUUAGAUUAGAUGCGGGUGCCUUGCUUUAUAUGUGGCUAACUAGUAAAUUAGAUUAAAUUUAAUAGGGGUAUUUUUAUUAAAUUAAAUUAGAUUAAAUUGUCUGAAAUGAUAUGUGCAGAGUGAGUAAUCUAAGACAUUUCGCCGCAACCGAUUAAAUUUAAUCUAAUUUAAAAGUUAGCCACAUAUAAAGCAAGGCACCCGCAUUUAAUCUAAUUUUUCGUAGGUGAUUUAAUAAAACAAGUUAUUAUGAUUGAUUAAAAUAUACAUAUUUAUAUAUAUAAUAUUAUAAUUAGUUGAAAUAUAUAUAUAGCAGUGAGUAAAAGGAAAAGGAGCACCAAAAUUUUUUCCUUCACCAAAUAUUUCUUUUCUAAUUAUGGGCUCGGAUCAUUGUUAACCGAUGCCAUAUAUUGGAAGUAGUGCUUCUAUCACACCACUAACUUCCUUAAGAAACCAAACUUAUCUUCUUGCUGCAACUCAUAGAAUAAAUUUUAUAAGUGUGAGCUAUUCGAACUCUCCAAAAUGCUCAUUAGACCCAUUCUUUAAUUUAAUUUUUUAUUACUAAAAAAGCCCUAAAGUAUAUAUUAUUAUAGCCGAAACAAAUAUUUUUACAAAAACAAAUUGCCUGCUGCUCCACCUUUAACUUGUCAAUGCCCCAUCGAAAAGGGGAUAGGAAAAGAAGAAAGAAAACAAAAGAGGAAGAAGAAAAAGAAUAAAGAAAGAAGAAAAAAGAGAAAGAAGAAAGAAGAAAAAGAAGAAGAAACAAAAGACGAAGUGAUGGGCUGCGUAAAGAAAAAAAAUAAAAUAAUAAAAUGCACAGUAGCUGAAUUUUAGCUAAAUAAGGAGGGGCAUUUUCCUCAUUUUGUGCAUUGAGUUCUUCAGUUCUUUUUCUUUAUUUAGAGAGUGAUUUUAAGAGUUUAGUGAUUUGAGAAUUUGGGUGUAUUGAGAUUUUGGGUAGUGAGUUAAAAUACUACAAUAUUUGUAACUCUUUUUCACUAAUAAAAUAUUUUUCUUUUGUUUUCGCCCAUGGACGUAGGCUAAAAGCCGAACCACGUAAUUUCUUGUGUCCCUUUGUGAUUUUGUGUCUUAUUAUUUCUCAAUUUUACUUUAGUUGCAUGUCUGCUACACCCAUCAAUUUAUUAACAGUGGUAUCAGAGCUAUUGGUUGAAUUUUUUGAGUUGGGUACUAUUCACGUAAGGGGUACUGUUCACGUAUACGGUAUUGUUCACGCAUAUGAUACUAUUCAUGUAUACGAUAUUGUUCACGCAUACGGCACUGUUUAAAUAAACUGUACUGUUCACGAGAAACGGUGGGAGCGAUCUAAGAAUUUUGUGGUGCAAAGCAGGGAAUAGUGGUGUGAGUAGAGCAACUGUGUGAUUUUGUAUAUGUUUAGGAAAGUUCUGUCAGAAAAGCGAUAAGAACCUAAGGAGUCUGGGUUUUAAGUGGGACCAUUGUGACCCCUCUAGUCUUUCCUAUGAACUUUUCUGGUGUGCAUUCUCAUACACACUCACAACUAUUCACGGUGGUACAUUAGCUUGUGUGUGGUAUUUAUCAAUAAAAUAGCGGCGGAGUAUGAAAUUGAGAAGUUCAAUGGGAACAAUUUCUCGUUAUGGAAAAUGAAGAUGCGGGCAAUCCUAAGAAAAAAUAAUUGCUUAACAGCUAUUGGAGAAAGACCCAUGGAGAUAACUGAUUAUGACAAGUGGAAUGAGAUGGACGGCAAUGCCAUUGCUGAUCUACACCUGGCACUUUCAGACGGGGUAUUAUCCAGUGUGGAGGAGAAAAAGACAGCGAAGGAAAUAUGAGAUACUCUCACAAAAUUGUACGAGGCCAAGUCACUACACAACAAAAUCUUCUUGAAGAGAAAACUUUAUACUCUUCAAAUGACGGAAUCUACAAUGGUGACUGACCAUAUCAACACCUUGAAAACUCUAUUUUCACAACUUACAAUGUUGGGUCAUAAAAUAGAGCAAAAUGAACGUGUAGAGCUUUUACUUCAAAGUCUACCAGAUUCGUAUGAUCAACUCAUCAUCAACCUGACGAACAACAAUCCAGUGGACGGUCUAGUUUUCGACGAUGUUGCAGCCUCCGUAUUAAAUGAGGAGAGCAGGCAGAAAAAUAAAGAAAACAGACAAGCAAGUUUGUAGCAAGCGGAGGCGCUAUUGGUGACGAAAGAGAGAUCAACGAAACGUGGCCCCAGUGGGAGUCACAAUCAUGGUAGAUCAAAAUCCAGAAGUAAGAAGAAUGUCAAGUGCUACAACUGUGGCAAGAAAGGGCAUGUCAAGAAAGAGUGUUGGAACAACCAAAACAGAAGAGAAGACAAAGAACUUGAGUCAUCAAAUGCUCAGGGUUGUGUAGCAAGUACUUUGAAUGAUGGCGAGAUUCUCUACAAUGAGGCAACAACUAUUUCAGAAGGCAGAAAACUGCUAUCUGACGUCUGGCUCAUAGACUCAGGAGUUACUGGCACAUGACCUCUCGGAGAGAAUGGUUCCACACAUAUGAACCUAUCUCAGGAGGAUAUGCAUAUAUGGGAGAUGAUCAUGCCUUGGAGAUCGUUGGUAUUUGUACCAUCAAAAUCAAAAUGUUUGAUGGUACAAUUCGCACAAUUGAGGAGGUACGACAUGUCGAAAGCCUGAAAAAAAAUCUAUUGUCCUUGGGACAAAUAGAUAGCCAUGGGUGCAAAACUCAUAUUGAAAAUGGGAUUAUUAAGAUUACUAGAGGCGCCCUUGUAUUAAUGAAUGUAGAAAAGAUCGGUGCUAAUCUAUUCAUGCUUAAAGCAGAAACACUACAGGAAGCUAAUGUGUGUGUGGCGUCAAAUGGAGAAGAAUCAACGAUGAUGUGGCAUCUUAAACUUGGCCACAUGUCGGAACAAGGUUUGAAGAUUCUCUCUGAGCGAAAAUUGCUUCCAGGGCUCAAAUCGGUAAGCUUACCAUUUUACGAGCAUUGUGUUACAAGUAAGCAGUAUAGAUUAAAGUUUAAUAGAUCUAUUACUAGAAAUAAAUGCAUUUUAGACUUAAUUCAUUCUGAUGUUUGGGAAUCGUCGGAUAUGUCCACUUAAGGUGUAAAGUACAUGGUGACUUUCAUUGAUGAUUAUUCUAGGAAAUAUUGGGUGUAUCCAAUUAAGAAAAAGUCAGAUGUAUUUCCAGUGUUUAAAGAAUACAAAGCGCGGGUGGAACUUGAAUAUGGCAAAAGGAUCAAGUGCUUAAAGACAGAUAAUUGUGGAGAGUAUACAGACGGCAAGUUUCUUACUUUCUGUAAGCAAGAAGGUAUUCAGAGGUAGUUCAUAGUGGCAUACACUCCUCAACAAAAUGGAGUGGCAGGGCGGAUGAAGAGGACUCUUACAGAACGAAUAAGAGCUAUGUUGAGGACUGCUGGUCUACUCAAUUCAUUCUGGGCAGAAGCAGCUAAAACUACCUGUUAUAUAGUAAAUCGGUCGCCAUCCACAGCAAUUAGGCUAAAGACAACGAUGGAGAUGUGGACUGAAAAGCCAGUUGAUUACUCCUACCUACAUGCAUUUGGAUGUCAUGUGUACGUGAUGUACAAUGCCCAAGAAAGAGCAAAGUUGGAUCCAAAAUCUAAAAGAUUUAUCUUCUUGGGAUAUGCUGAUGGAGUAAAGGGGUAUCGUCUGUGGGACCCCACUGCCCACAAGAUCGUCAUCAGCAGAGAUGUUAUUUUUAUAGAAUAUCAACUACAAAGGAAAGAUGAAGAUGAUGAUAUUGUAAAAUAAAAGUCAGAGACUGUGCCGGUAUAUGUGGAAAAUAAUCCAAAAGACUUAGAUUCUUCUGAAGCAACACCAGAGCACGAGGAACAAGAACUAGUCGAGUCUGAGGCUCCAGAAGUUCGUCAGUCAACUCGUGAGAGACGACUGCCAGCAUGGCACUUAGAGUAUGUCACAGAGAUCAAUGUUGCAUACUGUCUUCUAACAGAGGAUGGAGAGUCAUCAAUUUUCCAUGAAGCUUUAAACAACUCAGAUGUUGCUUUGUGGAUAACAGCAAUACAGGAAGAAAUUGAAGCUCUACACAUGAAUAAGACAUGGGAACUUAUACCAUUACCACAUGGAAGAAAAGCUAUUGGAAACAAAUGGGUCUACAAGAUCAAACGUGAUGGCAAUGUCCAAGUGAAGCGGUAUCGUGCAAGAUUAGUGGUGAAAAGAUAUGCUCAGAGAGAAAGUAUUGAUUUCAACGAGAUAUUUUCUCUGGUGGUUCGACUCACAACAGUCAGAGUAGUCUUGGUGAUAUGUGCUACAUUUGAUUUACAUCUUGAGCAGUUAGAUGUGAAAACUGCAUUUUUUUCAUGGAAAACUUGAAAAAGAAAUUUAUAUGCUCCAACCAGAAGAUUUUGUUGAAAUAGGAAACGAAAAUUUGGUUUGCAGGUUGAACAAAUCUCUAUACGGUCUCAAAUAGGCGCCGAGGUGUUGGUAUAAGAGAUUUGAUUCCUUCAUCAUGAGCCUUGAAUACAACAGACUCAGUUCAGACCAUUGUGCAUAUUACAAGAGAUUUGAAGAUAAUGAUUUCAUUAUUUUGCUGUUGUAUGUGGAUGACAUGUUGGUAGCAGGUCUCAAUAAAGAUCGAGUCUAAGAAUUGAAGGCACAAUUGGUUAGGGAGUUUGAAAUGAAGGAUUUGGGACUAUCAAACAAGAUUCUAGGGAUGCAAAUUUACCGAGACAGAAAUAACAGGAAGAUUUGGCUUUCUCAAAAGAACUACUUGAAGAAACUUUUACAGCGUUUCAACAUGUAAGAUUGUAAGCUAAUUUCUACCCCACUUCCUAUUAAUUUCAAAUUAUCCUCAAAUAUGUGUUCCACCAAUAAAGCAGAGAAGAAGGAGAUGUCCCGAGUACCGUAUGCAUCAACAGUGGGAAGUUUGAUAUUUACUAUGAUAUGUACUAGACCAAACAUUGCACAAGCAGUGGGAGCAGUCAGUCGAUACAUGGCGAACCCUGGUAGAGAACAUUGGAUAACUGUAAAGAGGAUUCCGAGAUAUAUCAGAGGAACCUCCGAUGUUGCAUUAUAUUAUGGAGGAUCAGAAUUUACUGUUAGGGGCUAUGUGGAUUCAGAUUUUGCAGGAGACCUUGAUAAAAGAAAAUCCACUACUGUCUAUGUGUUUACACUUGCGGGAGCAGCUGUAAACUGGGUUCCGAAACUGCAGACCGUUGUGGCUUUAUCUACAACCGAAGCAGAAUACAUGGCAGCUACACAAGCUUGUAAGGAAGCUAUUUGGAUACAAAAGUUAUUGGAGGAGCUCGGGCACAAACAAGAGAAAAUUUAUGUGUUUUGUGAUAGUCAGAGUGCCUUGCACAUUGCAAGGAAUCCAACCUUUUGUUCCAGGACAAAGCACAUAGGAGUUCAGUAUCACUUCGUUCGAGAAAUAGUGGAAGAUGGAAGUGUAGAUUUGCAGAAAAUUCAUACCAAGGAGAACCUAGCAGAUGUUUUGACCAAACCGAUCAAUACUGACAAGUUAAUCUGGAGCAGAUCCUCUUGUGGCCUAGAAGAGAUGUGAGCAACGUGACAAUGGCGAAGCAGAAAGGAUGGUGUGGAGAUUGAUUGGUUCGCAAUCAAAUUUCUAAGUAGGAGAAUGUCAAUGCCCCACCGAAAAGGGCAUAGGAAAAGAAGAAAGAAAACAAAAGAGGAAGAAGAAAAAGAAGAAAGAAAGAAGAAAAAAGAUAAAGAAGAAAGAAGAAAAAGAAGAAGAAACAAAAGACAAAGCAGCGGGCCGCGUAAAGAAAAAAAUAAAAUAAUAAUAAAUAAUAAAAUGCACAGUAGCUGAAUUUUAGCUAUAUAAGGAGGGGCGUUUCCCUUAUUUUGUGCAUUGAGUUCUUCAAUUCUUUUUCUUUAUUUAGAGAGUGAUUUUAAGAGUUUAGUAAUUUAAAAGUUUGGGUGUAUUGAGAUUUUAGGUAGUGAGCUAAAAUACUACAAUAUUUGUAACUCCUUUUCACUAGUAAAAUAUUUUCCUUCUGUUUUCGUCCGUGGACGUGGGCUAAAAGCUGAACCACAUAAUUUCUUGUGUCCCUGUGUGAUUUUGUGUCUCAUUAUUUCUCAAUUUCACUUUAGUUGCGUGUCUGCUACACCCAUCAAUUUACUAACAUAACCCCUAUCUUUUUUUAACUAAAUUAAGAUUAUAUGAUGUCGUUAUAUAUUUUGAUUUGGCCAAGAAUUUCUUAUUGGUGAAGGCUUCAAUUUAGCCAAUAAUUUUCUCUUUUCAAAUCUUUUGAGAUUGGCUAAAAUUCUCUCUCCUAAUCAGGCUUUCGUUAUUUGUAAGAGAAAUUACCCAUGGAUGAAAGUAAAUGCUGACUAUAAAUAUUGUCUAAGUUAUAAUUGUUGUUUUCUCUUAUAUAAUAUUUAAUGGUCUAGCAAUUUCAUAUUAUAUCUCUACAAUUUUAAGGGAAGAUGUGCUUAUGAAAUUGUGAAGAAUAAAAAGUUGGAGAAAGACAAAGAGAAAGAUGUAGAAACUGUAUUAAUUUCAUAUCAGGGUAUAAUGGAUAUUAAAAUGAGUUUGUAAAGUAAAAUAGAAAUUUUUAAAUUUUGUAAGUGAUUUUAUUAAGUAAUUGAAUUUAAUAAGUAUUUUUAAUGAGUUCAAAUAACCUCACUAAUUUUAUGAUUACAUUUUAAUUUCAAUUUCAAUUUAAUUCCAAAAUUAGCCCCAUUCCUUCUUCUCCAACUAAAAACUCUCUUGGCUCUUUGCAACUUUACAUGUUUUAUAUAUAGAACUUGAAAUCUUACUAAAAGAAGAUAAAGUCACUUUUUUUUUUAGGUCCUCUCUCUUCGAUGAUUUGAUGAUGGAUGUCAACUAAAUUGAAUUUUAAAUUUAUGAAAAACUUUUAGUUAAUCAUAAAACAAAUACUUGGAAUAUAGUAAAGUUUUUAAUUAAUCAUAAAAGAAGUUGGUGCUGGUGGUUGGUACGAUGACUGAGGGCCGAUAGACUAGAGCUGUUGGUUAAUUAUGGCCAGGAUUCAUGUGACUACUCUUCUUUGGUGAUGAGAAGAAAGGAUGAGUUGGUGUAAUAGUAGUGUUUUGUUUCUUUUCCAUUUUAUUUUGCAAUACAUAUUUUAUAGAAUAUGAUAUUUUAGAUUAACAACAUUUACGAAUGUUUUAAAUUUUGAAUUAAUUCUAAAUUAUGUAGGACAUUAUUUUAGAACUUUAGAAUUUUUAUUAUGAUCUAAUUACGCUUCGAUUAGAAUGUAAUCUAAUUGUGUUGGCUUGGUUCAAUACUAAAACGAUAUCUAAUGACAUCUAUCAUAUCCCGCUUCCGCUACGCCGCUCCGACAUUAAAUCUCUUACUCUUUUAUAUCAUAUUUACCUAUUGGUUUUAACUUUCUUGUUUCCAUGUUAUUUUUCAAAACCUUAAAGGCUAAGGAACAAUAUAGCAUAAUACAAAUAAACACACACAAUUUUAAAAAAGGAAGAGCAGAAGAUUUUUGUGGUGUUUUUGUUUUCAACGAAAGGAGUUCUUGAACUUUUAUAAUACUUUUGAAGGAAGAAAGUUAAAACUGAUAGAUAUUUGAUAACCUUUUGAACUUAUGGUUUAUUUAAGAUUUUAUGUGUUAAAUAUAAUGAUUUGUGUGUUAUAUUAAUGAAAUUGUGAAAGCAUGAUCAUAUAUAUUGACUUUAUGUUUUUAUUGAGUGGAAGUUGUGCUUUUGUGUAAUUUUGAAACUAUGAACAAUGUGGAUUGAAUGCUAUAUAACUACUAUUUUCAUUGAGUCUUAUGCAAGAAACUUUAUAAUUUAUUAAACUAGAUAUCAUUAGGUUCUAUUGAUGUGUUUUGUUGUUUAAAAACUCAUAGUUUAUUAAUUGCAAUGAUUUUUUGAAAUUGAAACACUGGUGAUGGAAAAUUUUAAUUUUUAGCAGCAAUUCUCAUUUCUAUAUUUUAUUUCAUAACCCAAAUGAGUUUUGAAUAUUAUGGGAAUUUUUAUUAUGGAACAUAUGUAUGUCUUUUUUCUGUAUAUGUCAAUUGGUAACUUUUACCAUUAUAGAAAAAUCAUUAAGAAUCAUGUUAUUGGACUCUUAGCAAUCUUGAAAACUGUUUUUUAGAAUUGCAAAGGCUGAUAUUGAAGUCAAUUUGAGUUAAUUUUUUAUCAUUAGUACCUUACAAAUUUUAAUACUAAUUUCUUAUUAUUUCCUCUAAUUGUCAAAACUUGAAUUACUAUUUUUAAACAUAUGUAAUUAAAGUUAUGAAUUUUUGAAUCAAUAGACCUAUGUUUAUAUUACCAUUGGAUAGUUUGACAUUUUUGUGGAAAAUCUGUUUCCGGGGAAUUAUUUUUUAACGCUAAUUAAUUUUAUGAAAUUUUAUAUUUGCAUGUUUACAGCAGCUCAAUGUAAUAUUUGUGAUUUUUUAACAUAUUUAUAGUUUGUUAAAAAUUAGCUUGUGUAGGAUGGUUGGUUGUAAUUUAGCGAAUUGAAAUGCUUAAGUGUUAACGGCUUAAAGAUGUUUGGGUUUCCCAUCACGUUUAGAACUAAUAAUGUUAUUGAUAAGAAUUUUGUCUUGAUAAUUAUAGGCGAGCUUGUGUGAUAGAGGUUAUUCUUUGAUUACUUCAUAUUAAGGUAAGUGAAGUCACGCAUAUAGUUUAAUAUAAAACAUAUGAAAAGAAUAUUGUUUACAUUAUGAAUUGGCAUUUUAUAGUUUUAUUACUAGGAUAUAUUUUGUGAAACUGAAUAUAUAUCAGUUAAAGUAUAUUUUAAUUGAAUAAAUUUCUUGUUAAAAUUGUACUUUGUCUAAAUUAUUUUCUAAAAUAAAUUAUAAAAUAAAUAAAUUUCAAACGUUUAGAGAAAGGGACACAAAUUUUUUUGGAAAAAAACAUUUAAAUCUCAAUUUGUUAACGGUUUAAAUAAUUAAAAAAAAUUAUUAUGGUACAUUCCUUUAAAAACCCUCUUCUAAAAAUCAUAAACCUAAAGCACUAAAUUCAAUUGAUUAAACUAUAAACCCUAGCGAAAAAUUGCAGCCGCUAUUCGGCCUAAACCCUUAACAAAAUUCUACACGUUGACCCCGCCGCACGCAGACCCCCACUGUAUCCCGUACGAAAAUAAAAAGAAAAAUGCUAAAGAAAGAGAAACACGAGAGAAAGUGUAUUGAAAAGGAAGAGAGAGAAAGUGGGCUGGGUAGAGAAAGAGAGUAAAAUUCUCUCAUUUUCUCUCGUCUUUCUCCCGUUUUUCUCUCUCUUUAGCAUUGCUCAAAUAAAAAUAGGUACAAAUUUACUUUUCUUUACAGAACAAGAGCUGGAGUAUGAAUAAGCUAGCGCCAUGAGUUUGGUGAUAAUCUCACUAACAAGAGAGAGAGUUAUAAUUAGCCAGAGAGCUAUCUCUAUCUCUAUAUCGUUAUGCAUAUCUUGAUAUUCUCUCUCUAUAAGAAAUUGGACUUUUCUUCAGCGUUUCAACGCCAUCACCCAGUAGCAAUCAUCGUGCCUUCUUCUCCUUUCUUCUGACUUACCACCAUCAUCAUCGUUACUCCCUCACCACCACUCAAUACCUUUCAUCCCCUUUCAGUAUUUCAUAUCCCAAAACCAAACCAACAACAAUAAAGCACACAAUUACAAGCACGAGAAGAAUAGAACAAGGAAUAGCGGAAAUACAAGCAGCCGCUUCAUUUCCCCGCUCAAUUGCUUACUCACCUGUUCCCUAGUAAUUUAAUUAAAAAUCAAACGGUUAAAUUGGGAAAAAUAAGAAAUUAAAUUGGAUUUGUACAGAAAAAUUCAGACCUUUAUAAAUAAGGUAUGUUUGUAAUUUUAUUAAUAAUUUAUGGGUAAAAUAAACAAGUGAAUAUAUUGAUUUGUUUGUUAGAGGGAGAUAAUAGUAAUUAUAAGUUGAAAAUAAAUUUUCUGUUAAAAUUAACAAAAUUUGUUAAUAAAUUGGAUUUAAAUUUCUUUUUUAACACGUUUGAGUUUUGUGUCACUUUCCCUAAACAGUUGGGGUGUAGCAGUCCUUUUCCCUAAUAAUAUAAGAGGUGAUGAUACAACCACAAACACUUUUACAAACUGAUUUGAGAUCAAUUAAUUGGUUGAAUAAAAAUAUAAAAUAAUAAAAAUAAAUCAUGUGAACCAAGAUAUAUUUAAUCUAAUUAAUUUAAUCAUGUCAUAUCAAUUUGUUUAAAAAAAAAAAAUUAUAAGAGUUUGUAGGUAUGUUAUUACUCUAAUAAUAAUAAACACGGUUAUAAUAAAUAAUAAUAAACAGUCUCCAUCUUUAAGACUCUAACAGCUCCUCUAUCGCAGUACUCUUAUCUCAUAAGUCUUAUCUCCCCCUAUAAUUUAUGAACUGAAUCUCCUUCUUCUUUUCUUCUUCCUUUUUUUUUUUUUUUGGUAUUUUUCGUUUAUAGCUCUUUUCUUUAUUUGCCUUUUUUUACGCAUUUCUAGAUUCUAAUACAAUUUAUUUAAUUUUAUGUUGGUAAAAUCACCAAAGAUCUGUAAAGAUUUACACUAAUCUUUGCAGAUUUGGGUAUUCGGUUCUUCAUUGUAAGUAAGCAUGUAAUCUUUUCUUUAGAAACGCCAUAUUUAAUAAUUUUUUAUCUGAUCAAAUAUUAAAAUGUUGAAAGGACAAUUAGAUUUUCUUAUUUUUGAUAAGAAGAAAAAUUGUAUUUAAUAUUUAUAAAAUUCUUUUUUCCUCCUGCUAAAUCCUUUUCAAAUCUUUGUGGCAAAUGAUCUAGUCUCGAGCAUAUAAGAUAGGAAGAUGGACUGAACAGUUAACACAUUAUCAAAAAGUAGUCAUUUAAAAAAAUUAAUAACGUAUAUCAAAAUUAUAAUAAUUAUCAUUAUUAUUGUAAGUUGGUAUAUUGAAGAAUAAACUAGCUAUUAUAUAUAUAAAUUUUAAACACAAAUUUAAUUUGCACGUAGUAAAACUGUUAAUAUAUAUGUAUUAUUUAACCAUUUUUAAAUUUAUCUUUGGAACCUGUAGAUUAUUUUCAUUUUUAAAAUAUAGGAUUCAAAAAUAGUAUUAUUUUCCUUUUUGAAAUAUAACAUACAGAAAGUAAUACAAAAAGCAUAUUUAAAACGAUAGCAAAUAAAAUACGUUCCUAUGGUUCUGCUCAUGUAGCCACUCUGAAACACUCCUCAUUUACGAAAAUUUUUCUUUAGUUUGUUAUGCAACAGAUGAAGGAUGGUAUGGGAUAGGAGUCAUGCACAAAUCUUGUUUUCUUCUUACUGUCACGCCAAAGGCCUCGGUCAUGUCCAAAUCUUCAUGCUUUAUUCCAUUUGGUAGUUUCCAAUCAAAAUGGUAUAAUAACAUCGCGAGUGGAAGCUCCACGCUGGCUAGACCGAAUGACAUUCCGGGGCAUAUUCUCCUGCCAGCACCAAACGGGAUAUAUUCAAAAUUAGUCCCCUUGUAGUCAACUGAAUGAUCGAGGAACCUCUCUGGAAUAAAGCUCUCAGGUUCGGUCCAAUACUCAGGAUCUCUACCGAUCGCCCAUGCAUUAACAAUGACUCUGGCUUUCACAGGUAUGUCAAAUCCAUUAAUUUGACAUCUCUGUCCACAUUCUCUUGGAAUCAACAACGGAGCAGCAGGAUGUAACCUCAAAGUCUCCUUAACAACUAGCUUCAAAAAUUUCAUUUCAUCAAUGCUAGUUUCAUUAACCUUUCCUGUUCUAUGAAAUACUUCUCUCACCUCAGCUUGUGCCUUUUUCAUCACCCUUGGAUUUUUCAUCAUUUCACACAUUGCCCAAUCCACAGUCGUAGCAGAUGUCUCACUCCCAGCAGCAAAGAUGUCCUGAAAGUGGGUUUAUGUGCAUGAGUUUGUGCGGAUAAUAAUAUAGUGUCACUCAUCUUAUCACAUAAUACUCAACUAAUGUUGAUUUGGGUCCCACGUUAGUUAAUAGACGAGAAUUAUUUGGUUUAUAAAUAAGAUAGGUCACUACGAAUUCUACGCCAAAGCCCCCAACAACUAACAUUAAAAGAAACAGCGUAAUGAAAAACAAAGUGCAAUUGAUGAUAGUAAACGUAUAGUUACUCACAGAGAUUACCGCUUUAAUGUGGUCUGUAGUUAAGAAAGAAUCAAGGUCUCCGUGCCCUUGAAUUUUCAACAGAACAUCAACCAGAUCUUCAUCAUCACCAGUUUUGCAAUUCUUCAAUGUUGCCUUGCGCUUCUUAUGUUCAUUGAUAAUGUUUUCAACUAUUCUGACACCUUCUUGAUGCAGCGUCUCCACCUGAGACUUGUUUCCAGUAAGCCACUGAAGCAAUCCAAUGGACGGAAACACAUCUGCAAUAUUAAAACCUGAUAUCACUUUUGUUGUUUCCUCUAUAACUGCGACAAACGCUUCUUGGUCUCUGGAUCUGUUUCCAAAGGCUGCCCUUGAAGUGAUACCAUACAUUAAUGAGUGAACGUUCUGAGUUAAGUUAAUAACUGAUCCAGCUUUUGAAGAAAUCCAAUUAAUGAGAUCAGACACUUCUGCUUCUCUUAUUGAUUGGAAAGAUUGGACUCUUUUGGCGCUCAAAAGCUCAGAUACACAGAUUUUUCGCAGUUGUUUCCAAGAAUCACCAUAUGAUGAAAAGAUUAUAUCACGAUAAUUAUAAGACAAGAUUUGUGCUGCUGGAAAAUGAGGCCUGGAUGCAAAGACAACAUCAUGGGUUUUCAUAACCUCUUUGGCAACCUCUGGGGAAGAUACAAUAAUGGUUGGAACUUCCCCGAGUUGUAGGAGCAUAAGAGGUCCAUAUUUCUUGCUCAAGUCUCUUAGUCCAUGAUGGGGUAGGGAGCCAGCAAGCUGGUACAAAUUUCCUAUAACAGGUAAUUUCCAUGGCCCUGGUGGUGGAUUUGAGAUUCUGUUAUUGGUUUGUGAUCUCUUCUCUAGUUUCAGCACAGCUAAGGCAGAGAGGAGAAUAGCCAGAAGGAUGGACGAGGUGGUAGACAGCCCAAGAAGCUCCAUGUGAAAUGAACUGGAGAAUGGGGAUAGAAUUUUUACUAGUCCGUUAGUAUAUCCACGUUGUGUAUCUUUUGUGGUCUUUCAUCAAAAAUAUCUUUAACUGGUAUUCUCUGUCGUGUUCUUCAUCAAAAAUAUCUUUAAUUAGUAUACAAUUUGAAAAGGUGAAGGACGCUGUUUGGUUGCAUUACCUGUGUCCUAUUCUGACACUUCCACAAUAAUAUGGCUAAAUAUCGGUUGGCCACUAUAAAAUAGAUGAGUAAUAUAUCUCGAAUGUCACUGAAUAUUUCACUUUUAUCGAUUUAAAUGAUAUUUAUAGUAUAAAAUCUUUAUAAUAUAGGAAGUAUAAAUAAUAAAGGGCUAAGAGAAAUAAGCCAUGAAAAUAAUGCUUUUAUUCUUCUCAUGCACUGCCCUGGGCCCAGCAAUCGCACAAAUCAAGUGAUUAUUGCCCGUAUUUACAGUGAUUUGUGACGAAUGAAAGUUAGCCACAUGUAAAUACAAGUUACCACAUCUAAUCUAAUUUCUUAUAGGUGACUUAACAAAACAGCUGUAACAGUAUUGGCACUUCAACUAGCUCAGCUAAUUAGCUAAUAUGAACUGGUGGGCUGAUGAAUCGAGUAAGACGAGGUCAUGCAUGGAAGCGGUGUGCGCCUCGUAGAAAGCCACCAGUUUCAUAACAAUUCAUUUAUUUAGUCUUUGUGACAUCAAACACCUUACGCCACCAACCUUCUAUGUUAUUGGAUCAAGUGUCGGGAAAUCAAAACCUCUCCGGUUGUUAAUAAAUCACAACACAGGGUUAAAACUAGGAUAUUUUAACAUGGAGAACUGCUAUGAAAAUUUGUCAAAAGGAAAUAAAGAACUCUUUUGAAUGAGUAUGAUACAUUCGAAUACAAUCAAGUAAGUAAUUAUCACAAUAAAAAAUAUUAACACUCUCAACAAUCUUUAAAAUAAAAAUUCCCAACAAAUCCAUCUCGACGAAUAUUCCAUAUAAGCAUUUCUAAGAAUCUCAAGUAUGUGAAAUCCCAAACUCCACCACCAAUUAAAUAAAUUAUAUAAACAUUAAUCUAGGUCAAUUAAAAUAAAUAAAUAUCCACAGCAUAGAGAUUUUUAUGAGGAAACUUUUGGUCCUCACAAUCUAGAGUGAAAACCAUAGCACAUGAUUAUAUCCAUGUGUUGAUGAAAUAAUUCAUUAUGAAAAUAAUGUGAGUUCACAAUGGAUGGACUAAAUUCGAAUGCGUCAACACUCACCAUCCUCAUAAAUUUUCCUCCGCUUGAAUUGAGCGUCAAAAUGACCUCAGGAGAUAAGGAUAAGAGUAAUAGGAUAAUGGCUCAAAGACCUCGCAUUAAUGAACUUGAUGAAGUUAAAGAUGAGAGAAGAAAUAAAGACUAAUUUGAUUCUUCGUGUCUAAAAAUAACAUAGAUUGCACUCUAAAUUUCAAAAAUGACAUCCAUUCAUCCAUCUAGAACUCAAAAAUAUUGAAAUGAUCAUUUUUCUCCUAAACCUAUUAUGAAUAGUUUUUAACACAUGAUUUUAACAAACCUUGAUAUAUUGGGCAUUUCACACUAGAUUUUCUCGAAAAUUAACUCCACUUGAACUCCACUCAAGUAUAAUUUUCUUUUUUACACUUUUGUUUAUUAUUUUUUUCCUUAGUGAGUUUAGGUGGUAUUUAUUUUUGGGGUGCAUAUUACUUUUCUUUGACAAGGUGGUGCAUCUACCCAAUAAUGACCUAUAAUUUAGCAUGUCUAAUGUGUUCUUGAACGGGACACACAAAUUUUUAAUUUUAAAAUUAAAAAUAAAAUUUAUGAAUUUGUGAAUCCCAUUUGACCGACACACCACCUCAAUAUGGCGAAACAUAUGUUGUCUCAUUUACCAUACACUAACUAUGACAUGGUCAUGGUAUACGAAGCAAAAAAUAAUGAUGAUGAUAAUAAUAAUAAUAAUAAUAAUAAUUAAAAAAAGCUUGCAAACUGAAACUACAAUGAUUUAAUAAGCAUGUGAAAUGUUCAGUAAUUAAGUUCCAGCUUUCAUGCACACAUCUACUGAUAUAGAAGGCAUACAAACAAAGGGAACACUGAGACCUGUAGGACAUCAAAUGCAACACUUAAUGAGAUUCGCUACAUGGCUGCAGUUUUGCCCCUUGCCACUUAUUCAACAGUAGGCGCACAAUGAUAAGGAAUGGGGAUGAUGUGUAGAUCAUCUUUUCUUCUACUAAAUAUUUCUCUCACCUCAGCUUGUGCCUUUUGAAUUAUUGUAGGAUUUUUCAUCAUUUCGCUCAUUGCCCAAUCUACAAUUGUGGCAGAUGCAUCGCUGCCAGCAGUAAAAACGUCCUGAAAUGGGAUUUAUCAUUUGUGUAUAUGCACGAGUGAAUUAAACCAUUAUGCAGUACUAUUUUGUUUCAAAGCACUAUAUAUGCAACUUGCAUUCAACUAAGAAUAUAACGAAAAACAAACUAUAUAAAUUAUUUAGUUAAAAGCACGGUCCCCACGGUUUUUGUCACCAAGUAAUAUUUCGAGGAUGAAGUAUCGUAAGGCCCAAAAUAAAUGAUAAAGACUUUUUUUUUUUUUUGGCUCUUGUGUACUCAAUGAAAAACCUAGGAUCUGAUCUUAAUUAAGAAGCUACUCCAAGCUAGACCUUGGAUAUUAAUUGUAUUUUCAAAAAAACUAAUAACCGCUUUUUAUUAUUUUCAUUAAAUUUAGGCCUUUUUACGUUCACAAAAAAUUAAUUAUUCUUAUAUUAAAAAUAUAUCAUUCGAAAUAUAAUACCAAAAACGCCCUUAAUAACUGAAAUAAAUUAUCUCCUGCGUUCGGGUUUUUUCCAAAAAAGGGGAAAAAAAAAAGAACAAGCUUGUUGUAAUUAAUUACUUGCAGUUAUAACUGCUUUGAUGUUUUCAGUACUUAAGUGAAAUUGAUCGUGACCACCAAGUUCUUGAAUUUUCAGAAGAAUAACAACAAGAUCUUAAUCUUCUUCAGUCUUCGAAAUCUGCAAUGAUGCCUUGCCCUUCCUAUGAUCAUUGAUAAUGUUUUCAAUAAUCCUGUCAACUUUUUGGUGCACCCUCUCCGCCCCUGACCUGAUUCCACUCAUCGAUUCAAGUAAUCCAAUAGAAGGAAACAAUAUUAAGAUUUCCUUCACCCACUUCCACAAAUAGUUCUUGAUCUUUGCAUUUGUUCCCAAAGGCAGCGCUUGAAGUGAUACAAUACAUCAAUGAGUUAACUUCAUCACUUAAGUUAAUCACUGAUCCUGCUCUUGAAUCAAUCAAUUUAAUGAGAUUAGAAACUUCUUCUUCCCUUAUUGAUCAGAAAGAUUGGACCCUUUUUAUGCUUAAAAGCUCCGAAAUGCAGAUUUUUCUAAGUUGUCUCGAAUAAUCACCAUAUGGUGAAAAGAUUAUGUCACUAUAAUCAUAAGACAUGAUUUUGGCUGCUACAUCUUGAGGCCUUGAUGCAAAUAUGACAUCAUGUGUUUCAUCACUUCUUUUGCAAAUUCCGGGGGAGAUACAAGGAUGGUACAAACUUCUCCGAGUUGAAGGUCCAUAAUAGGUCCAUAUUUUUUUGCCAAGCCUCUUCAAGCUCGAUGGGGUAGGGACCCAACAAGCUGGUGCAUAUUUCCGAUGAUAGGUCGUUUCCAUGGUCCCAGGGGUAGAUUGGGAAUUUUGUUUUUGUUAUUAGAUUUCUUCCCAAAUUUCAGGAAGCAAUAAAAGAGAAGAAAGGCAAGAAGGAUAGAUAAGAAAAAGGAGAAUCCAAGCGCCAUUUGAAAAUUAGAGGAUAAAGAGGAUUAGGGGAAUGUUAUUAGUUAGUAGAAAUGUUUUUCUUUGAUAUACAAUUAAGUUCUUGAUCUCGGGGGUCUUUCAUCAUGAAUAUCGUGGGGAAAUAAAAUUAAUAAUAAUUGCUUUCUUUUUUAUUAAAUCAAAGCAUUGGUUGAUCUCUAUUUAUAGUCGAGCCGGAUUUGUUACGAGUUACUCCGUUAGUUUUAGGGCAGUGAGUGUAAUUCUAGUACUGAGCUGUUCUAGGUUGUUUCAGAGGUGCAAUAUUUAUUUUUGCCAAAGCAUGAUUUGAGGAUUUAUCAUGUCUCAAGGAAGUGUAAUCAAGCUGCUGAUGGGUAUCUAAAUUUGCUCUCUUAGCUGCUGUAAUUUUCUUGUAUAAGUGGAAAAUUUUCCAUAAUAUUUAUGCUAUCAUCUUUGAAAUUCUAUUUCUUGAAAUAAAGUUGUUUUUCGUUUUUAUGAAAUAAAUUUCACUUAUUAAAAAAAUAUUUCUUGAAAUUAAGAGUUCUAAUUUAAAAAAACAAACGGCUAAUUUUAAGGCAGUAUUUUAAUUUCCUAAAAAAAAUAGUUUUUUAAAUCCAUUUGGCCAAUUGGCCUUGUAUGUAUGUCAUGGGGUCACAUCGUGUUUUGGAGAUUAUACUUAAUUUUAACCUAUUCAAAGAUAUUUGUCUCUAUCCUAUAUUUGGAAAAACAAAUAAAAAAUAAAAUGUGAUGUUGCAAAAGAUUGAGUCUUAUAUGGCUGCUCUGGGACCGGAUUUCUGCUGUAUCUUUCAUAAUUAAAGAGAAUUCGUAAAGUGCAAAGGCUAUUUGAAUUUUUUUUAAGAACAAUAAAGUAAAAGAAUAAAGAAUAUUUCCAUGAAAUAAUUAAGUUUAUACAUUUUUAGAGCUUUCAUGUAUAAAAAUAAAAAAUAAAAAACUACAAGGUUAAGGUUCAAUUUGAAAUAAAUGUGCCCAAGUGGAAGUAGCAUAGGUAGGUGAGUCAUCGUGAGUGCAUGCUAAAAAGAAUAAGAAGAAGAAUUUAUGAAUUCAUAAAUAGUAUCCAUAAAUUAUAAAAUCUCUUAUUUUAAGUGACAAAUAAUAUCUUGAUUGCGAAGGAAAUACCUCAAAAUAUAAAUUUAGGAUCCAAACUUGAUCCUCAGGCUGGCUGAUGUUGAACGAUACGUGUAAAAAUAAAAUUGCCAAGCAUUAAGCCAAAUGCAAUUAGUUUCAUCAUCAUCACAUUAAUAUUUUCAAUGAUGGUUACUUCUUAAUUAUCAUCGUCGUGAUCGCAAUCACUUAAAACGUGCCGGAAAAGUAUCAAAAACAUAGAAAAUUAGAUCAGUCAGGGAAAAAAAAUUAAACAGUACAAAACAAGACAAGCAGAAAGAACAACUCUUUGAUGAAACCCUUGACAUGCCCUUAAAUUAAUCAAUAAAACCUUUUGGUUUGCAUUAUUAAAAUAUUUUAGAAAAUUGAAUCAGUCGCGGGAGACCGCCGGUACCCUGUAGGGGGAAAAAAACCAAUUCAAAAUAAAUAAGAAACGAUAACUCUGGUUGAAACCUUUAACUUUUGGCCUUAAAUUAAUCAAUAAAAUUAAUUUUUGGGUUUCAUUAUUAAAUUAUUUUGCUGUCCUACCGACCAGGAUGUAAACAUUUCCUGAAGUAUCUGUAAGGUCAAAGUUGUGCGGGAAAACAAGAAAAUACAUUUUUUUAGUGGGAAAAUAAAUUUAUCUAAGACGUGCGCAGAUCUAUUAGCAGCAGUACUCAGGGACGAAGUUAGGAACUUUUUUUCUAGGUUGGGCUAGAUUAAUUUUUUUCAAGUGAAAAAAAAAAAAAAAAAAACUUUAAGUAAAGCCGUUAAAUCAAAGCAUACCCUUAGAGCAACACUUUUUGGGUUUGACAAAUACCUUGUGAAUUAAGUUUAUUUAACAGUAAAAACUAUCAACUUUUAAAAUGUGACUAUGGUAACUCAUGGUCAUGGAUACUAUACUCCCCGACGCGACACUGUUAGAUGAUUUUAGUUUGUUGAUUUUUAAUUAUACGAUGCUCAAAUUGUAGGGUACAUUAUUCUUAAAAAAUCGCAGAGACUCCUAUUUUAAAGAAUUAAAAGUCAAAUUAGUAAUAAAUAUUUUACCAUCACAAGCAUAUUUGAAACAUAAUAAAAAAUUUUAAAACAAGAUAGAGUGAGAAAGAAGAAGUUAGGAAAAAUGUCAGUUGCCAAUUGUUAUGAUAUAUUAAGCGAUGAACACGAAAAUAAUAUUGUGGCAAUUGUGUAAAUAUAACAUUGGCAUUUUUGUUAAUAACGUAUGGUAAUUUUGUGAAAUUACAACACAAGUAUUGUAGAAAAAAAAAAUUUACCAAAUUGUAGCUAGGAUAUGGCCCAUCCCUAUCGAUGAGCAGCUUUGCCCUUGGCAGUACUUGUACUGAAAUAAGCAUGAUUUCAAUGCGUGUCAGUACAAACGAAGGAAAAUAACAAUAAUAAUAAAUAAAUAAAUAAAUAAAAUUAAAUGGGAAAUAGAGGUGUGAGGAUGAAAAAUGCAUGAGCCUCUAUUUGUAUUAAUGAAUAUAGAGAAAUUAAAGAGCUAUAGUGGGAUGAAGUUUCUUUGAAUUAAAAUUGAAUAAAUCGACUGUAUUUAUUAUAUUGCAUUAAAUAUUAGUAGUAAUAUCAUAUAUGUUACGAUGUUAACUAAAACAUUCACAUAAUUAAUUUUAUUUUUUUUCGUGUUACUUUUUCAAGUUUGUAGUUUAUAUGGUUAUUUUCUCUUUUGUUUUAACCAUCAUCCUAUAUUUUUACUAUAGAAAAGGUAAUGCCUUGAGUCAUGUCCUCUAAUGAAAUUAGAUAGAAUUUAGAUUAGAUAUAUCAUAAAUGGGAAUAGAUUUUGAUUCUACUAAAAGAUAAACAAAAAAAAAAUGGAAGACAUUUAACUUAUUGAGAAGAGAGGGUUUUUAAAAAUCUAUUGAAUAUAUAAGUGGUAAAAGUAAUUAUUUUACUGAGACCAAAGUGUCAUUCCUCAAUAAAAGUAUGGGAAUAUAACAAUUCUUCGCUCCAAAGAAGAAUUUAUUGGUUUACACUCCAAUUGUGCUUGCUUAGAAUUUAGCCAAACACCUUACAUGCAAAAGUGUCUAGCUUGACAGUUGUAGCUAGUAAAUUUUCUAUAUUUCUGAUAAUAAGAUAUUUUAUAGCUAGAAACACCUCUGAAAUAUUAAAACCCGUAAAUUUUUCGAUUUAAUUUUCUAUUUUUUUUAUGGUGGGAGAAAAUUUACAGUUGCCCAACUGAAGGAUAAGCUAAAAGCAUAUCUGAAAUAUUAAGUCUUCGUUUGGUACAACUUUUAAAGU